rnacentral:lncRNA from 1 species
AGCUGACUGGUCAGUUAACAGCUCUCUAGAUCUGGUUGUUGAUCUACAUUAUCUGGAUUAAGGAAUGUUUUUAUUAUGAACGUCUCAUGAUCAUUUAUUGAAAUGAUGUUAUAUAGGUAAGUUUUAAUUUAUUUAUUUAAGGUUAUUUUAUUUCUUACACAUUUUGGCUGAGAUAUUGAGAUCAGUGAAUGGUAGAGCUAUACUGAGGAUCAGGGGAAAACUUAACUUGUGUGGUCUGCCUUUCCUGCAUUGUCGAACAAGUAUAACUAUACAAAGUCUGGUUUGGCUUGCUUAUGAAAGGGUACCAUUUCUUCUCUCUUUUGACUGACUGAUUUAAUCCAUUAGUGUUUGGAAUAAAAAGCCUUAUUCCACUCAUUCUUCUUUAUGUCCAAAAAGUUAAGGAAUACAAUAGUUCAUAUCUGUUUGGGGAAUUCCGUUGUUCAUGAAGGAGGGAUUUUAGUCAGUGAUUUCUCCAUUUCUUGUGUGUCCUUAACCAUUUUAACUGGUCCAUUUUAACUGACCAUUUUACUCAGUCUCCUUUAAUAGAGCUUACAGUUUAACAGGAACUCUUCGCCUGUAUUUUAUCUUUUAAUUUAGCUUGGAAGAACUUGAACUUAUUUCUUCUGGAUUAUGAGUCUGGUUGUAAAUGUAUCGCCAGUAAGGGAAUUUCAAAUUACGAUCUACUCUCCAUUUCAAUAACAUUUUAAAAUAGAAUUUUUAACCGGUAUGCUGAUCAAUUUCAGUAAUAUAUAAUCAUCUGUUGAGUUUAUUCUCUGUGGUGUCACAACCUCCCCAGUGCAUUAUCUAAGCGUAUGUAAGACACAAAUUAUCUUCCAAAAUAUCAAUAAGUUGCCCUUUUCAAUUGCUUUCUGGGAUUCUGGUUUAUUUUAUUUUAUUCAAAGCAGGAGGAAGCCAAGAACAACAUCAAUGCAAUGAUUUAUAGACAAAUAGUUAUAAGAACAAAUCUGUAUCACAUUCUAUGAUUCAUUAUAAAAAUCUUAAGCAGUUUAAAUUAAGUGUGCCUAGGAAUCACAUCUAUUUAUACAAACACAUACCAAAACUGCAAUAUACAUAAAGCUUAUAAUUAUGAUCUUCUCUUUCAAUUUCCGUUUAUUGAUCCAAAAGUAUAGUGCUUGGCAGUGAUAAAUUACGUCUACAGAAUCCAGUAAUGAUAUUGAAUUAUCAAUAAAUAGUACCAUUUCUGACAAUUCUCUCUAGAUCUUUUAUAACUGGGAACAGUUGAGGGUCCCAUGCCUCAUCAAACCCAGAUGCUACUAUCAGCAUGCAAAGUACAAAGGUGAAGCUGAGCUGAGGUGCUGAGUCUGCUCGACUGCCCAUGUUGAGGGAUUUUGACUUUUACAUCUGGAGCUCUACAGACUGUGCUUUGGAUUUGACUCUGGACUGUAUCCUGACUGUUGGACUUCAGACUUGACUACUUGGAUUGACCCUGGACUACAUUUCCUGACCUUUGGACUUGACAUGUUGACUUGCUGCCAGGUAGGUCAGGGGUUCAGGACACUAAUGUUUUUUUUAAAUAAAAAAAUGGGGAUUGUGGUGAGAGAGUUCAGAGCAGCAACUUGGCUCCCUCAGCUGCCACUACCCAUGAGAAAGCACUGGUGGGAAGAGACAAAGGCAUAAGGGAGGAGGACCAAUUUAAGGUGUUGAUGUUACCGGGGAGCUAGCAUGGUGUAGUGGUUAAGAGUGGUGGACUCGUAAUCUGGUGAACUGAGUUCGCUUCCCCGCUUCUCCGCAUGCAGCUGCUGGGUGACCUUGGGUUAGUCAUACUUCUCUGAAGUCUCUCAGCCUCACUCACUUCACAGAGUGUUUGUUGUGGGGGAGGAAGGGAAAGGAGAUUGUUAGCCGCUUUGAGAGUCCUUAAGGGGAGUGAAAGGCGGGAUAUCUAGUCCAAACUACUACUAUUCUUCUUCCUCUUCUUUUUCCUCCUCUUCUUCCUCUUCCUCUUCUUCUUCCUCCUCUUCCUCCUCCUCCUCCUCUUCUUCUUCUUCUUCUUCUUCUUCUUCUUCCCCAUAAAGCCAUAAAUUACACAGUACCCCAAUCCUUGAAGGAGCACCUCACCCUAUACCAACCUGUCCAAGCCCUAACACCUUCUUGGGGUGCCCUUGUUGAAGGGGGGUGUUGUUUGAUGAAACCACAUGAAAUUGCAAUGCUCUCUGUGCUACAGAAGUAUAGUUGUUGUAGUUGAUGUUUUACCUAUUUGCUUGUAGCAGCUGGCUUAACUAUUACUUUUUUGUUGUUUAUAUGGCUGUUUUAAUGUGAAUACACACAGGUCCUGAUAUCUACUUGCUUGCUAUGCAAAAAUUCACUUAUCCGAACACAAAUAAUUAUACCAAAAUCUUGCUACACACAUGGCUGAUUCAGAUACCCAAAUAGCGGGUGUUUCCCCACUUCCUUACUUGUUUGUGCUUUAUUGGUCUACAGCAGCCACUUUUUAGGAGAAACCAUGGAGUGAGGGAAGGGGAAGAGAGACUGGACAAACCAGUUUUUCUUUUGUCUUUCUUUCGCUGGUUGGCUGCAGCCAUUUUAGGAAGGCACCAUUGCGGGAGGAGGGAGAGAGAUUACAGAUUAGAAAUAUUCCCAAAAGACAUAAUGGAAACCAUUGUGCAAAUGCUUGCCUAAUGAGAGAUUUCCUGUGAACACACUGUGUUAGGAAAGUAUGUGUAUUGUAAGUAUAUGUGUAUUGUAAGCUGCUUUGUGAUCCAAAUGGAGGAAUGGAAAGCUGAACAUAUAGCAACUAACUAAAUAGUCUUCCCCCAUUAAUAUAAUGUAGAGGUGAGCUUCUAUACUGGCAAGCAGGUCUGUUAGAUAGGUUGUUUUUUUAAUUAAAUCAAGAUGCGGUGAGUCAGUUUAGUUCAUGGUUAGGUUCUAUUUUGGUAAUCAAAAGAAACUUCCUUAGCUAAGUCAACAAACGGCUCAACCAGCUACAGAAUAAAUGAUUCCAAAAGGAAGUAACUCACAAUUCCAAUAAGUCAUGCCUUAGAAAGUGGUACCUUUUGUCAUCUAGGAACAAAGAAAACAUCCACUGCUGCAUUAGUCAGUUAAUGAGGUGGAUCCAAGCAAUCCUUUCCCCCAGAGAUGGUUGUUAUAAAAUCGGGUUACGUAUAAUAUCCAGUCCUGGCCUUGCUCUUGCUGAAAACGACUUGCUGAAAGGCAGGCUGUUGGUACCCCACUGGUGACAUCCUGCUCCUGGUAAUUGCUUAUUGAUCUUGAAGUGGGUUACCUAGGGCCUCAACAGAGGGAAGAUCCCUCUUUAGAAACAGCCCCAGUAAAAACAGCAACAGUGUCCCUUCUCUCCAGAGCACCAAGAGAUGCUGUUGUGGUAGAUGAAGAUGGAAUUAGAGGGAAAUCGGGAUCAAGGACUCCUCAGACAAUCCCUGCUAGACUCUUUUGCUACCAGAAGCUAUUUUUGAAGAUUCCUCAUCACCAACAACAUGCAGGGAUACUUCAACAUUCCUGCAAAAUAAUAAUAAUAAUAAUAAUAAUAAUAAUAAUAAUACACUUUUCAGCCUGAGGACCAUAUUGCCUUAUGGGGAAUUUUUAAAAAUAUGUAUGAAUCUCCAAGAAGAACCCCCCCGCAGCAUUCUCCUUUCUUGACAGAAGGAAAGUAGGUUGGAACCCAAAGCAAAACAGAAUCAAGGAAUACUAAUGGAAACAAUAAAACUGUAAUUACAGAAACAAUAGCUUCAACCCUUUUAAGGGUGGGGGGAACUGCUUUAAGCAUUGCUUCCCCCUCUUCUAGCAGCAGCACAGCAAAAAAAACAAGAAGCAAAUAACAAAGGAAGGUGGUCCCUGUCAGCAUCGCCCUUGAGCCAGUGCCACCGACUGGACUCAUCCACUUCAGCCCCGACUGGGCCAGGCGAGCUGGGGUAGCACUUCCAGAGACCACCUUCUGCACAGGAACAGGUCAAAGUGCUGUGGACUCACAACUCAGAGUUGUGAGCAUCAGAUUCACUCCCGAAGACAGUCGUUGCACAGCAAAGUACAGCAGAGCAUAAACCACUCGGAGAACAGCUCUGUAGAAUAACUACUUUUAUUCUAUCUACAACUAUCAUGCAAACUAUAUACAGAGCUAAAUGGAGAAGCUGGACUGCACUGAGUGUCUGCAGCUGCUCUUAGCAGCAACCUUAUCUAUACAGAGAUAACACUCACUCUUUCUAACACUCUAUCUCUUUGAUGUGAGGCUGGAGUGGAAUAAGUAGUGAGCAGAAACCGCCCCCCUCCUCUCUGGAGAAUCAGCAGAGAACAUCAGCAGAUUCUUGGAAUGGGAGGGGUGAAAUCUCCUCAGUCCCUGACUCACAUCUCUCUCACAUGGAAUGGCUACCAGGCUUGGAUGAAGGUGCUAGUGGGGCUCAUACAGAAUAGAUGUGAUUUAUGAACCCCCAAAUUCUUCUCUGGCUUUGAUAAAAAUAUGAGACAGAGAAGAACCCAUUGAUUUUCUCGCACUCUCCCUGCCAGCCUAAGCAAUUUCCUCCUUCUAGCUCCCCAGAAAGUAAGCUUGGGAAAAUAACCAGAGUAACUUUUGAUUUAACGUUUUCUAGAAAAGUUACGCAACAUAAAUUGUAUCUUCCUCUCUGUUUCACACAUCAUUUGCUACACUAAGGGUGUAGUUCUAUGGGAUUAUAUGAUAGAUUGGAUAUAUUCCACUGACAUCAGAGGCAGAGCUCUGAUGUCAGAGAAGGACAUCCAAUGUCAGCCUUUUCUCUCUCUGAUGCCAAUGUCUCCUAGGAAGCCCUGACUCAAACAAAACCCCAAUAAUAAUAGUCUCUUCCAACCUCUUGCACAUUACAGCUGACCACACCAGAAACGCUUCCUCUCUAUCAAAAUCUGAUAUAACCAUCAAAUAUUUAAUGACAAGAUCUCAAUUUUUCAAAAUCUGGUUAUACUUUUGCUGGUUUUUAUAAAGAAUGCUGUCACCUUAACCAUUUCUGCUUAUACCAAGUGUCUUCAACUGCUGAGUCUUGCAUGGUUUUCAGUUGCUUUUAUAGGUUUCUGGGUAGUCAAUUCUAGAGAGUGCAUGAAUGUAUAAAAUGAGUACCUAUCUCUCUACAGGUUUGAUUUAAAAAAAAUAUAAAAACCCCUCCUGUUUUUAUUUGUGGUUUUUUUUUAGUGUAAAUGGUAAAUUUGCCUGCAUGGAAACAAUACCCAUCAAAAACAAAAAGUAAAAAUAAACAGCACAGAUAUGCCAUGGUUACAAAAUACAAAUUUGACAUCCUCCCACCUUCCUACCCAGAUCACACAGAGAAUUAAAAAUAGAUCAAUGAUUAUAGAUCUACACAAAACAAUGAGCAUUGCAGGUACUGAAAUUUUGAUAAUUCUUUUUAAUUUGGAUCCAUUGCAAAAAUCAAAAUGUCUUUAAUAAUCUGCACUAUCAUUUUCCAGUUCUUUACCACUUUCCCAAACUCUUGCUGCAUAUGGAAUAGAACUCCUUCAGCUUUAUCCAGUGCUCUGGGCAUGCAGUUCCCCUGGUGCAGUGGGACUUCCUUUUCCUGUCCUCCUCCCUGUGUGCCCCCUAAAUCUGCUCCAGGGGUUCCCCCAGCCUUUUGGAGCUGAUUUUGAGGAUACACGGGGGGGGGGAGGGGCGCUGAAGGGGACACGGCAGGAAGAGAAAGCUCUGUUGCGUGCAAAGAAAUCUCUCAUGCCAGUGGAGCAUUGCAAAUGGCUCCCUGGGUUUGCAUGUCUAGAACUUUCCAUCUCCUUCCCCAUAAACCUUUAACUUUCCCCAACCAGUUAAUUGCCAAUGAGUGACCAUCUUAAAACAAUUCCCCUUAAAGUUCAUUGCUACCAAAAACCAGAAAGUUCCAUAGCUCUUAUUUGUUCCGUUUUUUAAAAAUGUACACCAUUUCUUCAUGCCUUUGAGCAUUCUGGAAUCUCCUGUAUAAUUUUGAGUAAUAAUUUCAUUCUACCAGAUAACACCAACUUUCUAAAUUCCGUUCUCCUGUGUCUCAAAACCCACUUCUGCAUUUGAUUUUAUCUGGCUCUACUGAAAAUAAGCUCGGCUCACUUACAUUUUUUUCCACACACUUGUCAGAGAACUGUUGCUGAGCCGAUAUUGGUAUUUAUCUAUUUCCCUUCUGUUGCCACACUUUAACAUUACAUAAAUGUCCAUCUAAUUUUGGGCUCCCGUAGAUGAUCCAUUUAUUGAGCAUUCAUCCUGAUUUGCUUGUACAAAGCUUAAAUGGAGGUUAGAUUAUAUUAGUUCAUUAUUGAACAUUCAUUCUGAUGAAUUGUAUGCCAAUGAGUUUAUACGUUUAUACGUCUUCCCUUUAAUAACCACCCCAUACUUUCCCAUGAAUUUCUUUGUCGUUUUCCUAUCUGCAGUCAGCCAAUGUUUCCUUCCAAAAAUGGAUUUGUUGCAUUAGGGCAACAAAGCAUUUUUAAUCCACUCUAACUGCACAAACCUAAAUCUCCCAGCAUGCCUAUGAAUUCCUUCAGCAAAACUCUGACAACACAGAGACCCCUAGAUUUUAUAUGUUUAUAUCUAACAGAUGCUAUCCAGCCUCAGCAGAUUUGUGCAAAAUCUACUUUCUCCAUUAGGGGGAAGCCUUGCUCUGCAUUUGGUGAGCGGUUUUCAUUUCUCCCCAAAGCACUUUCAAGUCGUAUUUUUUCCUCAUGAAACUCUGCACUCCUAUAAAUCCUGCUCCUAAAACCCCUGUUUCAAAGGGGGCUAGAUCAUGCCUGCUUUUGACUUGAAUGCGAGCUGUUGACAGAAAGAAGACAGGCAUCUGUUGAUCAACGAGAACCGCUUAGUCCCUUUUCUUCUGGCUCCUUUGAAUACUUACGUGUGCAUUAAUAAUAAUAAUAAUAAAAAGCGCGGAACGCUGCACUCUCCCCACAAAAUGUCAGCCUGCUCCAAAGGCUUAACCAGCUGUCUCCUUUCAGCGCCGCUCACUUUGUGACAUAGUUAAUUCAGUGAAGUGCUCUGUGUCGAGUCUCCCCUCCCUUCACAAGUCUCCUCUUUAUACUAGUUGUCUUGAAAAGGAAUACGGAAGGAAGCAACAAUUUGGGGUUAGAUACUUACAGUCAGGGCUGGAUUCAUCUGCCUCUUGUUCCACCUAUAGUACCGACAGCACUGGUUGAUUUUGAAUAGUUCCAGUUCAAACAGUAAAAUAACCCUCAUGCGAUACCUUAUUCAGUUCCAAGCACAGGGACCCAAGGGGGCAGUGCAUUGUUUAUGUCACUGAUCAGUGCCGUGACUCUACCCUUCCUCUCUUUUUAGAACUGUUAGGCUCAUGAAAAUUGCAGCAGGAAUGUCUCCAUGGAGAGCUGAUUUGCACAACACACAAACAUUAUACUCUGGGACAUUGGAAGCGGUUUUAAAUCACAGAAUCAUAGAAAUGCAAAGUUGGAAGGGACCACGAGGGUCAUCUAAUGCAACAAUCUUUUGCCCAACAUGGGGCUUGAACCCACAACCCUGUGCUGGGCCCGGGGGUAACCCAAAUAGCACAGUCCAGGUCUGGUCCCGAAUCCAGGGAUUCCAUGAGGAGUCAGUCUGGCAGGGCCAAGGCAGGACACGAGGCAGAAAACCAGGCAAGGUCAGGCACAGGAUCACAGGCAGGUUCUGGCAAACAGCAAUGUUGCUCCCACAACCUGGGGCAGGGUCCGACAGCCUUUUAUCUUUGUUGGGGUAACGGCCAGUCCUGUUCCCCCGAUGACUCACCUCCCUGUCUCGCCCGAAGGUGAGCACUCCUCCUGAGAGUACUCAGGUAUCUCCUCCUCUCAGACCUUAGUCUCUGCAACUCGGGAGAUGUCAGUGGGUUACUAGACCCAGAGGCCGCCUCAGCCUCACCUGACCCAACCCAACCCAACCGGUAGUGGAGCAGCUGUAAGUGAUGGCCCAGCUGAAGGCAACGAGGUAAUCCCCACAUCUGGAGCCAGGGCAGGCUCAGGCCGCUGACUUGACCCAGCUGAGCCGACUGUGCAGACUGGGGCUCUUCAGAAUCAGACCCCAGACUUGGUUCAGAUGCCGCCUGAGGCAAAGGAUCCGGUGCAGACUGAGACCCCUUUGGUUCCAAGUCCAAGCCCGAGUCCCAGGCCAUCUCAGACCCUGAGAUUCAGUGUAUCAUGCUCUACCGACGGAGCUAUCUUGAUUUAUAUUGAGUCAGAUCGUUAGUUCAUGUGGCAUAGUGGCUCUCCAAAGUUUCAGGCAAGGGACAUUUCCAGAUGUCAGGGAUCAUUAUUACUAUUAUUAUUAUUAUUAUUAUUAAUAAUAAUAAUUUAUGUUUAUUAUUGAACCCCAGACCUUCUGCAUGCAAGGCAGGUGUCCCACAUUGAGCUGUAGCUUUCCUCCAGAGCUGAUUGGCCCAGACAUUACUGAGGCCGAGUAGAAAUGUCAGUACCUGAAUCAACUUCUCUAUCCAGACAUAUACUAUUUGGAAAGUAGAUUUAUUGUAGGAAAUAGGCAAAAUUCUGUUGUUAUAGCUGUGGGGAAUGGCGAUAAGGCCGAGAACAACCACUGCGGGGUAAGUUUGAAGCAGGAAGUCAAGGACGCCUCCAGAACUAAUCGCUGAACAAUGGUUUCCAUGGCAGUCACACAAUGACCUCAUAGAAGGAGAAGGUGUUCAAGUAACUCAGGCUGGGAUGCUGAUAGCAGCUGGCAGGUGCUAUCGUGCCUUACAGCUUAAAAAAAAACAGCCAAGAACUCAUGGAUAAUUUGUGGGACCAGUGAAUAAUUUAAGGGACAUCGCAGAACAGGUUGGAUCUGGUUUUGUUCCAGCCAGAAGAUGAUGGUCAACCUCAAGCAGAUCAGCAAAAUAAGAUUAGAAGAGUUGAAGUAAACCAUCUCAUUGCCCCUGGCUGAAGACCAUACUUGAAUGGGGUCAUUUCAGUUUGUGGCUCAGGUGAGACUAUACAUAGCAUGUGUGCAUACAACUAUGGGCAUGACUCAGCCAUGUCAAUAUUUUUUUUUUUUUAAGUCCCAUCGAUUUCCAUUGCAGAGUUAAGGAUGUGCUUAAAUUCUACUAAGGGAUGUGUGUGGCGCUGUGGCCUAAACCACCAAGCCUCUUGGGCUUGCAAUCAAAAGGUCAGUGGUUCGUAUCGCCAUGAUGAGAUGAGCUCCUGUUGCUCUGUCCCAGCUUCUGCCAACCUAGCAGUUCGAAAGCAUACCAGUGCAAGUAGAUAAAUAGGUACUGCUGUGACGGGAAGGUAAAUGGCGUUUCCGUGCACUCUGGCACUUGUCAUGGUGUUCUGUUGUGCCAGAAACGGUUUAGUCAUGCUGGCCACAUGACCCGGAAAGCUGUCUGUGGACAAACGCUGGCUCCCUCAGUCUGAAAAGUGAGAUGAGCGCCGCAACCCCAUAGUCACCUUUGACUGGAUUUAAGCGUCCAGGGGUCCUUUACCUUUUACUUUUAAAUUCUGCUUUAAAUCAGUAGCACGUAAAAUGAUUAGUAAGGGCCAAUUUACUACUGAGUAACAGUGUGAUGAGAGCAUUGGUUCAGGCACUCCUGCGGAAUCUGUCACACAGCGAAAACUGUACACUGAAAUUGCAAUUCAAUUCAGAAUUUGUCAGUGUGUAACCAGUUUUGGGAGGUUGGGAGAAGGGAUGCAGAGAUCUGUUCUUUUUGGUUUCUCUCGAUUUUUCAUUCCCUAUAUCUUCAGUUAGCUACAUUUCUACAUCAGUUUGCAAUAAUAAAAAUUAAAAACUCAUUGGGGAAAAUUACCAGGAUUUUAGUGAGCGUUUAUCCUAAUGUACACAUAUUUAAUGCGAUUUUGCCAAUAUACAUAUUUUUGAAGCAAUUUCCCCUAAUGUAAUGCACUUUUGUAUGUUAUUUUCAUUAAAAUGUGAAUUCAUAUAUGCAAUAUACCGGUAUGUUGGCAGUCAUAUGUCGUGAGACACUCUUCUAGUAGAGAUUCAGCCAGGCACCAUUACAGUGGUACCUCGGGAUAAGUACUUAAUUUGUCUGUACUGAAACUGUUCUUAACCUGAGGUACCACUUUAGCUAAUGGGCUUGCUUCGCUAAGACUGCUAGCCGACGACUCGCCGGAGCACUAAUUUCUGUUCUCAUCCUGAAGCAAUAGUUCUUAACCUGAGGUACGUAUUUCCAGCAGUUACGCUGAUGUCAUGUAACCUUGAAUGUCAUUUCAUGUAAACUGUGAAGUCGUAUAUGUAACACAUGAUGGUAGCCACUGUACUUGUGAUUUCCAGGUGUCUUUUGAAGAGCUUUUCUUAUGCCAAGAGGCCUAUGCAGUUACAUACAAUCUUCUUGAAUAGCUAAUCCCUCUAAUGAUUGAACUAUACUGCUUUGAAUGGUUUUUAACUCUUUUUAUUGCUGUAUACUGCCCUGAUAUUUUAAGAGAGGGUGGUAUGUAAAUACUUCAUUUGCCUAUUAAAUGCACGCUUCCUCCUAAUAUACACAAUUUUGUACACAUUGUUUCUUGGGAGAAAUGCAUAGGGAAAUUUGGAGAAGUCCAGAUUUUGAAGGAUAGCUGUGUUUUGAUUUCAUGUAUUGUCUGGGAUUAGUUAGGUUCACACUGAAAUGCCUACUUCACCUAAUUCUCUCCCUUCCCUCCCUGUUAAAGGUAAAGGGACACCUGAACAUUAGGUCCAGUCGUGACCAACUCUGGGGUUGCGGCGCUCAUCUCGCUCUAUAGGCCGAGGGAGCCGGCAUACAGCUUCUGGUCAUGUGGCCAGCAUGACUAAGCCGCUUCUGGCGAACCAGAGCAGCGCACGGAAACGCCGUUUACCUUCCCGUUGGAGUGGUACCUAUUUAUCUACUUGCACUUUGACGUGCUUUCGAACCACUAGGUUGGCAGGAACAGGGACCGAGCAAUGGGAGCUCACCCCGUCGCCCCUCCCUGUUAGGCAGUGGUAAAUAUCAGCUAAGUUUUGCACUGGGUUCUAAUGGAAGAAAUCGCUCCAUGUCUUGCUAUGUUCUCCUUAAAUUUAUACUCUUUAUAUAUGUGGGUGAGCAGGGAAACCCUACAUGAUCAUUAUUAAUUUCUUAUAAUGGUAAAUUGUAUUCCCUUUCCAUUUGAUUAGUUGCUUUCCCCCCAACCGUUCUGUUAAGUAGGUUAGGCUGAGAGAGAUUGAGUUGCCCAGGGCUGCUUGUUGGGCUUCAAAGAUGCCAAAGGAAUCAAAACAGGAUUUCCCCAAACCUAAGUACAAUAUUUGAGCCACCAUACUACAUCCAGAGUUAAGUUCUCAGUCUUUCCUUGAAAUUAUUGGCAUUUGAACGCCAAACGUCCUUUGGAUCAUGGCCUCAGCCUAGUAGGGCUGGAUCUGACAUUUCUAUAAAAAUAAUGAUAAAAAGUAGGUACUACUUUACAGCAUCCCCUUGGAGUUUAACCUGAGCUGUGCAAUUUUCACGUCGGGAGUAUCUGCAUGUGAUAAGCAGUAUUCAUCACAAACUCAUUCAAGGGCAAAAUGUUGUCAUUUAUAGCAAUUCACUUUAGCUGAAGCUCAGAGAGCUGCAGGGAAUUGCAGAAGAAUUCUGUUCCAGGAAUUUGACAGAGUACUAUGGGAUAACCACAGAGAUCAACAGUGAUUUGAGGAUGAGUCAGAUGAGAGUGCCGAAAGGCUUCACAAAUGUUUAUUAUUAUUAUUAUUGUUGUUGUAAAAUAAUCUCUUAGGUCAGCUCAAAUUCUAAGCCAGAAAUAUUUCCAACUUUGCAAGAGAGUUCAUGGCAGAUGGAAGCAGGUCAGGAGGAGGAUAUAGAAUGUGCCGGCUGCUUCCUCUAAUUUAAAUGUCAUAAAAUAGGAUAUUUAGCCUAUCCAGGGCUGGUCUAAGACACCUUCUUCCUGAGGCAAAGGACAAGAUGGUGCCCUGCUCCUAUUCCACAUUCAGAAGCUGACUGGGUAGGCAGGUUUUACUUCAGCACUGGUGACAAGAUAGCAUCUGAAGGCAGCAGGUAGUUUAUAGGCUCCAGGAGAGACUACAUGGCACAUGAAACUCUGUCCUCCAAGAGGCAAAUGGCUGGAAUCUGCUGCCUCUGGCCACUGUCAUUUGCUGCCUGAGGCAAUUUCCUCACUUUACUUAAUGGUAGGACUGGACCCUGGCCUUUACACAAAGUAGAUGUGAAAGGAAAACUUACCGCAGUAGCUGCAGCCCCAUAAACAAUUCCGUUUUUCUAGUGAUGGCCAUGACAGUUCAGGUGAAGCCCUAAGCAUAGGACGUGACCUCCAUGGAAAGGAGCAAUGUAAAGAAAAGUACAAUCAGAGUGGAGGAUAUGGUGACAUUGCUUGGAUCACAUCCAGUACAAUAAACUGUCUGAAAACCUGUGUGCACCUGACACAAGUUAUGAAAUAUACUCUGUGACAGGUGCCUAGAGCAAUCUUUGCUGAAGCUCGGGUGAGUUAAUACUCACGUGCCAUAUCUUUGAUGGUGUCUGAGGAGAUCUAUGGUUCUAGUCCAGCUGCUGCUGAUAUUUUUUUUUGUUAGUUGUUUAGUAGUGUUACUGAACUGAUUUUACUAGCUAUGGGCUUCCAAUUGCACCUUUCUUCAUUGUAUUAGCCUACCUCUCGGUUCCCCUCCCAGCUAUCAGGAACUUGAAUUCUAAGGAACUCUGAAUUCUAUGUGUCAGAUGGCAGUGGUGGUUGCUCGUGAGUAACCAGUCAGGGCUCCGACCUGUCUUUCACAGGUUUUUAUUUUGGUGCAAAACUAUUUACAGUGCAGAACCACAAGUUCAUGUCUGCCUCAAUCGCUACCAGAAUCUGGGAGUGGUCGUUUCCGGGUCCUCCCCCAACAUAAGAGCUUAGUCACCCCCAGCCUUUUCCUUCCUUCUUUGCGUUUUACACCUCUGUGCAGGGUGGGCAAUGGAAGAGGCGUGCUUCCCUCCUGGCCAGCUUGACCAGGAGUGGUGCUGAGGCUCCCAGCAGCAUCCUCUGGUCCCUUCUCCUCUUCCCCACUGGGGGUGUGGCUUUCCCCACCACAGGAAGAGGAACUGCUUCACAAGAUUUUCGGAGGUUCCCUGUAACCCAACUGCCCCUCAGCUUUCCUUCCCUGUUCCGAUGGCAGUCCCCUGGCACUAUGCAAUGCCUGCAGUUGUAAGACAGAUCUUAGCUUAGUAGGACCAUGCAAAUAUGAGAGCUCCAAGAGAGAAGCUCACAACUGCUUUGCUGCUCUCAAAUAAUUUUCACUGCCACCCUGUGCUAAGCCAAGGCAAGGUUUGGCUUGGCGUAGGUCUGAUACCAUCCAUUGGUAUUAUUUUGGCCAUCCCUACACAGUGUGGUUUCUUAAGCUGGAUAAAAGGAUGGUUUUGCUCAAAAAUGGGAGUUAUGGAGAAGAUUGAUGUUGCAAAGUAGGGAACAGGCUAAAUGAAAAUAAUUAGGCUAAAUAAAUAUAAAGACAAAAGAAUUUUGCCUGAAUAAAUGUCCUACUAGCUUUGAACACUCCUGACAUACUAAAUUUUGUGGUAGGUAUGAUCGUUAUAACUUCCUCCAAAACCUUGUGUUUUUCUGCUAGUGAUCAGGUAUGUUUGUAGUUAUGAUAACGUAAGCAGCUCUUUAAUUCUAAGAUAUUACUUGUUUUACUAUGACUGUAUUUUGAUGGGAGAUUUUGAAAGGCAUGGACUGUAAUUCAGGGCUGGGGAACUUUUUGCUCUGUAGAUGUUGUGGGAGUUCAUCAUCCAUAAAGCAGCAUGCCCAAUGUAGGGCUGCCAUAUGUCUGGAAUUUCCUGGACAUAGCCGGUAUUUGGCAGUCGUAAACACAGAAGCGUAGGAAGGGGGGUGCGGGGGGUGCGGACCGCCUCAGGUGUCAUCGCUGAGGGGGGUGACAUUUGGCGCGCCACCCACCCAUGACUCCCAAGCCUACCCUGAGCUGUUGGGGGAAGGGAGUUGCACCGCUUUGCCUUCAUUUUGACAGCUUGGGUGGGCGGCGUUUCCAGGGGUGACAUUCGGCGUGCCACCCACCCGCGACUCCCAAGCCUACCCCGAUCCCAUCAAUGUGAGGGGCGGGUGACAAAAAUUUUCUGCACUAGGUACCACCUGACCUUGCUAAGCCUCUGCGUAAACAGUGUCUAGGCGGAAAUCACAGAAAUGUCCUGGAAAAUCUUGAUGUAUUGCAACAGCUCAAAACCUUCACUUUUGUUUUUGAGAUUUUGCAAAAAAGCUCAACAACUUUUGUGUUUGGACUUUCACAACAUCUAGAGGGCCACGUAUUCUACAUUCCUGCUGUAAAUGGUAGACAUCUAUUUAUAUACAUUAAGUGCUACUUAUUAUGAUCAAACCAUGUACUGAUGUGUAGCAUUGUGACAAAGUCUUCCCUGUCCUUUUCGAAGUCUAAAAUAUAACAAAAUAACACAAAAAGUUGCAAUGAGCGCAACUUGCAUUGCAGCCAAAUGGUAUCGAUUGUACUUAAAGUACUCGGUGUCAGAGCUCCUGUUGGACAAACUGUACCUAUAAUUCAGAUGACAAAUAAUAUAAUAACACUGUAGGCAAAACAAAUUAUAAUGGGAAGAAUAUAUAAAAAGUUAAUUUAAAGUCACUCAUAAUUCCAGUAAUGAUUUCACCCACAGUGUUAACUUGCAGAAUGAAUGGCCAAUUGAAGUUAAUGGCCUCCAGCUCUCUUGCAUUUGCUCAUUAAUCUUUUGCAAGUCAAUGGGCUUUGGGUGACUCAAUAUAUGGGCACAGUUUGGUUCAAUACUCACUGUUCCUUUGGGCUAGCAGGGUGACAGAAGCUGGGCAAGACUAUGGCAUGCCUUAUCAGCGCUCCAUAAAUAAUACAUGUUGGUGCAAGGGAGCCAUGAAAGGUAAAUAAAAUUAAAGUUUGUCUGCUUUGGAUAAUUAAAGAUCUCGGAUACUUUGCAAAUGGAGUGGGAUUAUUGGACUGUGCCCCCAGGAGCAUGCUAAUGUACUCUAGAUGCCAUUGCAUUUGUCAGGAAUCUUUAGCUGAACCUGGUAAGUGAUUCUUCUGCUAGUGUUUCCCAGAGUUUCAUAGGUGUUCCUCUACCUGAUUCUUAUUCUUGUAGCCCUGACCUUUGAGCCAGAAGCUUUUGGAACGUUCUGUGCUUGCAGGUGAUUGACUGAAAAGCAUGGCGGUAGAUGAGGACGGAUAGCUAUCACUGUGUGUGUGUGUGUGUGUGUGUACAGUGGUACCUCAGGUUACAUACGCUUCAGGUUACACACACUUCAGGUUACAGACUCCCCUAACCCAGAAAUAGUGCUUCAGGUUAAGAACUUUGCUUCAGGACGAGAACAGAUAUCAUGCUCCAGCGGCGCGGCGGCAGAGGGAGGCCCCAUUAGUUAAAGUGGUGCUUCAGGUUAAGAUCAGUUUCAGGUUAAGUACGGACCUCCGGAACGAAUUAAGUACUUAACCUGAGGUACCACUGUGUGUGUGUGUAUGUGUAUGUGUGUAUACACACACACACACACACACACUUUUUUUUUUCUUUUUCAUUCAUUACAUACAUCUCAAAUUCUUAACAUUUACUAUAUAUUCCUCCCUCCCUCCCCUCCAGGGCUUCCCCCAACUUCCGCUUCUGGUUUGUUUCUAUUUUCACCCAGUUUGCUCUCUCUUAACAGAAACAGUUAUUAAUAACAUAACUUCAAGCCUAAAGUCAUAAAAAUAACAGUAAAUACACCAUCAUAUUUCACUAUCUUCUAAACAUUUUCUAAUGCUAAUAAUGUGAAUGUUUAUUUAAAUCCCACCAUCAAAUCUAUUGACUUUCUUUGUUUCUGCAAAUAUAAUAUGAAUGGUUCCCAAUCUUUUUCAAAGUCUCUGUUGUCUUUUUCUCUUAGUCUGUCUGUCAUUUUUGCCAGUUCUGCGUAGUUCAUCAACUUCUCUUGCCAUUGUUCUUUAGUUGGUAUUUCUCCAGUAUAUCAGUAUAAAUGGCUGGAGGUUACCUGGCAGCUCCUCCCAGGAUUGAUUCAAAGUUUUUUUUUUUUCUUUUUCUGCUAUCCUAGACUAGUGACUUUCAGACUUUUCACCCUCAAGGAAUACUUUCCACCUAAGCUUGUCCACCAUGGAAAUAUUGUGUGUCUGCUAUUGUCAGAGAAUUUUGGGGUUCUCUUGCUCUCUCUGUUUAUAUGGGUUGCUGGUUUAGGAUUGCUGGCCCUCACUGGUGCCUGUGCAAACUUCAAAGGUUGUCUAGAACAAGUCCAACAACACUCCUUUUCCACAACACGUCACUGGAAAUGGAUGGCAAUGGCAGACAAGUCAUUCUUGGAAAAUGUAUAGUUGUUGUUGAUAGAACUGAUCAGGGAAGUUGCAAAACACCAAUACCACCACAAAAAAACCCAAUGCACACAUUUCCAGCUUUUCUAAACUCUGGAGUUGAUUGCCCAGCUUCAAAUAGGCUGCCUCAUUCCAGGUACAUAAAGAUUCACUAGUGAUUUCCCUUCUCUUUGGUGCCUGUCUUUUGAAGAGAUCGCUUCAAGCAAAGAGCCCUCAUUAACUGUGCAGUAUGUACAGAAAGUUCUGCUGAAAGGGCUAACAUUCCUUACAGAUCUGAAGUAAUUUUUACCACUACAGAAGCUGUAAAAGAGAGGAGGAAAAUAAUAAUAAUAAAGCUCUUUCAUUUUUAGAUCUACUCAUGAGCAACGAGUGCCUCCAGAAAGUUGGUGUGUAUGUGUGUUUUAACGAUUUACACCCACCGUGUCAAGCCAGUCCUAUCACAUUUUUCUUCUGGCUCCAGGAUGGGGGAACCUAUUUCAGUUAGUGGGCUGUCUGGGAUAAGCUUUUUUGAGGUGAUGGGCUCACAUGCUGGUAGCUGGUGGUGCCAGAGGCAAAACUGAUGUAGAUGUUGCCUUUGUACACUAGGGGGUAAUCCUAUGGCAAGAUCUGCAGGGGUGAGCUGCUUAGGAUCCAAUGGAUCUCUGCUCCAUCCCCAGCUUGGCUCAGCUAAAGAUUCCCUGGUGUAACUUGCUCAUUCCAGCCGGUGCAAAUCCGCCCCCCCAGUGAGUGUUCUUGUUGGAGCGUUGUGGGUAUCAAGGAGUUAACACUGUGCUAAGUGGAAAUGCUGACUCAGUGAUGAGUGAGCAUCAUGAGAUAUAGGGAGUUGCCUGAUUGGUCUAUAGCCAGUUAGUAUAAAGAGGUAUGCCUCACUUCCCCUACACUGGCUUCUCCUCUGUAUGCAAAUCCCAGUUGUGUAUGCUGAUUCCUAGAUGUAAGAAGACUGCUUUAUGAUGAUGCAAGGCUGCAACUGGAAUAAAGUCCUGCUUAAAAUACAGUUGACUCCUCAGUGCUUCAUGUGGGGCUUCCAUGCAUUGCAACAGUUCUGAGGGCAGGACCAGAGAGCGGGACACAGGCUGUAUCCUAAGCCCAUUCAGGUUGGUUGCAUGACCUGGCAACCUGGCCAGAAGGAGGAAAACAAGCAUUUCAAAGACCUGUUUGGACCUGAUGUAACUUCACGCCAGCUUAAUUUUCCAAUUGCUUACUUUAUGCCAGCCUCAUAUGUAUAGGAUUGCUCCCUAGGCUAGUUUCUACGAGUAAGAGUUAUUAUCAGAGUUCAAGGACAUGGUCCAGCCAGACAAAAACACUCAGUUCUUGCUCUUAUGUUAUUUUAAGACCUCCUGUACCAUUCAUGUCUGAUUUCAAUAAGCUUGAGAUGAAACCCUUAGUAUCGCUACUAUAGCGUUUCACCAAACCUUCAAAUUCUGAAAGUGGACAUGUUGCUGCUUAUCAAAUAUCAAAGUCCACGUUAGCGAUGGCACAUGUAUAUCUUCUAGUAACCAUUAACGUUUAUCCUCCAGUAUGAGAACAUUAUCUACAUAAAAACAAUAUAAAUAAUACAUCCCCUUAGUCCUCUGCCCUCUUAGGAAGCCAAGACUGGUAUAAGAGGGCUUUGAAUGAAAAGUUGGAAGUGACCUUACAGUGACAGAAGUGGUGAAUGAGGAUUCUGUGAUACGAUAGUUGCAAGCAUGAAAAGCAUAGCCAUGUGAUUCUACCGUCAUCAGCACCAGAUGAGAAACUAAACAUUAGUUAGAAGUUAGAAGUUAGACUGCAAGGAGGGGGUGGGGAUGGUGACGAUCAUUUCCUUGGGGUCCUACAAAGAGUGAAAAGCUUUUAUAUGAGCCUAAGAACAAGCUUUCCUCCCUAAGUUUUAAUGAGAUGGUUUUCUUUUAAGAGCAGACUCUGCUGCUUGCAUUUAAAUGUGAGACCUGCUACUGCAUUAGCCUGGAAAAUUGAUUGGUAGCAUUGAGAUGAAAAACUCCCUAAAAAUCUAAUACUAUGCAAGAGGGCUUGAUUAGUUUGUGCACGACCAUCUACAACAAACACAGAAGAUACGAUCAUAAAUUAUGAAUGCACCAAAUCCACCCAACCGCUCUACAAUUACACAUAAUAAUCUCAUUUUUGUGCAAGCCACUAUGUUUUAAAAAUGAAUCUCUUAUUCCCUUCACUCCCCACCACUAAAUUUUGCAGGAGCAGUGUGUGGAUUCAGUUUGUUUGCCCAACGGAAAUUCCAUUUAGGGCUGAGGCUUGAUGGAUGUGGAAGGAUCAAUAGACAAACAGUACCACGUAAAUCAGCAAAAGCAACAGAGACUUGUGGCACCUUAAAAACUGACAAAUUUAUUACAGCCUAAGCUUUUGUGGACUCAGGCCCACUUCAUCCAACGCUCAAAGUGACGGCGUCGUUGGCAGGUGUAUAAAGGAUACAGUUGUAAGGUUGGAGUGAUAAAAAUCCUUUGUCUUGAUUCAGCCCACUAGUGAUAAUCUUGAUAAUCUUGAUCGAUUAUUAUACAUCUGUUUCAUGUUAUAAUUUUUCUUUGUAGUUCCUUUCUUCCAGUAUGGGCACCUUAAAGUCAGUUUCAGAGUAUCUUAUUAUAUAACUGCAUUGUAUUAGGGGAAGUUGCUUGUGAAAAUACGUAUAGACAAAAUUUCAUACAAAAAAAAUGUGUGCAUGAGGUGAAAUGCACCUGAAGAUUUGUACAAAUUUUCAUUUGGACAUGUUUUUUUAAAACAAAAAGAACUUGAUGUGGAAAUGGAGAGAACCGUACUCAGGAGUGGAAAAAUGAGAAACUGGGAGAAGCCGAAAGAGUUUCAUUUGUCCAUCCCUACUUGAUGAAUCUUUGGUGUGAUCCAUUGAGAGAGUACUGUGGCAUUACACAGUUUAGGUUUGGCUUGUUAUAUGCAUCUGACCUGUGAUGUAGUUUGUGAGCAACUUGUUUCUCUAUGGAUUAAAGAUACUAUUUAUUCAAGACUGAGAAGGUGAUCAGGCUUUAAAAACCCUUUAACAUUAGCAGAAUGGUAGAUUAAGGUGGUGGUGAUCUGUAUUAUUUAUGGCCAUUCAGAGGGUUCAUAAAUCUUGAUGUACCUGGCACUUGCUAUAAAAAUUGGCAUACAUGUAAACAGACACGGAUUAUUUGCCUGCCACAAAGUCCUGAGCAAAGUCAUCAGAAACUCCACAGAUGCUGGUGCAUUGCCAUUUAUAUAUAGCUCCCUUUUCUAUCUGAAAGCACCCAGCACAGAAUACAAUAUAAAACAGUGCCAGUAGCUGACAGUACAAAUAAAGAAAGAAAUCGAAAAAUAAAAGUGUAUAACUCUGAAUAAGUAUUAUUGAAGGACCUCAUUUUUUUUAAAAAAAUAAUGUUUAUUAAAUUUUAAGGAGUUACAAAAAGAAAAAAUUAAAGAACAGCAUAUUAAAGAAAUACAAAACACCACAUCACAAUAAUAAAAAAAGAAAAAAGAAAAGAAAAAAAGAAAAAGAAAAAGAAAAAAGAAAAAUACAAUGAAUCUUCCCAUAACUUAUCUUUCAUUUGCUUAUUUCCUUGACCUCCUCACACCUCCCUUUUUGUAUUCUAGUUCAAUUAGCUAUUUCAGCAAAUCCUUUCCAUCUUUUCCAGUUUUUGUCCUCUAUUUUAUCUUAAUAUAAUGUAACUUUACUUUCCCUCCCUCACCAUUUAGCAAUCUAUUUUUUCUUAAUCCUUUAUAGCAUUUCUGCUAAAACCGCAUUAUUUCAUUCCAACAUCCUUCUAACAUUCCUUAAUUUUACAAUGUUUCUGUAAAUAAACUUUAAAUUUCUUCCAAUCUUCUUCCACCAACUCUUCUCCCUGGUCUCAGAUUCUGCCAGUCAUUUCCGCCAGUUCCAUGUAGUCGAUCACCUUCAUCUGCCAUUCUUCCCGGGUGGGUAGAUCUUGUGUCUUCCAAUACUUCAUGAUGAGUAUUCUUGCUGCUGUUGUGGCAUACAUAAAAAAAGUUCUAUCCUUUUUUGGCACCAAUUGGCUGACCAUGCCCAGGAGAAAGGCCUCUGGUUUCUUCAGAAAGGUAUAUUUAAAUACCUUUUUCAUUUCAUUAUAAAUCAUCUCCCAGAAUGUCUUAAUCCUUGGGCACGUCCACCAAAGGUGAAAAAAUGUGCCUUCAGUCUCUUUACAUUUCCAACAUUUAUUAUCGGGCAAGUGGUAUAUUUUUGCAAGCUUGACUGGUGUCAUGUACCACCUAUAAAUCAUUUUCAUUAUAUUCUCUCUUAGGGCAUUACAUGCCGUAAACUUCAUACCUGUGGUCCAUAACUGUUCCCAGUCAGCCAUCAUAAUAUUAUGUCCUACAUCUUGUGCCCAUUUAAUCAUAGUUGAUUUCACCGUUUCAUCCUGAGUAUUCCAUUUCAACAGCAAGUUAUACAUUCUUGACAAGUUCUUAGUUUUGGGAUCUAACAGUUCUGUUUCCAGUUUUGAUUUUUCCACCUGGAAGCCAAUUUUUUUUAUCCAAAUUGUACGCCUCCAUUAUUUGGUAAUAAUGGAGCCAAUCUCGCACUCUAUUUUUUAGUUUUUCAAAACUCUGCAAUUUUAAUCUGUCUCCCUCUUGUUCCAAAAUUUCCCAAUAUUUCGGCCAAUUGGCCUCCAUAUUGAGCUUUUUCUAAGCCUUCGCUUCCAUUGGUGACAGCCACCUUGGGGUUUUAUUUUCAAACAAGUCCUUAUAUCUUAUCCAGACAUUAAACAGUGCUUUUCUGACAAUAUGGUUUUUAAACGCUUUAUGUGCUUUAAUCUUAUCAUACCACAAAUAUGCAUGCCACCCAAAUACGUUGUUAAAACCUUCUAGGUCCAACACGUCAGUAUUUUCAAGAAGCAGCCAUUCUCUCAGCCAGCAAAACGCGGCCGAUUCAUAAUAAAGUUUAAGGUCUGGCAGGGCAAAUCCACCUCUUUCUUUAGCAUCGGUUAAUAUCUUAAAUUUUAUUCGAGGCUUCUUGCCCUGCCAGACAAAUCUAGAAAUAUCUCUCUGCCACUUCUUGAAACAAUCCAUUUUAUCCAAAAUUUGCGAUGUUUGGAACAGAAACAGCAUCCUUGGCAGUACAUUCAUUUUUAUCGCAGCAAUUCGGCCAAGCAAUGAUAACUUCAGAUUUGACCAUAUUUCUAAAUCCCUUUUCACUUCCAACCAGCAUUUUUCAUAGUUAUCUUUAAAUAAAUUCACAUUUUUGGCAGUCAUAUUGACCCCUAGGUAUUUCACUUUCUUGACCAAUGUUAAUCCUGUCUCCUUCUGAAACCUCUCUCUUUCAAUCUCUGUUAGAUUUUUCUCUAGAACCUUAGUUUUCAUCUUAUUCAGCUUAAAACCCGCAACCUGACCAAAUUCUUGAAUCAGUUCCAAUACUCUUUUGGUACUAGAUUCUGGCUCCUGUAAUGUCAGUACCAAAUCAUCGGCAAAUGCUUUCAAUUUGUACUGUUUAGCUCUGACUUGUAUACCUUUAACCAUUUGGUCCCUUCUAAUUAUGUUUAAGAGAACCUCCAAGACGGAUAUAAAAAGCAAUGGGGAGAUUGGGCAGCCUUGUCGUGUUCCUUUCUCUAUCUUAAAUUCUUCCGUCACUACAUUAUUUACAGUUAAUUUAGCCUUUUGUUCUGAAUAAAUUGCACCUAUACCAUUUCCAAAACCUUGGCCAAUCCCCAUCCCCUGUAAAUUCUUCAUCAUGAAACUCCAGGAAAUAUUGUCAAAGGCUUUCUCCGCGUCCACAAAUAUCAAAACUGCUUUAGUGUUAAUAUUCACUUGUAGUUUUUCUAAAAUAUUAAUUAUAUUCCUCGUAUUGUCAGACAAGUGUCUGCCCGGGAGAAAGCCCAUUUGAUCUUUAUGAAUUUUUUCUACUAGUACCUUUUUUAAUCUUUUAGCCAAAAUGUCUGCAAAGAUUUUAUAAUCCACAUUAAGCAAAGAUAUGGGGCGGUAAUUCUUAAGCUGUGUCUUCUUGGACUCUGUUUUCGGUAUAAGUGUGAUGUAUGCUUCCUUCCACGACUCUGGUGCCCUUUUCCCUUCCAAUAUUUCAUUACAAACUUCUUUUAAUGGCUGUACUAGCCAUUCUUUCAGAGAUCUAUAAUAUCUUGAAGUCAAACCGUCCGGUCCUGGAGAUUUACCCAAUUGCAUAUUCUGGAUGGCCCCUUCUACCUCCUGCUCCGUUAUUUUGUUGUUCAACAUUAGUUUGUUUUCUUGAGAGAUUUUUUGUAGUCCCUUUGUUUUCAAAAAUCGGUCAAUGUCCAUUUCUUUCUGUGUCUCCUGUGUAUAUAAUUGUUUAAAGUACCUCUGAAAACACUUUCUGAUCUCCACUGGAUUCUGUAUAUUUUUCCCUUCCACUUCCAAAUUUGUAAUGGUAUUAAGUUUUUGUCUUUUUUCAUUUGCCAAGCCAGCAGUUUCCCACAUUUAUUUGCCGAUUCAAAUGUCUUUUGUCUCAUCUGUUUAAUUUUCCAUUCUAUUUCCUGGUUCAUCAUUUUCAUAUAUUGUACUUGAUAUAACUUUAUCUCUUUCAAGAUCUCCUGCGACUUUGGUUUCACUCUCAAUUUUUUCUCUCCUUCCUUUAUUUUCUCCAAAAUCUUAUCUUUUUUCUCAUUUUGAACUCUCUUCUUAAUUGCAUUCUGUUGUAUCAAAAAUCCUCUCAUAACCGCUUUACUUGCGUCCCAGAUUACUCUUUUUUUGGUAGUGGUAUUCAUAUUAAUCUCAAAAUAAUCUCUCAAUGUUUUUUGGGCCUUCUUAGUCACUUCUUUGUUCCUAAACAAAGUGUCAUUCAUCCUCCAUCUAAAGGAACCAGUUGGUAUUAGUUUCAUUUCCAUCUUCACAGCAUUAUGAUCGGAGUAAGUUUUAGGGCAAAUUUCCACUUUUCUAAUCUUCGGAGCCAACCCUCUAGUUACCCAAAUUUGGUCAAUUCUUGUCCAUGUCAUUUUGGCCUCAGAGAAGAAAGUUCCCUCUCUUCCCAAAGGGUUCUUCAUUCUCCAAAUGUCAACUAAAUCCAUAUUGUCAGUCAUAUCAAAAAAAGUUUUUGGUAGUCUACCAUCCUUGGUAACUACCUGUCUCAAUGCCUUGUCCAUAUUUGUAGACAUCACUCCAUUCAUGUCCCCCAUCAAAAUCAUAUUGUAAUCCAUAUAGUCCAUCAGAGUCUCGUGUAACUUCUUGUAGAACUCUGAUUUUCCCUCAUUUGGUGCAUAAAUACCUACUAUCAAAAAUUUCUCUCCUUGCGAUUGAAUUUCAAUUGCAACAAAUCUUCCUUGGUCAUCUUUAAAUAUAUAUUGAAGGACCUCAAAUCGCAGCAUCAUCUCUCCCAAACUGAAAAUCAGUGUCUAUAAGCACAAAAUAUGUGACUUCAAAAACAUUCCUCCUUCGGAUCAAGUGUAGUGGCUUCUGUACAUGAAGUAUCAGAAUGUAGAAACAAUGUGAAUAGUGUGGUCUUUGACCACUAGACUCUCCCAGAGCAGCUUUAAUCUUUAAAAGCUUUUCUUUGUAAUGAUGAAUGAUAGACACUCACUCCUGUCAAACUCUUAGGUUUUUCUAGGGAGUGUCAGGAAACCGGUGGAUGCCCCAGAUAUAAUAUUCUUUGGACUGUCGUUCAGAGGUGAAAACUGAGCACGGCACUUGAUUCUAUUUCUCAUAUCUACAAAGAGGGUGACAUUUCCAUGUCUAACAGGGGCAAGAGCAUGACAGAAACGUUGAUACCAAUCAAGCAUUUGUUUGCACGCAACUAUUAUGCCGGAUUGUAUGGUUAUAGGACAUCUGUUAGUGUGCACUGUCAUAAAAGAGGCUGAAUGAUCAAUAUACAAUUUUCACAGAGGGCCUCUUUAUAAUUCUAUGUAAUUAGGGGCAGAUGCAUCUUCUUUAAAUGCUGACAACAGUUUGCCAUUUUUAUAUUAUUCUGUGAAACAUAAAUAAACGACGGACUUUAAUUCAAGGAUUAGGGAAUCUAGUAAUAAUUAAUAAUUAUAAUACUAAUAAUUUGGGGGCAGGCAGGAGGGGUAUAUGUAGGGAAGCCUCAUAGACAAGUCAUAAUCCUAAUGGAUGUAAUUGGAGCAUUCCUUUGCAUAGCAGAAUUGGUAAACAAAUAGGAGUCGAUGGCAGAGAAUAGUGCUGCAUUGUGCAGGGGGUAAGACUGAAUACUAAAGCAGAGCUCUGAUAUAGCUUCAACAACAGUGAACCUUAGACUGAGCCCUAUAUUUGAGCAGCAGUUCAGCUGUCACCUUAUUCUCCUGUGCGAAUGAACGGAGCUUUCUCAGUUUCUGUCCCACCUCCUUCCAUGCUAAGUGAGACAUUUUGUACUGUCUCAGUCUGAUGCUCAAAUAAAUGGAAAGAGAGGACUGGAGGCAAUUGUUUUGCAACAUUCAUGGGGGGACCCAAUUUUCCUUUGGUGGCAGCUGAAGGAUGGGACUGCUGGGCCAAACACCACAUAUCCAUAGCCACUGAACUCUCAGAAAGGGUCAGAGGCUCAGCUAAUGUUUACAAUGGAUUUGUGGAAUGUCAGAUAGGCUGGUAAUUCCCUGGAAGAUGAAUUGCGACUAGUCGGUGCUGUCUCAGCAUGCAAUACUAGCAUGGUUCUUUAAUUUAAAAAAAUAGUAUUUUGGAAUAUUGCUGGCCUUUGUAAUAACUAGAUUGACCUUAGCUGUAGAAAAAUCUACUUCCAGUUUGACUUAAGUUAUCUGGUAAAGAAUGUGAUCGGGCAAAGAAGAGAUGGAGGCACUUUUUUACUGUAGGCUCUAAUUCCUUUUGGAAGGGAAAAACAAUAAAGAAUGCUCUCUCUCUCUCUCUCUCUCUCUCUCUUAGCUCUAAGGCUUAAUUCAUAGAAAUAGUUGAUGAAGUGUGUAUUCCUUAACUGUGCCUCUUGAGAAUGCAAGUGGAAGGCUGCAUGGCUGAACACUCCUUUGUAAAAAAGAAAAGCCCACAAUCCGUGCAUAUAGACAACUAGAUGUAACGGAAAAAGUACACCCUAGCUUUCUUCCUGUUGUGCUGAUUUGCUUAUGAAUGGAUUUCCCCCACUGAGAAGCACCCGAUGAUAUGGCACCCACCUCAAUACCUGUUGCCUUAGUCCAUGAAGAGUAUUAUCUGCUGUUUGUGUGAAUUAGGUUUUCAAUUUCGGUUUCUCUCAGUUUCUCAUUUCCCCUGGCUUAGGUUCAGCUCUCAACAUUUCCACAUUGUUCCUUUUUUAAGUCCUUGUGAAUAUCCACCAGGAUUUUAGUGCGAAUUUCUCCAAAUUGUGUGCAGUUUUGCUCAUACAUGCAGAAUUGGUGUAAUAGGAUUCCAGACAGAAACAGGACAAAGCUCUGGCAGCAACAUUUUGCAUUAGCUGCAACUACUGGGACACCAAGGGUAGCCCCACAAAGAGUUCAUUGCCGUAUUCUAAUCUUGAAGUUACAAUGGCAUGGAUCACUUUGGCAAGGAUAUCUCAGUCUAGGAACAAAAUCUCAAGCGGAAGGCUGGGAGAGAGACUUGCCUGAGAUGUUGGGGGGCUGCUGUUAGACUUUACAUUACUGAUAGGAUGGACUAAUCCCCAAAUCAAUAAUAGAAAAGGGAAAGGAAUAGGAAUAGUACCACUCCAUUCUGCCUUGGUCACACACCUGGAAUACUGUGUCCAAUUCUCGGCACCGCAAUUUAAGAAGGAUGUCAACAAGCUGGAAUGUGUGCAGAGGAAGGCAAACAAGAUAAUCAAGGGACUGGAAACUCAGCCUUAUGAGGAGUGCUUGAAGGAGCUGGGUGUGUUUAGCCUGGAAAAGAGGAAACUGAGCGGACAUAUGAUAGCCAUCUUCAAAUAUCUUAAGGACUGUAUACAUGCUUGUUUUCUCCUGCUCUGGAGGGUAGGACUCGAAACAAUGGCUUCAAGUUACAAGAAAGGAGAUUCUGACUAAACAUUCGAAAAAACUUUCUGACAGUAAGAGCUGUUUGACAGUGGAAUAGACUCCCUCAGGAGGUUGUAGACUUUCCUUCCUUGGAGGUUUUUAAGCAGAGGUUGGAUGGCCAUCUGUCAUGGACGCUUUAGCUGAGAUUCCUGCAUUGCAGGGGGUUGGACUAGAUGACCCUUGGGUUCCUUCUGACUCUAUGAUUACAUCACCAAAUUUUUCUACACAUCUUUGGCUAUUCUUCUUGACAAAGCUGGCCAGCUGAGCUUUUUCUCACACCUUCUCUAGACUGCUGCAUUUGGUAUGUUUGCUCCAAUUCCCAGAAAAGAAGAGGGGUUUUGAUGUGCCAAGAAGCAUAUGUCAUGAGCUGCGCAUCUAGCUCUCUCUUGUGAACCAUAACAGAGAACGCACCAGCAUCUAUAAUGGUAGCGCUGAGGUUGUGGGAGAGGUGUUUAUCUUGGUUGGUGCAUCUACUGAAAAACUCUCUGAGCAAGCAAGUUCGCCUGUAGACUUGUGUAUCUGCUGCUGGUGGUGGAAAAGAAAUCACACAUUUCCCCCUCACUGCUCUGCUUAUGUGUUAACUCGUGUCCCAUAAUCUCCUUUAAAAGUUACAAUGCCUCCAGUAUUUCUACAAAAAAAUAAUCUAGUGAUACAUUGGCUGCAUGAAGCGUUCCAAUGAAGAAUGCUUUAUCUGCCUUUCUAUUGGAGCCAGGCUGAUUCUUGUUAUAGAUAGUGCAUUAUUUUAGACAUUUUAUGUAUUUUCCUGGCUGCAAAGUUACCUUGGUUGCUGCAUUUCCCACAUGCUAAUAAGCACUGUGAAAACCAAACAUUCCUUCCAACACUUCAUGCCUUAUCCAGCCUCCUAUGUUUUCUUCUUCUAACACUUUUUGCCUUCUGGCGUGUUUCAUUUUGGGACGUCCCCCCCCCCUUUCUCUCUGGUAUCCCUGAAAUUCUGUCCAUGGCCACCGGUUUAUUUUGUUUUCUUUUUGGCAGUUUGUUACUCCAGAAGCUUCUGAAAAUUUCCCCCCUCUCCAAGGUGAGCUCAGGAUAUUUCAACCAUAUUUUCUUAAGCACAGCAUCCCUGAUACCAACCAACUACAAUCUGGCCUCUAAUCAUAUACUCUUGUCAGCUCUCUAUAAUUGUAAGUCUGACUCAGCUCCUUGAGGUGAGUCACAAACUCCAACUCUGCUUUCAACUUUCUCCUAUGAAAGUUAUACCUUUCAGAAGUCUUAUUUCUUUCUGGAAUGCAGGAUUAUAAACUUUUUUGCCUUCGUUUUUCGGUGGAAUCACUACGCUGCAGCCCCCUCCCCCUUCCUGAAAACUGCAGAUUGUUAGAUACAGUGAAGGCCUCCUGUUCUGCAAUAUUAAAAAACUAGAUAUCCAGGGCAGGCCCACCCUUGGAGCAAGGUGAGGCAACUACAUCAGGCAGCAGGAUCAACAGAGACAGCAGGUGUGGCCUCCGAAGAAUGGAGCACCCACUGCUGCUGUAGUGUGCUCCUUAGGGGCUAGAUCUGCCUCCUCCUUGGUGGUAUGGGAUGCGGGUGGCGCUGUGGUCUAAACCACUGAGCCUCUUGGGCUUGCCAAUCAGAAGGUUGGUGCUUUGAAUCCCUGUGACAGGGUGAGCUCCCAUUGCUCUGUGCCAGCUCCUGCCAACCUAGCAGUUCGAAAGCAAACCAGUGCAAGUAGAUAAAUAGGUACCACUGUGGUGGGUAGGUAAACAGCGUUUCCGUGUGCUCUGGUUUCCGUCACAGUGUUCCAUUGUGCCAGAAGUGGUUUAGUCAUGCUGGCCACAUGACCCGGAAAGCUGUCUGUGGACAAACGCCGGCUCCCUCGGCCUGAAAGCAAGAUGAGCGCCGCUACUGAAUAGUUGCCUUUGACUGGACUUAAGCCUCCAGGGGUCCUUUACCUUUACCUUUUUACCUUUACCCUCCUCGGCGGUCCCCCGUGGCCACUUCAACAGUGGCAUCUUGGUGAACAGGAGGUGCUGCCAGUCUCCUCCCACCCUUGUUCCCAACGUAGAUCUUUAUUCCUCACUCCUUUACUGGUGUGCAUGUGUGGCAUUUUGCGGUUCGCCUCGGGUGCCAAAAUAUAUUGGGCCGGCCGUGUGGAUAUCUUUUGUGAGACUUAUGUCCCUGCACUUCUUCCAGUCAGCAUCUGGAGUAUGAAGGGUUGUAUAAAUUGCUUGCACAGCUGUACUACUACGGGAUUAACGGCAGAGCAUUCUGCACGAACUCUAAGGGGCUCCAUUUCUUCAAAUCAGCUCUCUUGUCAGCUGAGUACUGGUUACCAUGCUUUGAAAUAUAGUGUGCAAAAGAUCCCCAAAGGGGAGGGGGAAUGUAUUCAGUUAAAAGGGUUUGUGUGUGCGUGUUAGAGCGACUAACGUGCACCUAAAAACAAGCUGACACCAACCACUCCUCCAUAUUAACAAAUUCCCAGUUCCCCCGGGGAAUCCCAAGUAGAUUCAUCAUUGUCAGGCCGGAUGUAAGAUGUUUUGGCACCUGAGGCAGAAAAUCCAAGGGGUACCUCUUUACGAAGGAGAAUAAAUAACUGUGACAAUUUUCUGCCUUUUGAGCUGUCAAACAAAGGAAUAUAUAUAGAUCUCAACUGUGUGUGUUUGUGUAGGGCCAGAAAUCAAGGGCCAAGGGCCCAGAUUGCCCACUGCGAGAGCCACUUUAAUAAGCUGGAGUGAAGAAAUAGGCCCACGGAGGGAGGAAAGGCAUAAGGUGUAAAAAAAGAAAGAAAAGUGAAUUCCGUGUUAGGAGUUACUGGGAAAGGGACUGAAAACAAAACUGCCAGUAUAAUUAUAUUUCAUGUGUGGGGCUCCUUUGAGAUGAAUGGCUCAAUAUAAAUUUAGCACAAAAAAGGGAUAAAUUUCUGGUUGUCCCAACUCAAAAGGGAUAUUCAGUUGGGAAAGGUUCAAGGGGUAGGGGCAACUCUCCACUGGGGAAAAGUUACAUUUGGGGCUUUAGAAGAAAGACGGCUGAGGAGGAACAUUCAAGAAGCUGCUGCAAAAUAUUUUAAGUGAUCGAGCCUUUUUUAAAAUCAAGAGUGAGAGCAGGCAUCAAACAAAGCUCUUUACAUCUGAACAAAAUGGUGACGAGCUGCUGCUUCACUGAGAAUUGUCAUUAUAAUUUAUUUAUUUAUUUGGAGUAAUAAUUAUUAGAAAGAUAUACCAAAACUGGAUCAGCACAUUGCACAAAAAGGAGAAACGAAACAAAACAAAACACCUUCCACAGAUGAAAAGGGGCUCUCAUUUUCAUCACACUGAGCAGCCGUGCUGUGAAGAAUCUUUAAACAAUAAUAAAAUGGAACUGGAAUUGUUUGAGGCUGCUAAAAAUGGAGCCACAGUGAGAGAAAGUCUGAAAAAGAUAUUGAACGCAGAGAAUAUAGAACGUGUCAAAUCCCUCACUUAGGAGGCAUAAAGACAUUUAAUAUUAAAAUACAUGUAUCACAGUAUUGAUCUAUUAUAGACAUUUGUGCCUUUAAAUAAAGAUUAAAAGGCUUUGUUGGCAUAGUUUAAAAGUUCUCUUUUUACGACAUCCCCUCCUCUCUGUGCCAGUGGAAAUUCCUUUUUUUUUAAAAAAAAGGUCCCGUGCCAAAAAUUGGCUGCUUGAGGUGGCCAGCACACUCUGCCUCAUGGUACUGCUUUGAUUCACUUGAAACACUCUUAAAGCGUUAUUUGAAUUGAAACAAUUUCACAGAAAACAGGGUGGUUUUAGACCCAGUUGAUCAAUCAUUGGUCCUCUUCCAUCCUUCCCCUGGAAUACAUUGUUUUAGGGGCUUACUGGUGGAAAUUCUUUUAUAAUUAUCUUCAAACAAAUUUAAAUUUUUCAUUGUAAUCUCUAGCCCCCAAAUACUUAGCUUUUUUCACUACUUCCAAUCCUGUUCUAUCCCCCAAUUCCUCCCCCCCCCCGAUUCUGUAGAUUUUUUUUACCAUGAGUUUUGUUUUUAGUCUGUUGAGUUUAAACCCAGAGACCUUGCCACACUCUGUUAUGGUUUCUUGGUCAUCUCAGAGCUAUCUCUGUGGAGUUUGGGUAGAAUCUACUGAUCCUGGAUAUGUACAGUCUGCCUUGCCUUUUCUAGGCGCAUCUGUGGUUUCUGUAUCUUUUGAACAUCUCAUUCUUAUGAUGGUUUCAUGAAAAUGCAUUUUUGUGCAAAUGUACACUUAAGAAGAAGAGUUAAGGAAGCCACAGACAGCACAAACAAUAGCCUAAAGCAAAAUCUAUUCGAAAGUAAUAGAUGUGAAGCUAACGUGAAGCUGUCUUAUUGUUGGUUUGCUUUUUACUGUUGUGUGUGUGUGUGUGUGUGUGUGUGUGUGUGUGUAUUUGGAUUGUUUUGUUGGUUUUCCCCAGCUGCUUCAAGCAUCUGGAGUGCUGGCAUCAGCACCUAGUAUAAUAAAGAAAUAAAUAAUACAUAGAAUUACAGCAAGGUCAUGAGCUUAGACUACUUUGAGUUCCAGUGACAAAUACCUGUUUCUGGAGACUUCCGGGUUAGCGCCUCCGGCAAUGGCGGAUUUCCUCUGACCGGGAGGAAUCCGCUUCGUGGAAAUCAGGGUCUGGACUGCCACGGCGAGGCGGAGACCCAUCAAAAACCACAGGCGGGAGAAGCCUGUGGACGUGGGAUUCGGCUGGCACCUUUUGCGCCUCCCCUACUCGCGGGGAAACCCGGUUUCGGGGAUCCGGAGCGACGUGGGGUGAGCGGCGCGGUGCUUUGAAUCGAUUGCUUUUUUCACGAAGUGAAGCCGCAUUGCUGUUGCCGGAGAGCGCUGACUUUUUCCUGUGGACAAUUGGACUUUAAACAACUACCUGUGAGUAGAACGGAAAAUUGGACUACUAAACAUCUUUAAUUUGGCACCGAUGCGGGAAGGUUCCAAACAGGAAGUCCGCCUUCCGCUUUUGUAAAUAGAUUGAAGCAAAGACAUUGCAAGCUAAAGUCUGGAAAGUCUUUUGUAAAGGAUUAAAUCUCCAUCGGCUAAAAUUACUAAACCCCCCUUGGAAGCAGGAGAAGAGGGGGAAGUUUAGAUUGUUUAAGCCUGCAGGAGAGAGAGUGAAGAAAGAUAAAUUACCACCGUUUUGAACCUGGGAACGGGCUGCCAGGGAGCGACGUAUUGGGAAAGUUCAUUGACUGUGAAUAAAACGUAUGUUGACAGAUAGUUAAACAAGAGAAACAUAUUGAUUCCAAUGUUUCCUUUUGCACUUGAAAGGAGCAAAAUAUCUGAAAAUCGAAAUUAACUUUGUUAACUUUGUUGCUGGACCUGCUUUUAAAAAGACGGAUACAAAUAGAAAUUGUUUCCCCUAGAUGGAGCUCUUGAAACUGUUGUAGGAGUGGAUCUGGGGAAUUCUCCAGCUGUAGAGAUUAAAGCCGUGAGAAUUAGACAUUGACCUUGGACAAGAAUGUGGACAGAAGAAGCCUUAGUGAUUGCUUUUUGCAAAACAAAUGCUUCAUUGGAACAGCUUCAUGAGAAGAUGGAUGCGAUGACUACUAGCACUGACAAUUUUGGACAAAAAAGGAUUGAUUUGGGACAAAAAGUGAAUACUUAUAAAGAAACUACUCAGGAACCGACCCAGGAAUCUGCUUUGACAUGGCAAGCUGUGGAGAAGACAAAGGAGGAGGUUGUUGUUGAACCUCAAGUAAUACAAGUGGAGAGAGCCUCGGCCUUGUAUGAGCAUAAGCUGUUGCUUUUGAAGACCGAAUCUGGAGAAAGCCAGAUUUGGAGAGAUGGAGUCCCGCUUGGAUUGGAGAAGGAAAGUUGGAAAGAUCCCUUCAUGCAGGGAUGUUCUGGCCUUUGGGAUCUGUUUUUGGGCCGGGGGAGAUUGGAGUGGCGAGGGCCUUUAACUUUGGAGGGACUUUGAAACAUGCUUUGAAUUAUUUUUUGGAUUUUGGCCCUGUCUAUGGAGAAUAGGCUGACCUGUCGAGAAGGGAUAAAGACAUUGUUAGGUUGGAGUCUUCCCGAGACCUACUCCUCAGUGACAAAGGAAGGAAAUUAAGAACAAGAUCAGCAGAAGACAAAGUAAAGUGUAGGUAUAAAUAUGAAGAAGAUCUGCAGAAGGGACAUGGAAAAGAGUUAAGAGCCUCGGACAGGAGAUCACCAGGUUGAUGGACUAGAUGGAAUGGAUAGAAAAGACUGACAGAACCCGAGACCAGGGUGAAGAGAUGGUGGAUGAAGAUUGGAAGAAAGUUUUAAAAAAUUUAUUUAGAGAAAUAUUGAAAAAUUUAUGAGUGUUAGAAAAAUGUUGGAAUGAAACUAUAUGGCUUUAGUAGAAAUGUUAUAAGGAGUUAUGUACAAAUAAGUUUUAAGUUUUAGGGUUUUUUAUGGUAAGAUAAAGUUAAAAUAAAUUGAGACAAUUAAAUGACAGAAAAUAGUGAAAGAUGGAAAGGAUUUGCUGAAAUAAUGAAUAACUAGAAUACAAAAAAGGGAGGUGUGAGGAGGUCGAUGAAACAAGUUAAUGAAAGACAAAGAUAUAGAAAUAUUGGAUCUAUUUUUAACUUUUUUGCUUUUGUUUUUGGUCUUGAUGUAUUGUGUGUUUUGUUCUUUUCUUUUUCUUUUUCUUUCCUUUUUUUAUAUGUAUUGAUUUGUAUUGUUUAAUCUCUUUUUCUCUUUUUUUUACACUUUUUUCUGUAAUUUUAAACUUUCGAUAAAUAUCAUUUAAAACAAACAAACAAAUACCUGUUUCUGCAACUGUUCUAAACAACAGAACUUCCUCCCAGAACCUUUGUUUGAUUUCUAGGUAAUCCCAGACAUUCCCUCUGGCUCAUCAGCCAAAUAGCUUUGAAGGCUUUUCCUUCUUCACUUCAGUGAAGAAAUAAUGCGGAAUCGAAUUGAACGGAAAACAAUUUGAAUUAAUUUCCAUUCAUCUGUGGGUCUAGUAGCUAGGACCUUGAUAGCGCUACACCUAUUACGAUGAGAAACAACUUCUUCUAAUAGUAUGUCAUAUAAAGCCACAACUUCUUCUCACCCUCCCCCAAAGUUUCUGUUCCUAGGAAGAACUCAACUCUAGCCUGAACUUUUGCUAUCUGAAGUCCAGUCAGCAUGUAAUGAGGCAAGACUCUUGUGAAUAAUAAGUGAUUUACCAGUAAACGUUGAUUAAUACCCCUUCUAUAAUUAUUGGGUUGUGUUUUUUUUAACCUGUUGCAGCAUACAAUAUCAUAGCUGAUAAAGUUUUAUAGGUUCAAGUCAUGAAACUGAAAUUAGCUCCUUUAUGCUCAAAGGGCCAGAAAAGAGAUUAGUUUAUUCAGAUCAAUGCUCUUUCACAAUUCCCAGGUGUGUCUGGUUUUGAUAGGAUACAGCUGGGUGACGUGGGUGAAAAGCUUCACAAAAUAACCCAUCACGAUUUGUACGUUGUCACUGUUCAAAAAUGCUUAGCAAACAUUAAUCAACAGAUUCAUUAAUAGUGUUUAUCUUUAUAUUUAAGACAAUAGCCGACAGUCACAAUGUGCGGAAUGGAUCUGCUUCCUUCGCAUAACCUUGAGGGAGGCAAUUGUAAAUAUGGCUUGGAUAAGUUUGAUUUGUAUGCCCCUCUUGGCAUACUUACUUGUCUUAAUUUGAAAUUCUAAUGGAUACCUUAGUCCUGCCUUAGCUCCAGUAGUGUAAACAGAGAUAUACUGCAGUGGAAACACAAACGAUUGGAAUAGUGAUGAGGAGCGUAAGUGGUGAGAGUGCUGUGGUACUCAUGCUCUCCAUGUGAGCCUCCAAUAGGCAUCUGGUUGGCCACUGUAAGAACCGGAUGUGGGACCAAUUUGCAUGUGGUCCCUGGUAUCACCAGCAAAACCAGCUAUUUGUAUACUGGCAAAAAGGAAAGAAAAAGCUCCCAUUCAUUCUACGGCAACCUUCAAGAUUAGCUGGGGACCUAAUUUACCUUGAAUUAUCAGCAUUAGGAGGGACGCGGGUGGCGCUGUGGGUUAAACCACAGAGCCUAGGGCUUGCCGAUCAGAAGGUCAGCGGUUCGAAUCCCCGCUACGGGGUGAGCUCCCGUUGCUCGGUCCCUGCUCCCGCCCACCUAGCAGUUCAAAAGCACGUCAAAGUGCAAGUAGAUAAAUAGGUACCGCUCCGGCGGGAAGGUAAGCGGCAUUUCUGUGUGCUGCUCUGGUUCGCCAGAAGCGGCUUAGUCAUGCUGGCCACAUGACCCGGAAGCUGUACGCCGGCUCCCUCGGCCAGUAAAGUGAGAUGAGCUCCGCAACCCCAGAGUCGUCCGCGACUGGACCUAAUGGUCAGGGGUCCCUUUACCUUUUUAUCAUCAUCAGGAAGGGCGGUAUUUCUGCUACGACUCAGAUUUGAGUAUGGAUAAAUGUAGAUAUGUAAAUGGGCAUGGUCACACAAGGCUCCUGGUUCCCUUGGAUUUGUAACAUGAAUUUGUACGGCCUUUGGGACUGAGCUUUAUGUUAUAUUCAUUUGAAAUUUCAACUGGUGCAAUAGCCAAGGAAGAGAAAACAAGAGUUACUUUAUCCUUGAAUAAGGUUGCCUGCUUUUGCUUUUGAUGCAAGAGACUAAUAGCAUUACCCUUCUGGAAAGAACUAGUAUGCAACUUUAAUUAUUGGUGCCUGAGUUUGCUCCUUUUCUUCUAUACUCAACUUUAGCUGAGAACUCAUGAAGAACCCUCCUCUUUUUUGAUGACAGUUAGUGUAGGGGAGUCUUGAACUCAUCAGGUCCUCAUCUCUGCUACAACAUUGAUAUAUCGUAAUUUUUAGCUAGUAAUAUAUCGCGAUGUUGAAAACCAGGUAUCGCCCAGGCCUAAACAACAGUGCUAUAAAUUUGUAAUACAUACAUACAUACAUACAUACAUACAUACAUAUAUACAGUGGUACCUCAGGUUACAUACGCUUCAGGUUACAGACUCCGCUAACCCAGAAAUAGUGCCUCAGGUUAAGAACUAUGCUUCAGGGUGAGAACAGAAAUCGUGCUCUGGCGGCGUGGCGGCAGCAGGAGGCCCCAUUAGCUAAAAUGGUGCUUUAGGUUAAGAACAGUUUCAUGUUAAGAACGGACCUCCAGAACGAAUUAAGUACUUAACCCAAGGUACACACACACACACACACACACACACACACAUAUAUAUAUAUAUAUAUCUCUCCAGAGCUGCUGUGGCUCUAAUAGAAGGCUCAUGGGCAGAAAUUCAAGCAGCAAAGCUUUACCUCUCAUGGAGAUGCAGCAAAAGGAGGGGAAAAAGAACACCUUACCACACAAAAGCCUUUUUUUUUUUUAAAGCAGACAACAUGGUAGUAAUGUAUAAAUCAGACCUAGUAUAGACAUAUCUUUCUCACAGAAAAUAAACAGCAAGUAAGACCAACAUAGAUCUCAGUGUGAAUAAAGGCAACAGAACUGGGCAGUGGAACCAGCACAUAAUCUCACAGACCUCAGUUAGCAUUCACAGUACGAAUCACAGACAUGAAAUGGCCCACACUGAUUACUGUGUAGAUUGUAGCUGAUACUCUCUCGUACCUUUUGAACGGAAUAAAAGUUUAUUUAGGAGACAUUUUGAGCUCAAUGGGAUGCACUAGGCCUUCCAUGAUAAACAAAGUUGAAAUUCCCAGAAGCGCACGGUGUAGCAUUUCCAGGUAUUAAACACAAAGCAGUUUUCAAUUUUGUUCACGUCUUGCUUCUGUUUGACAAUCUCAUCUACUCCGUUUGUUGCCAAAGGCUAAUGCUCGGCUCCUCACUGACAGUCUCCAUCACUCUUGGAGACAGUCGGAGAGAAGGAAAGAAAAACAUUUUGUUCUCUACUGGGGUGGUUUUGCUCCUGGUGAAAAUAAAAGGGGAGGGGCAUGGGAGCACCACCAGUUUUACAGUGUACUGGACUAAGAGUUUGGUGGGGGCAGUAGGCCACAUAAGUGCAUGGAUGCUACUUCUCUGUUGAACAAGGACCUUGGUCCUUGCAGAAGAUCCUUAGUUUUGAGACAAUGCUCUUAUAGUUGGUUGGAAAACACCCACACUCCAAAAACACCUAGUAAAUGAACAGUGCUUUUCCUAGCUGAAGUGGUGCUUCAGGUUAAGAACAGUUUCAGGUUAAGAACGGACCUCCGGAACGAAUUAAGUACUUAACCCAAGGUACCAAUGUAAGGACCUCCUAAUUAAACCAUGUUAAUAACAUGAUUAUAUAUAGGUGAAUUCACUUGGAUUUACUUUGGAAUUAUUAUUUUUUGGUGGGGAAGGAGAAAUAGAUUUGACUGCUUUGGACUAGAUAUUGUAUUAAUGUAUCCAUAGAGCUGUCACAAAAUGGAUUCCUCCAAUUCACAACUCCACUCACAGGGCACAAACUAUGGACACAGGAGGCUGCUUUCAACUGAGUCAGACCAUUGAUCCAUCCAGCUCAUUACUGGCAGUGGCUCUCCAGGGUUCCAGGGAGGACUCUUUCCCAGCCCAGGAGAUGCCAAAGAUUGAACCUGGGACCUUCUGUAUGGAAGCAGAUGCCCUACCACUGAGCUACAACCCUUUCUCCUAUUUGUGGGAGAGCAAUUCACUAAUUUUCAUGACCCUGUAGAAAAUGAUAGAGCUGCUCUGGCAGAGCAUCCCAAGAGGAAGAAAGCUGGCUGCCCAACAGCCCCAUAGCUAGCAGUAUGCACAGGGUUCAAAUUAUAUGGAGGGUCUACACUUGUUCAACAGGCUUCCCUUUUGCAGACAAGUCCCAAUGCAUGGACAGUAUGUGAACAGGACUGGUAGGUUAUGCAGCGGCUAGGGUAGGGGGAGCUCUUUCUCCACAUCAUCUUAGUCACAUGGAGGUAAAGGUAAAGGGACCCCUGAGCAUUGGGUCCAGUCGUGACCGACUCUGGGGUUGCGGCGCUCAUCUCGCUCUAUAGGCCGAGGGAGCCGGCAUACAGCUUCUGGUCAUGAGGCCAGCAUGACUAAGCCAUUUCUGGCGAACCAGAGCAGCACACGGAAACGCCGUUUACCUUCCCGCCGGAGCGGUACCUAUUUAUCUACUUGCACUUUGUGCUUUCAAACUGCUAGGUUGGCAGGAGCUGGGACCGAGCAACGGGCGCUCACCCCAUCGCGGGGAUUCGAACCGCCAACCUUCUGAUCGGCAAGUCUUAGGCUCUGUGGUUUAACCCACAGCGCCACCCGCAUCCCAUUCGCCACCCACAUCCCACUCACAUGGAGGUAAUAAUGCCCAAAUAGGGCUUCUAAAAUAACCAAAUGCGUUUCUCUGACUAUAUAGGUAUAUAGUAAAACUAUAUAUAUAAAUUACUUUUUGUCCCAGUUUUUAGCUGGAAGCAUUGGACCCAAUAGACACAGUGAAAAAUUGAGAUUGUUAAGCUGGGAUGAUCAGAAAGGCAAGGUGAACUAUCUUUCUGUAUGCUCCGCUUGUUUCUUCAUGCUCAGUGUACAGUUUAUUACACCUUAAGUGUGUUUACACAAAUGCAAUAUUGUAAAUAUUUAAUUGUCUUUGUAACGGCUCAGUCAGUCAGAUUCUUAAAGGUUAUGUUGAGAGCUUCUGGAGUCCCAGGGCAGUGUUUAUUUUUAGUUUACAAUGAGCAGCUUGUUGAAGACUCACCAUCUGCUCAAAUGAAAAAAACACCACUUGACAGAGUGGACAAUUGAAAGGAUGCCUGCAAUUCUUAAUGAAUAACUUGUGGCCCAUUGUCACAAAUCGGUUAUCCUGUCACCAUAACUCACUGACUCGGAGUGACUUUGAAUGUGAUGUUGACAGGCACUUCCUGUUGCUCUGGGCCUCAUCUUGGCCAAAAUAGACCUUUCAAAUUUCCUUCCCCCUCUCCAGCACUUAGACAUUCAGCAUCCCAAAGUGCAGAAAGGGCAUGUAAGCUUGGACAUGGGGGAUUCUUUUCCAGAAAAGACAGGGAUGUAGUGGAAAAUAAGGCAUUGCACAUUCUGUUAUACAAUGGAAGAUAAGACAUAUGUAAAAAUGAGCAGGCACUUGCCUAGUACAAAAAAAGAAAUUUGGAAGUUACAUUGGUGCAGAUUGCCUAUAGUACAACUUGGAAGCAGAGUGGUCUAACGUCCACAAAUGCUUGUCAUGUGGUGCCUCACUACACUACAAAUACUUCAAGUAUUUGGCCCCCUAAUUGAAGGAGGAGAUUUAUCGCACUGACUCUUCCAGGUUGCCUUAUCUGCUGAACAAUUGUAGGAAUGACGUUGUGAAGAUUGUGGCAAGAUUUUUGAGUGAUGCCAUGAAAUUAUGUCACCAUAGGUCCUAAGAGCUAUUUUCGUACAUCAUGAUGUCUGGACAGUUUUAUCCUAAAGUAUCUCCACUAUGUUUUGUUAACUGUGUUGUGUCCAUGUAUACAAUGCACUUUUUCAAUGCCAAUAAAGGAGAUUGAUUGAUUGAUUGACCAACCAACCAACCAACCAAUCAAUCAAUCAGUGGAGGCACCAUAUCAAUGAAAUGAUAUGGUGCCUCCAUUGACAGCUGCCUCAAAACCCCAAUAUAAGAAGAACAUAAAGUAUAGCAGUUGGUUCUCUUGGUGUUUUCUAUGUGGCUAUGCCUAUCGGUCAAAGCAGGGUAAUGUCUAUAAAGACAUUUCUAAUGGCAUGUGGCUUGGGGUAAUGGCUCAGGCCUCAGGUAGUAUUUUUACUCAAAGAAGAAAGCAAUGAUUAGAAAUGAAGUCCAUAGAGUUAAGAGUGUAUGGAACCCCUUGAGGAAGGUUGCUCACCGUAUCAAAACUUCCCCUGAACUUCCUCAAAUCUACCUCAAAAGUUUACUUUGAUGGAAAUUCUGCACUGAACGUAGUUCCAAAUCUUCUCAAGUUUGCCAAUGCAUGGAGAAUUUCUUACUCAGCUCCAAAUUCCCAAAAGAAUAUCCAGUGCUCACAAGAGCCACAAGAUAUUCAAGGCACUUGUUUAAAAAGAGUUGGGGAGUUCCAUAUAGGGAUAUGCAGAAUCCCACAAUAAUUUUUGCUGGUCUUAUUGAAGCUCUGCUUAUUUCCUUUGAAAAUCCUUUUCUAUUUUGCCCCGAGUAGUGAUCCUGACUCAAAUUCACUUUGAAAAUUAAUUUUAGGUGAAAUUGGGGCCUAUUUUCACUAGGGCAAUUCUAAAUUAAAACAUGUUCUAAUGAUAUUUAUUAGAGUACUGUCUGCUUGCCUAGUCAGUUGUGUUUCAGUUACAUCUGCAGCCAGUCAUAUUAUUUUUAAAAAUGUUUAUCUUUGAAAUGCCAUGGCCACAGCUAUGUGGAGUUUUGCGUUGACAGUAUUUCUCCUCCAUAUGCCUUUGGCUUUUUCAUAUUGUCAUGACAACGUGAUGAGAAUGAGACCUUACGCAUUAGUUUGUAGUACGGCAAUUCAGAUUUUUGUUCUGAUGUAAACAGAGAGAGAUGAGAGAAAAUUCACUGGUAUAUAAAUCAUAUGGAAUAAAACAUGUUUACAUUGUUGAAUUCAAGCUCCACUACUUUCUUGCUGUAAUGUUCUGGGCAUAAUUUUCACAAAGCAUGUGUGUAGCUAAAGGAUUUGCUUUAAGCUUGAGGGAGCAGUGAUGUCUUCACAUUUAGGCUACAGCGGCAAAAGCAAUAAAGCAUUUCCUUACAAGCUCCAGAUCUGCUUGCUUCCAGGAGAUGAAUGGCUUAGAGGGCUACACAAACAACUGAAUUUCCUGGCACCCCUGUUACACCUGAGAAAGCACUAAAGCACCUGAGCUUUUCUAUUUCACAUUGGAAAAACAGAUCCAAACAUUUGUUAUAAAACAAAAGGCAAAAAUAUGGGAGGCCACCAUCCUUUCGGAGGUAGGACCAUAAAGAUGCCAUUUUUCAUUUUUAUUAGUGAAGUCGCUGAAGUUUGUAAUUAUCUGGUUUAGAAUGCAGUUUGUAAAGCUCAGCAGUGCUAUGAAAAUGAGAUCCUGUGCAUGUGCAGCCAGUUAGUUCCCAAAGUUAGCUGCUUUGUACAGUGGUACCUCAGGUUACAGAUGCUUCAGGUUACAGACGCUUCAGGUUACAGACUCUUCUAACCCAGAAAUAUUACAUCGGGUUAAGAACUUUGCUUCAGGAUGAGAACAGAAAUUGUGCGGUGGUGGCACGGCAGCAGCAGGAGUGCCCAUUAGCUAAAGUGGUACCUCAGGCUAAGAACAGUUUCAGGUUAAGAACGGACCUCCAGAACGAAUUAAGUUCUUAAGCCAAGGUACCACUGUAGAUGGACAUUCGAACAUUAUUUAAUAAUAAACUCCUUGAUCUCACUGAAUCUCUGGAUUGCUGUGAACCUGCAGGAACUACGGAUGCCACCUGCCCAUGCACAGAAUAGCUUUACCACUAAAUCCUUACUCCUGCUGAAAUGCUUGUUGAUUGCUGCUAACUUCAUGAGGAGACCACUUGACCAAUCAGCCUUUUUGAUGAAUAUUUUCUCUAUGGGUAAAUUAUCUUGAGGUCAUGUGACUUUUGUCCCCCCAUCCAUACCUAACAUCCUCUUGUUCCCAGAUGUAUUUGAUUUAGGAAUGAUUUCUCCAUUUAGACUCUAUACCUUGCAGUUUUUGGAUCCCCCGUAUUGACCCUUUUGUCCCUGUGCUCAAUCACCUCUGGUCCAGAUCCUUUGAGGACUUGCAUUUCUAUAUACAUCGUCACCUAAAGCCAAGCACAGCCGCACUGCCCUGCUUGAUGCCUGCAAGUUAGACAUCGACUGUGCCAGGUUGUGAUCUUACCUGUGAAUGCCUUUAGGUUCUGGCUUCACAAUACAACUGCUGGUAAAUUGUAUAAGGGUUUAAAUAUUGUCAGUUCCAUAAGAUUACACCAAUACUGAUAAAUCAAAGGACCACAUACUGUAUGAUAUCAUUUGAUGGAUCAGAAAGCAUCCACAUAUGUAUCAUUUGGUGUAUCAGAAACAGUGGACAUAAAUCAUAUGUGAAUAUUGUCUAUCUGUACUGCAUUACCUUCAGCUAGAUGGGCAGUGGAAUGUGCAACAUCAGCCAAAUUUUGGUGCAACCAGUGAUGCAUAAGCAUGCUCAACUAGAGUUGAUUGUAAACAUUCAUGUUUAAUUCCACAUUAUGAUUUUCAUUGUCGUAAGCAGCCACAACUAUACAUAGCAACAUUUACUGAACUAAUAUCUAAUUUGCCUUUCAUCUGUUGAGUCCUACCAUAGCCCAUUAAGUAGUCUGGCUAUUAAUACACUAUAAUUAUUAGGAUUCUGCUUCCCAGCUGGGAGAUAAAUUUGGAUAAUUACUGGGAGCAGAUGCAAUGCCACCUGCCUCCCGCUACUGAACUGUGACCCAUGUUGUCCAGAUGGCAUCCCUAAUUUAAGACGUCCUCCUGGAGCCUACAACCAGCAGAUUGAAGAGGAGGAAAGAAUCUGGUCGUGGGAUCUUACCUCUUAACAUUUGCUGCUUCAUGUAUUCAGCAGGAUUUUUAGACUUCCAAGGAGGUGAGGAAAAGCACCUUGCUAUCUUGGUGUCCUCUUGGCGGCAUAGAUGGUCCUCAGGAAGGGAUGUGGAGCAGAUGGAAAUGAUGUGAUGAAUUGCAUUGACUUUGUGUUAGCAUUUCAUCUCGAAGUAGAGCAGCCUUUUCCAUCCUGCUGGCUUCGUGCUCUUUUAGACUACAACUUCCAUCAGCCCCAUGCAACAUGGCCAUGCAGGUUGAGGCUCAUGGUGACUGUGGUCCAAAACAGGUGGAAGAAAACACAAUGGGAAAAGAUACUUCAGACAAAAUGAUGGAAAUAUAUGCAUACUUAACUUGGGAGAAAAUCCCAUUGAAUUCAGUAAAAACAAACCAACAAAAACAUAGCAACCAACUAUUAAGUAGCUAGAACCCCUCCAAUGACCAACAGUGCUUAGUUUGUUGUUACUGCCAACUUACAUAGACUAUUUAUUAAAGUUAGUUACGAUAUUCUACACUGAUAAGGCAAAAUGACUGCUGGGCAUUUACCGUUUCCUUUAAGAAAUGCUUUUGCUUUAAGUAACUAAAGUGAAAAUGACUAAUCUUAAACCAAUUAAGCUCGUAGUCUUUUUGAAUUGCCUUAGAAUUCAAUUUAAUAGAUCCAAUUUAGGCAAAAUCCAAUUUGAAAGGUUGGUCGGCGAGUAAAACACUGGCCAAAACCUUUGGAUUGGCCGAGGAAAGAGACUUUCUAAUUUUCAUAUUGAUUCAUAGUAAUUGACAAUCUAAUUUUAAAAACAGCAAUGUUUGUUCCUUACCUCAGAAAGUAUAUUUAGCAGUAGUGACUGUAAAUAUGCUUUAAGAAAGCAGAAUAAUAUGUUAAACAGUUUCACUAAUUGGAUAACAAUGAUUAAUAUUCCAAUUCAACAAAGUGCGAAACGAACACUUCUCUGUAUUAGUUUUCCUCUGCUUACCAAGUGUUGGGUCUUAUCAUUCAGAAAGCAUAAAUAUAAAUGGAAAUUAUACAUUAGGCUGGCACAUAUUAAAUGAACAUUUUUCCAUAUAGUACAAGAAACAUAGCUGAACAUCAGUUGUACUUCCAUAUGAGUCCCAUCUGAAGUUCAUGAGGAGGUGGGACCAGCAGAACCUGUUCUAUGGUGGCACCAAUAUAUUGGAGCCUUUGCAAAAGGAAACGCAUCACAACAGGCAAUGGGUGGCUUCAGAUUCUGUCUCUUGUCCUCUUGCCCUUCACCCUAUUUAAGUCCACUGUUGGUAGAAAAGUGGGUGGGCAGGACCCCUCAUAGUCAGUGGAGAGAGGGAAAAUGACUCUCACCAAAGUACAGACACAGGAAAUGACAUCAUGGCUGGGGAAGGGACAAUGCUGAGGAGACAGUGUUGGGCCCCUGGCCGGUGUUCGGUUGUGCUGUCUUCUGCUGCUGUGCCUGCCUCUGAGGACUGGGACUGCAGCAGAUGGCGAGGGGGGGUUUAAUCCUUUCCUCCAAUUCUAUAGUCCCAUUGGCACCAUCUUGUUUGAUGGGAAGGUCAGAAUAUGAGGCGGAAAUGUAGUUGCGAUAUGCUAGAAGGGCCAAGCACUUCUCAAAGGACGCUCCCUGGCUUGCUAUUUUGAGUUGGGAUUCAGUCACAAAUCCAGAUCUCCAGCUACCAGUGUUGUGUAGUGGUUAGACUAGGACCUGGGAGACCAGGGUUCGAAUCCCGAUUCAGUCACGAAGCUUGCUAGGUGACCUCAUGUCAGGCACUGUCCCUCAGCCUAAGUUACUUGAGCAUGUGGUGGAAUGUCAGUUCCAGGGGUUUCUGGAGAAAAUGGUUGAUGUAGAUCCAUUUCAAUCUGGUUUUAGGCCUGGUCUCUGCAGCGGCCAGGGGUGCAUUUGCACAGUUAAAACUCUUGUGCCAACUGCACCCAUUCUCUGAGAUGUCUGAUUUGGUCACAGUGACACAACCCAGCAAGGAUAUAAUACUUUUUUUUUGUUCUUAACUGGGAACAGCUUGUGAGGAGCGGGAAAUGGCCAAUUUAUAUUUUAUAAAGCGGUGGCAACGCACCAGCAAUGCAAGUGUUAACAUGCCUGACUUAACAAGGCUCUAUUUCCUGACAGCGCAACAUGGUUUUUAAAAACACUCCUGAAUGAAGAUGGUAACAUGCCAGUCAUUAUACAAGGGAUAAUGGUGGCAGAGCGAUGGCUGAAUGAGAUAUUUCAUUUUUUUUUUAAUGGGACAAAACUUUUCUUCGCAGCUGUCUUUCUGCCUCUUUCUCUUACCUUUUCUUUGGCUGCCUCUCUUCUCCUUUAUCCUUUCAUUCUUGUUUCAAGAAUAGCGAAAGAACAGCGAUAAGAAAAAGGUGACAGAGAGAUAAAUCACACAAAAGACUUUAAAAAAGCCUGACAUAUACGAACAUGGGAAAUGCAUUGCUUGAUAGAGCAAUGAUGUCUUUAACAUGACUACCCACCCCCAUGAGCCCAACACACUUUUGUGAAAGAUUUUGCGCUCAUUUUGUUUUCCCCAGUGUUUGGGGGCAUUUUGGAGAAUGGGUAGAAAAUGCUGCCGAAAUAUGGAUUACUAAUCUGUGUGUGCAUAUGCGUCUCAGAACUGUCAGACAGAGGGUGGAUGUGUCUUAAAAGAAGAGGAAGUAAUGGAUGUUUUUCCCAGGGGGGAAAAUGUUUUGUUGCUGUUUCAGGUCUUGGCUUCAGGAUCCCAGUGGCAUCCCAUUCUACAUUGGGACAGAACACACCAUGGGAACAAAAUUGUCCCAUGGUGUCACACAGGGGUGGGGAACCUCAGGUGGUGGGGAGAGGGGUGUGUGUGUGAAUGCGGCCCUCCAGGUCUUUUAUUCUGGCCCUUGGAACCCUUCAUGCCACGCCUCCUCUCUCCAGGCCACACUGUUUUGCAUCCUCCUUGAGUGGGUUUGCCUGGGUGAAAUGAACUCCAGCAUAGCCUUUUGCUUGUAUGGAUAGAGGAGAGGGGUACAUAGGGCUGUGUGUAGAAACUAGCCUAUGGAGAAAGGUAAAAUGUACCGUAUUUUUCGCUCUAUAGGACGCACCAGACGAUAAGAAACACCUAGUUUUGGGGGGAGGAAAACAAGGAAAAAAAUAUUCUGAAUCCCAGAAGCCAGAACAGCAAGAGGGAUCUGGCUUCUGGGAUAGUCUCUUGCUGUUCUGGCUUCUGGGAUAGCCGCUGAAGCCUCUCCUGGGCAGCGGGAUGAAGGCUCCCCCUGCCUGGAAGAGGCUGCAUGUGGGUAAGCUGCCCUUUGUCCCUUCCCCCAUCUCCCGCAAGAGCCGCGUGCUCUUUAAAGGGAGUGCGGCUCUUGGGGGCUUUUCUGGGAGGUGGGGGAAGGGACAGAGCCACACGCUCUGUCCCUUCCCCCCACCUCCCGCAAGAGCCGCGCGAAGCCUCCGCAGGGCAGCGGGGAGCCUUCAUCCCGCUGCCCUGCGGAGGCUUCGGGGGGCUAUCCCAAAGCCAGAAUAGCUAGAGGGAGCGCUGCGCAGCACUCACUCUAGCUGUUCUAGCUUCCUGCAAAGCCUCUGCAGGGCACGGGCAGCCUUCACCCCCGUGUCCUGCGGAGGCUUCACGGGCUGUCCCAGAAGCCAGAACAGCAAGACGGAGCGCUCCAUCUCACUGUUCUGGAUUCUGGGACAGUCCGCGAAGCCUCCAGAGGGCAGCAGGAUGAAGGCACCCCACUGCCCUGUGGAGGCUUUGCGCAGCUAAGCCCGAAGCUAGAACAGUGAGACGGAGCACUGCACAGUGCUCCCUCUCCCUUUUCUGGCUUCUGGCUUAGCCGCGUAGCCUGCAUUCGCUUCAUAAGACGCACAAACAUUUCCCCUUACUUUUUCGGAGGGGAAAAAGUGUGUCUUAUAGAGGGAAAAACACGUACAUUUGUUGCUCUGUCCACUUUUGAUUCUGACCUCUUCCACUAUCGGUAUUCAGCCCACAAAAGGUUGCCCAGAAGCAGGGUCAGCCCAAUAUAGUUUGGCACUUGAGGCAGACCCCAAAGUGGUGUCUCCUUCAUUGUCAGGUAAGAAGGGGUGAAGGGAAAUCUAUGGUAUACUGUAUCAGGAACAAGAGGAAACAAAGAAAGAUGUACAUGGGGAUCAGCUGCCCCUGAAGAUUCUGUCACCUGAGGCAGUUAUCUCACCUUGCCUCAUGGAUGGGUCGGCCCUGCACGGAUAUGAAUGUGGCCCUUGGACUUAGGAAAUGUUCUGCAGCUCUGAUGUAGCAUAAUUCCCAGGAACAUCCUUAGGGUAAAAGAUGGCUGCCUCCAUAGGGCACAAUUCAUUAAGUUUCAGGAAUGUUUAAAUCCCAUUCAUUUUAAUUUGAGAGUUAAGUCUAUUCACCCCCUUAUCAGGCAGGUGGCUUUGUGGGUGGGCCCCAGGCCACCCUGGUAAACCAACCUAUUGCAGGCUGGACUGUCUUUGUGCCACCAAAUGGGCCAAUGGCGGAAGGAGUUAGGGGGCAUUCCCCUGGGUGCAAGCCCAACAGACCAAUUGCAGCCCUUGCAGCCCAGGGGAAGUUUAAGUGCCUGGCCUGUGGGGCCUUUUGGCUUCUCUCUCGCUGUGCCAGUUACCACAAUGCCUAUGGCCAAACCUCACAUAUGUAACCAAUAAAGUUGUGGCCUUAUUUGAUCCCAAAACCAAUAUGCCAUGUGUUGUCUAGUUAUUUGCACCUUAGGGAACAGGGUAGUCAUGGGGCCUCGAUACGCAAUUGAAUUAUUGAAUCUCUGCCACUGAAAUUAGCUAGAUUUUAAGGAAAUGUUUCAGUUUGUUUAAAUAAUGGUUUAGUAUAGAAACCCUUUAAGAGCUUGUCAUCACCCUUAAUAAAGAAUUCCCUCUCCCUCCCCAAAUUUAGUUUUGCUUCCCUUUCCCUUUUCAAUGGAAUUUGCAGACAGGUUUCCCAGGAUACCUUUUUCUUAGAGACAGUAGAGAUGGAGAGGUAUCUUUGUGAAAUCUGUUUGCCUACAGAGAAUAUUAAAGGUAAAGGGACCCCUGACCAUUAGGUCCAGUCGUGGCCGACUCUGGGGUUGCAGCGCUCAUCUCACUUUAUUGGCCAAGGGAGCCAGCGUACAGACUAAGCCGCUUCUGGCGAACCAGAGCAGCGCAUGGAAACACCGUUUACCUUCCCGCCGGAGCGGUACCUAUUUAUCUACUUGCACUUUGACGUGCUUUCGAACUGCUAGGUUGGCAGGAUCAGGGACCGAGCAACGGGAGCUCACCCCGUCGCGGGGAUUCGAACCGCCUCUCUUCUGAUCAGCAAGUCCUAGGCUCUGUGGUUUAACCCACAGCUCCACCCAUGUCCCUACAGAGAAUAUUAGGAAGCAGUAAUAAGCAGAGACUGCAGUAUUUUACAAGGACAAUCAAUGCUGGAUCAAAAUCCAAGAAGCUAGGAGUUGGCUGUGGCAGACUGUUCCACAAAACAAGAAAAAAAAGUUCCAACCCUGACAUUGGUAGACUACGAUUCUCAUAGGCCCUAGCAAACAUGGCCAAUUAUCAGGGGUGAUGGGAGUUGUAGUUCAGCAAUAUCUGGAGGCCCAAAACAUCCCCACACAACAGAUCUAAGUGAUUUUUAAAUGUCAGUGGUAUUGGAGAGAGAGGCUGGGAAGAGAGAUUUCUUGCUUUCUUGUAGCAGAGUUAGACACAGUGGCGAUUGCUCCGGGCACAUUUAAACUUGGUUGGAUUUUGCAUUUAUCCUAAUUUACCUUUAAAUAAAUGUUCCCAAUGAAAAUACUUAGGCUAAAAUAAAUCACAGACACUUAGCUUUGCAAAUAAGUGAAUGUUUUACUCACAGAUUUUCCAGAAAUCUGUUACAGCAAACAAGUACCCAUCUGUUGGCAGUAAAACAAAGAUGAACAAAGGCUUCAAACAACUUCAAAACAAAUGUACUUGAUUUCCUUACAAAAAGGAUCAUGCAAUCUUUGGCUUAGCAAAGAUGCAGGCUGUAAAAUCUCACUUUUGGAGAGAUUCACUUCACUUGCAGGGAGCCUCAUGGUUCCUUCUUUAAGGAAGCAUGAAGAGAAAGGAGAGUGAGAUGAGGGAUGGGAACAGGUGCUGCUGAAAGGCAACCUGAGCUGUGGGCUCAGGUUAACUCUUUCACACAUGGAAGUGUAAGCCAUUAACUGGAUAUUGCAAUAAGCGGCUCCUAUGUGCUCUGGUAGCUUCCAGACUGGAUUAUUGUAAUGCAUUCUACAUGGAGCUGCCCUUGACGAUGACUCAGAAACUUCAACUGAUCUAAAAUGCAGUAGCCAGGUUACUGGCUGGGGUUUAAAUCAUAACUCACAUAAACACUGUUUUAAAACAGCUGCACUGCUUGCUAGUUCAUUUCUGGGCCUAAUUCAAGGUGUUAAAAUUAGUGUUUAAAAUCUUAUAUGACUCUUGCCACAAAUAUUUGAAAGACUGUCUCUUUCCCUAUAAACCUUUGAUUGCUAAAAUCAGCAGAGGGGACCCUCUUGGUAGUUUCACCACCUCAGAUGUUUAGUGGGUGGCAGUCCAGGAGAAGGCAUUAUCUAUGGCAGCUUCUAAAUUAUAAUAUUUCUGCCUCAGAGUGCUGGCAGAGGAACAGGGGCAGGGGGCGGGUGGAGCGCCCUGCCCCCAGCACCAUCGGGGAGGGGGCGACCAUUGCAGCCACCCCUUGGACACGCGCUGCGCACCCCCACCGCGCCGGGCACCACACCCCCGCAGGUGGUGUGCCACACCCCCGGGAUGUGCGCGACGCCCCCACGGGCAACAUGCCACGCCCCUGGGACGUGUGCCAGCCACGCCCCUGCCUGCUAUCUGCCCCCGGUUCCGGGCCAUGCAGCUUCGCCACUGCCUCAGAGAAGUGCAUUUAACACUACCAAACUUUUAGAAAAACAUGUGAAGGCUGCCCUGUUUAGGGAAGCUUUUAAUGUUUAAUAGGUUAUUGUAUUUUAGUGUUUUGUUGGAAGCUGCCCAGAGUGGCUGGGGAAACCCAGCCAGAUGGGCGGGGUAUAAAUAAAUCAUCAUCAUCAUCAUCAUCAUCAUUAUUUAGUUUCUGUCAUAUCAUAUGGUGAAGAUGCUCUGCUGCACUCUAGUCUUUGACUAAUCUGUGUAUAUGUAUAUAUUUGGGACCAAGCCUAUUGCUGUGAUGGUAACUUGAUUUAAACUGAAUUAAUAUUGUAUUUUUAAUUGUUUGAACCCAACCUGUGACCUUAUGGGGAAGGGCGGCUAAGAAACUGAAAUAGUAAUAAUAGCUGAGUGAAGAUGGGCUCCAAAAAUUCUUCACCCUGUUUGCACACCAUGAGAUUGGGAGUACAGUGUCACUAAAUACUCUUGGGAAGGAGAUAUUUUCCUUUAGUAAGGUUCUUAACCCCCGCACAUCACAAGGUUUUCUUUGCCAAUGCAGCAACUGAGCUGCCAUUUUAUAUCCCCCACAAUGCCCCAGGCCUAGCAUUGCUCUUUGGGAUUGAGGGGAGGGGAUAGUGACUACUACAAAAAUGGUAGAGAAUAUUCGCCAAAUGGAGGUGGUGCAAAACAGAAUUCCCAGAAAUUUCUCCCACGAAAAUCUCUUCAGAUUUACUCUUGUCCCGAGAGAGAGAUACAGAGACUAUAAUUCUGGUCUGUAAAUGGGAAGAUGGCACAAAAGUUAACAGUUAAAAAAAAAUACAACACACAAUAACCUCUUUAUCAUACUAUUUUUUUUCUUUUGAAAUCAGAACUGGAGGCAACAGCCUCUUGUGGCUUUAAGCGUAAGAGAAACUGGUAUUCACUGUAGUUUUUGCAUAAAUCACAUGAGUACAUUUAUUAGCUCAUGUUUAACAAACGCUGUGUUUAAGUGACACCUAAUCACUACUCUUGUUCAGUGCAAGUACCUCAGAGCAAAUUCAUGUCAGCUGUCUAUAUUUCUUUAAGAGCUCACUAAUUGUUCUUUAGGGCAUUGAUACAGAAUAAUUUCUUAUAUCUUUUUUUUUUUAAAAAGAGACUUUAAUAUUUCAAUUCAGACCUCGCAAACAAUUAUAGGCUGUUGUGCUCUUGGUCAUUUUAGACAACACUUAUGAAAAAUGGAUGGCACUGGGGAGAACGGCGUAUUUCAAUAAGGUCUUAGAUACAGUGCAUACUUCAAACUUCCUUUUGCUCUUCUGAGAGCUCAGAAAGAAGGAAGAAAAACACUAAGGAAGAUUUGGUCUAGUUUUUUUAGACACUGCAUCAAUGAAUGUAACAGCACUUAGCCUUCAGAUAGUCCCAUAUUCAUGGUUCAAAGCACCUUACAUUCAUUAUCUCAGUAACAAUUGCAACACGUACAUCUAUCUUGCAAGGUAGGACAGAAUUUUGUGUGUAUUAUAGAUGUGGGAAAGGAUGAUGCUGAGACAGAGUGGUUGUCUAAAGCAACCUAGUGAAUUCAUGGCUCAAAAUCUUUUGAAUCAGAUUUCCCUCUUCCCAGCUCACACUCUUAUGCUGCAAUUCUAUGGUCACUUGAAAAGGACCAUAUCCCACCAAACUUCGUGGGGACUUACUUCUGAGUAGAUACACAUAGAAUUGAUAGGCUAUAGUCCUACACACAUUCCUCUGUGAGUAAGCCCCACAAAUGAACUUGUUUCUGAGUACACAGGCAUAGGAUUGCAGUUGGGUACUCUGUACUACAUCAUUUUUCAAAAUAUGAAACACAGCAGUAUAUAAAAUGCAAUUAGUAAGAACAGUGAAAUCAGAAAUUCCACUGCAAUAUUUUUGGAGUUGCUAUGGGAUUAAGCAAUUUGGUUGAGGUAAUUACAUCUACCGUAUUUUUCGCCCUAUAGGAUGCACCGUCCCAUAAGGCUCAUCUAGUUUUUUUGGGGGGGGAAAUGAAGGGAAAAAAAUUUAUUUCCCCCCCAGGUGCGGGGCUGGGGCAGGGGAAGCCCGAGCUUCCCCCGACCCCCAACCCCAGCCCCCAGAACAGGCAGCUCUCCACAAGCCGUGGGAGCCUGGUGCCGGGCUCCCGCGCCUUGCGGAGAGCUGCGCGAAGCCUGGGCGUGCUGAGCUCAGCGCGCCCAGCCUUCGGCAUGCAGGCAACUCUCCGCAAGCCGUGGGAGCCCGCGCUGGGCUCCCACGGCUUACGGAGAUCUGCGCGAAGCCUGGAGAGCAAGAGGGGUCUAUGUGCACCGACCCCUCUCGCUCUCCAGGCUUCAGCGAAAGCCUGCAUUUGCCCCAUAGGACGCACACACAUUUCCCCUUCAUUUUUGGAGGGGAAAAAGUGCGUCCUAUGGGGUGAAAAAUACGGUAGAUAUACAGGACACACACUGCCUCUAUAAAGAAUUCUCUUUCCAAGUUACCUAGUCCUCUUAAGAGGAGUCACUCUAUUCUUCAUAUAGUUUACAUAUAAUAGAUGGCCAAAGCACAGCAUAGCUUCAUUUAAAUGUUAAUUCCAUGUAGAGUUCUUUUUGCAUGCUGCUAAGAAAACAUUACCCAUGGUAAAGGCCUUGAAUGUGAAUAACUACAGUGCACUCUCUACUGUAAGGGAUUAUCAAGUGCUGAUUCCUGCUUUGUGAGUCUGAUGUACUCCAGAUAAGUGAAAGACUAUGGUUGCAGUCCAAUGUAGAGUAAAGCACACACAGACUGCAAUACCAAACACACUUGAAUGAUAGAAUAAUGGAAUCAUAGACUUGGAAGGGACCCCCAUAGAUGAGGGUUUCUCAAACCUGGGUCUCCAGUCGCUAGGGAGUAAGUUCCAUUAAAGACAGUAAGGCCUACUGUGUUGUUAAAUAGAUUGGUUUCAGUUGGGCUAAGUGUGCAGAUAUAGGAACCUUUCUUAUAAUGAAUUCAACCAUUGUCCCAUCUAGCUCAGUACGGCUAACAUUGACUGGCAGUAGCUGUUCUGUGUUCCAGGCAGGGAUCUCACGCAGCCUGGGAUUGAAGUUGUGACCUUUUGUAUAUACAAAGCAGUUGCUCUACCAUUGAUCUACAGCCUUUCCUUGCAGCUCCUGUCAUUCCCACUUUCAGCCAAAAUAAUGUAUUGUGCCACGUUGUGGCAUGAAUGGGCAUUGAAUCCAGUCAGCUGUUAAGUCUUCCUAGUCUCCAUUCCUCAGGUCUAGAGAGUUCUAUGUCAGGUAAUGUUUUGUUGUAGUACAAAUGGAUGAAGCGACUGCUGGGAGAGGCAGGGGAUGGUUAUUCCAACACGAAUAACCAGUGAACAUUCCACAUGAUAUGGCUGGCCACCAGUGAGGCCAAAUACUGUGUUAGAUGUUCUUUUGGUUUGAUCCAGCCAGGUGAUCACUAUGAAGAAACUUCUACAGUGGUACCUCUGGUUAAGAACUUAAUUUGUUCUGGAGGUCCAUUCUUAGCCUGAAACUGUUCUUAACCUGAGGUACCACUUUAGCUAAUGGGGCCUCCUGCUGCUGCCGCGCCGCCGCUACGUGAUUUCUGUUCUCAUCCUGAAGCAAAGUUCUUAGCCCGAGGUACUACUUCCGGGUUAGCGGAGUCUGUAACCUGAAGCGUCUGUAACCUGAAGCGUCUGUAACCAGAGAUACCACUGUAUUUGUUUAAGGGAAAAUUAAUUAAGGGGGCUUUGAGUUUUUCAAACAGCAGCCUCCUCCAUGGCACACUGCAAACUCCUCUUGAAAUGGAGAGAACUUUCAAAUGCAGGAUUAUAGUGUGGCAUGAGAGUCUGCGGUUCAAAAGGGGGAAGGAGUCCAAUCUCCCCCUGAGGAUAUCUAAUCACUUGGACAUGUCUAAAGUGGCUAUUUCGCUCUGGGCCAAAGAGUGUGAAUAAUGAGCCCAAUUUCUAAUUUAACAGUGAAUCCCAAAGAGAUGCUUCUGCAAGCUAUGAAGUCAGCUUCAGAACGGACUAAAAAACUACGUCUCAGGAAUCCUAGGUGGGAAUCAAUCCUGUCCAAAUGACAGCCUCUAUGCUGCACCUCUGUGAGACGCUGCAUUUUUCCAUACGCUUUCAGUCUGAAUGACUUAUUUUUAGUUGAAAGGCAGCAAGCAACAGUGGAGAAAGGAAAGUCUCCAAGAGAGCACAAUAGGAGGAAGCAAUUCUACCAAGUGAAUUAUAUAGGAAAUAAAUAUGAUCAUGAUGGUUAUAUAGUUACACGGGCCACAUCAAUGACCAAGAAACUGACAGCAGUGUCUGGUUAGGAGAGCUAAUCACACAUAACAUUGAUUCAGAAAGCUUAGUGCUUAACAAAAACAUACUUUCGCCCCAUUACAAGUUCCAACCAGUUUGUGGAAUUGAUCGAUUCAGAACCUAAGCCAGAUUGCCCGCCAUCAUCCGAAACGCUCAAUUUGAGGGCCUCUGAAUUAUUUGCUUUCCCUUUCUGUAUUCUGACUUUGCCAAAUUGAGUGAUGGUAAUGUUUCUACCUGGAGUGUAAUACUACUUCAUUAAAAUCACGUGUGUUUUGCUGUGGAUUUCAAUAAGAGGUGGGCUGACUGCAACCUGAGAUUGAACACUAAAAACUGUACUUCAUCUAUCUUUCUCCUGGAAGAGAAUUUCAUUUGCACAUAGAGAAGGUGUAACAGUCCAGAAAAAGCGUGUGGCAAAUAGUUGUUGGGUUUUUUUUAAAGAGCCUUAAUAUCACUUCACAAUGCAUCAUUGUUUUAAACUUCUCCUAGCGUUGCUGUAGGACUGAGAUAAUUCAGGAUGAGGAGGGGAGGAGAAGAGGAGGAGGAGCAGGAGAAAGUAUCAGCCUCGUUUGCUGCUUAAGCACAGGGGGCUUGGAAGAGAUAAGACCGGGAUAGAAAAUGGAGAGAAAGUAUAACAGUUCGAUGCUAAAGGAGUACUUUUGGUCUCUGUGAAGCCUUUGCAUUAAUCAAAAUUGCAGGUCCUGUCUUGGGCAGCUCUCAAGUGAGAUUUUGAACUUCCCUGAGCUCUUCUUUAUUUCUGACCAUUCUCAUACUGCAUAAUUGCUAAAGCAACGCGAGCCCUUCAUUUUUAACACGCCUACUUGACAUUCUCUGUUUGUUUACUUGUUUCCCUUUAACAUCAAGCUAUCUGGAUGAAAUUCGGAUGCAUGUUCAGGAGGUAGAUCUACUUUUCAAAGCCGAGAUAUCAGCAUGAUGCCCCCCCACCUGGCAAUCACCCAUUUUGAAAGUGUGUGGGCAGAGAGGAAAGAGCAGAAAUAUGUGUGAUGUGUGAUCUGUUUUUGCAAUUGAGAUACUGGAAUGAAAAUUGGUUUUUCUCAUACAGGGCAUAAUUAUCCAGUUCAAGUGCAAAUAUCAGAUAAGCACAGCACCAGCCCAGUACAUUUUGCUGCCUGAACCAAGGAAAAAGAUGGUGCUCUGUUCCUUCCAAGUACUGAAGCCAACCACACUGUCAGCUGAACCUAACUUCCAACACAGGCAAUGGGACAGAAUCCUCAGCUACAAUAAACUAGUUCCUCCCAAGGCUUUGCCAAACGACAGAACCAGCUCUGAAUAACCAUCCCAACGUGGAUCUAUUUUUAAAGGGGAGGAGGAAGAUACAAUACCUGAAAGACCUCUCAAAUACGAUUUACUUGGACAAGGGUUUUCUCAGUAUGAGGACAAGCAUGCGUCCUAGAAGGGACAUGCGGAUGCAACAAAGAACUGCAAGGAGAAAAAAAGAACUCAUUGGAACCUUGUAAUGUGUUUGAUGGGGGAAGUCUUCUUUCUGGUCAGGUAAAAGUUGGUUUAACUGUCACUGGGAAGAGGUUAGACAUAGAACUCUCAGUAUGCAAAUGAAGGAUUGAAGAUGUGCACAUCCUGAUUGGUGGGUGCAGGUUUAGAAUUUUCAGUAAGUGAGUGUGAUUGGCUUGGGCUGGACUAGAGGGGUUGGAAGAAGUGGGUGCUAGUCAGUCAGGGUCAGUCUGUGUUGGCUGAUGUUUGUGGUGGACAGCCAAAAGAAGAAGGCAGCAGAGGAAGAUGGUCAAGGAAGAUGAAAGAAGACCCCCAGAGAAAGGCAGAGUGGGUUGAUGGCCACUUGAGGGCAUGAUGAUGGUCUGGAUGGGCUACUGGCUUGAUUCAGCAGGCUCUCAUGUUCUUAUGGUGGCUUAGAGUGCAGAGUUGAGGGGAGAAGCUGACCCCAGUGCUAAGAUGUGAGAGGCAGUUUGGAACGCUGGUCUCUAGUGUCUGGUAGAGGAGUCAGAGGAAGAUUCCACAACAGUGCAGCAAAAACAGACCUUCAAUAGGUUAGUAGUGGUUGGAAUGGGGUUUCAACAUGAAUCCUCAGUUCAUAGCUACCAACUUUUCCCUUUUUUAAAGGGAAAUUCCCUUAUUCCGAAUAGGAUUCCUCUCAAGAAAAGGGAAAGGUUGACAGCUAUGCCUCAGUUAUAGUGUUGGUGAGGCUUAACUGGGGCAGAGAAAAUAUAAGGGCAAUAAGGUAGAAAAGUUUGAAUAGGGUAACUGCUUCCUCAAAGCUGUCUGAGUUAGCAAUACUGUAGUACAAUGGUACCUCAGGUUACAGACGCUUCAGGUUACAGACUCCGCUAACCCAGAAAUAGUACCUUGGGUUAAGAACUUUCCUUCAGGAUGAGAACAGAAAUUGUGCGGUGGCAGCACGGCGGCAGCGGGAGGCCCCAUUAGCUAAAGUGAUACCUCAGGUUAAGAACAGUUUCAGGUUAAGAACGGACCUUCAGAAUGAAUUAAGUUCUUAACCCGAGGUACCACUGUAGUUUUAAAACAAGCUGUUGAUAUUUAAAGUGAAAGUAGCAAGUUAACAAAGUGUGCACUCAUUUAAAGACAAACAGUACUAUAUUAAAGGAACCAUAAGCUUCUGCAGUACAUAAUCUUGCAAUUAGUAAACUCCAAUAUCUUUGUUAAAUAUAGUAACUGAGUCUGACUAGCUUUAUCCCACAGCUACCAGGGUUAUUGGUAAAUUAAGGGUGCAAAAGUUAUAAGUGAUAUUAAAUGGUGGCAGCAGUAUGGGUUUAGGAAAAUCAUUGGAGUGGAAGUCGGGGUUUGCUUUUAUAGAAUGAGUAAGGAAAUAUCCCCACUUUCCCCAUGCCAUGCCCUGAUAAAUUGCUUGAAUACUUUCCUCAAACAUCAGGCUUAGUUGCUGUGUCCAAAACAGAACACUGAACUAAGUGGUCUCAUCUCAUCUAGCAAUGCAGUUCUUAUGCAAGGUAGUCUUUGAGCAGCAAACCAAGAACAACAGCUCGGCUAUUUCCUGCAGCUGCCACUCAAACCACCCCAUUGAAGUUUUACAAUAUGCUUCCUUGAGCUUUCUACUUAUGUCUACAUGUGUCACUUAUUCUCUUAGGGGGCUAGAGACAGAUUCAAUACAGAGAGGAAGCUAUUUUGUCUAUUUUUAAUUUUUAUAGAAACAACUCUCUGUAGCACAUCAUCAAUCAAUUGAACACUGAUAUUUAACCCUUGUCCCUCUCUGAUCUCUUGGCUGCCCUGUUUCUAAUAAUAAUAAUAAUAAUAAUAAUAAUAAUAAUAAUAAUAAAUUUUAUUUAUAUCCCGCCCUCCCCAGCCGAAGCUGGGCUCAGAGCGGCUAACAUCCUUUCUUCUCCUCCUCCAUCUGGGAAGCAAAGUUCCUAGAGCUAUGAGCCUGAGAUGGCACAAACUCCUUCUAUGAGGUGCUUGCCGUCAAAGAGCUUUGUUUCUCAGUGAGAUCAGGGGAUGGCGAAAACAGUAACCAGCAAGCAGGUAGAGAGUGAGCAAGGAGGGAUAAGAAUAAAACAUUAACAUUAAACAAUGUUGGUAUAGAAGAGACAGAUGUUGAACGACUAUAGCUCAAUGUUCAAGAACAUGCUUUUCAUGCAGAAGGUCCUUGGCUCAAUCCAUUUUUUAUGGUGGCAACCAUCUCUCCCCCAAUGUUCUGUAACAACACUUAAAUUCUGAAGUAUUGCGGAGAUACAAAAUGGUGGCCAAACUGCCAGCAAAACAACCUGCAGUCAUGGGGAGAAAAACUUAAGGGAGCAGAAAGAAGACGUCUUAUUCCACCUGUGAAUGGUAAUCCCCACUUCCCAAGACAUUGUUGGAGAAAUUCUCAUUCCUUGGAGAAAAUUGAGGAAAUGGUUCCCCAAAUUUCUCUGCCCACAGACAGGGUAGAGAAUUUUGAGGGGGCAUUGGCACUCAACUUCAGUUCCUAUUCACUUACCUAUGGAUAGGUAGACAGUGAACAAACCUGAUAGGUGAGAUGAUCAUGCCCUGGACCAGUCUUGAGUUUCCAUCUUGGAUGAGUGUGAUUUUUUGCCCUUUUACUGACAGUGAUGAUCAGUAGCGGCUCAUUAACUCUCGUCAGCAACUAAUCUAGGAGAAUGAACUUCUGAUCACAAAUUCUGUGCCCUGCCUGCACUAGUAUAAAAUCAACAGCUGCUCGGGCAAGAAAGUGGGAAAGAUUCUAUGUAAGCUUUUCUUACUUAAGUUCCAUUCUUAUUGCAUGAUAUACGGCCAAAACCAUUCAGCAGUCAACUGAUAUUCCUCAUGUGGGAAGCCAUAAAAAUUAAGUAAAGCCUUAAAUCGAUAAAUGGUUGGAUAUGAAUCCAUCGUAGUAACAGAGAAAGAAAGAGUAAGAUCCAUGGAUAUUUAUUCCUCAGCAUAAUAUGUUAUACCUCCAGGAAGGGGAUUUGUUACUUUGUUCAUCCAAGCCUACAUAUUUCUAAAAGGGAGAAUUCUGAAUGUCUUUUUAUUAUUACCCUUUCAUUGCAUUUCCAGACUGAAUAAAAGCACAAAUGAUUCUCAUUGACACUUUGACCCAUUAUUUCCUCCUAAAGGCAAUGAAGACCGCAGAAAAAGUCCAGCACCUGUAUCCAAGAACCCAUAUCUAAGUGCCUCUAAAUGUGAGUACCAUAUUUUAUAUACCCCUUAUGGUAAGAAUAUGACUAUCAAUAUGAAACUCCUUCUCUAGCUGCCAUCCAUUUCACCACAAUUCUAUUAAGAUGCAUUAUGUUUGCCAUAGCUUGUCCUCUAAAACAUGUUUCGUAAAUUUGGCAUCCUUACAAACAUAUCUCUCUACAAGAGGGGGUGAUUCCUGCCUGUUUGGAGGAGGCAGUGAUAAGACCGCUCCUUAAGAAACCACCCCUAGAUUCUGAAAACCGAAGUAACUACUGGCCAGUUGCUGUCUUCCCUUUUGGGGGGCACUGAGUGGCUGGUCAAUGUCCAGAUCCUGGCACUCUUGGAGGAGGCUACUUUUCUAGAUCCAUUUCAAUUAAGGUUUUAGCCUGGCUUUGGCACAGAAACUGCCCUGGUCGCCUUAUAUGAUUAUCUCUGUUGGGAGAGAGACAGGGGCAAUGUGUUCCUGUUAAUCCUCCUUGACCUCUCAGUGGCUUUCAAUGCAAUCAACCACUGUAUCCUCCUAGAGAGGCUAUCUGAGUUGAGUUUUUGCGGCACUGCUUUGCAGUGGUUCCAGUCCUCCUUGGAUGGUUGUCUUCAGCGGUUGAUGCUUGGGGAAUGUUUUUUGGCAAAAUGUGGUCUUCAAUGUGGGGUCCCUCAGGGUUCAAUUCCAUCCCCCGUGUUGUUUAAUAUCUACAGGAAGCUGCUGAGUGGAAUCAGCUGGAGUUUGGGAGUGUGUUGUCAGCAAUAUGCUGCUGACACACAGCUCUAUUUCUCAUUUUUAUCUGCAGGCGAGGCAGUGGACUGGUGUCUUGCCUUGGUAAUGGACUGGAUGAGAGCCAAUAAACUGAAGCUCAAUCCAGAUAAGGCACUGUUAGUGGAUGGUUCCCUAGACCAGAUGGAUGGGAGACUGCCUGUUCUUGAGGGGGUUAUACUCUUAAGGAGCAGGUACAUAGCUUGGGGGUGCUCCUGGAGCCAUUACUGUCACUUGGUGGCCUUGGAGUGCCUUCUGGCAGCUUGGUCUGGUGGCCGAGCUAUGCCCUAUCUGGACUGGGAUACCCUAACUUCUGUGGCCUAUGCUCUGGUAACCUCUAGGUUGGAUUACUGCAAUGGGGGGCUCUUUUUCCAUGGGGGGGCAGGAGGCCUCUCCUCUCCUCCCUGCUGCUCACUCCCUGGGCAAAUGCAAAAGUGCAGGAGAACCAGCCAGAUGGUGUAGGUUAAGUGGUAAACUCUAGUUGCAUGCCACCCAAAUCUCCAGGGGGUGCAAGAUAUAUCAUCACGGACAGAAUCAUUGCCACACACGGUAAGAACAAGGAUAUAGUUUGAAUGCUUCACUUGUAGCUUUAUAAAUCAUUUAAUGUGUCAAUAUGAAUGGAAGCCGUUAAUAUUGCAGUUGUUGUAUAAGGGAUUGUUAUUUUGACUGGAGUGUAAUUGGAAUUAAUAAGAUUUUGGAACACAGAAAUAAAGUAAAUCAUCAAACCAUCAAUUCUAUCAUGUGGGAGGCGGGGCACCUAAAUUAUAUAAUUUGGCAUCUGAAUGAUUGGUAUUAGUAACUGUUAUAAUUUGGCAUUGUUAUAAUGAGGCUAUUAUUGGAUUAUUGUAAUUGAAAACUAAUAAAAAUUAUUAUCCCCCCAAAGCCCUACAUGGUUCAGAGCCUCAAUAUUUUGCAUAUGGGAAAGUGAGAGGAAGCUGCAGAGUAAAAACUGCCCAUUGCCUCAGGGGUCACCAGUGUGCACAUGCAGGUGCACAUGUGUCCACAUAGAUUUUCCUUGGUGGCCACAGGGUCCCUUCCCAACCCACACUGAAAUUAAACUUGAAAGAAGCAUUUUAUUGUAGCCAACAGACUGUGCGUGCUUGGUUUCAGGGUGUUUGUAGUGCCCAUGAGAUUUUCUCUGGUUUACAGAUGUGCCCAUGGACCCAAAAAUGUUGGUGACCACUGUACUACAGAAUUCUGUUUUAACAUCUGAUGUGCUGAGUACCCACUAUAUUGCUCUGGGGCAAAUAGCAGUCAUGCUUUUUGUAAUGUUUAGUUAGGACAAAGUAUAAUAUACUACUUGGCUUGUGCAACGGAAGCUUGAAGCAGAGGGUGUGGCAUCUGCUCCCAUAUAUUCCCAAAUAUUUACAGUAGAGACUUAUGUCAAAAACAUGAUAUUGCCAUUCAAGAGGUUUGUGGGCAAGCCAACCAUCUACACAAAAUGGCUGAUGUCAGCUUGGUGGUAAAUCUGUCCGCUGACAUCAUUGCCACUCACCUCAUGUAAUUUGCCAGUUAACGUUGGACAACAAUAUAAAGGCUAAACGUCACCACACAACUUUUUAAAUGAUAGAAUUUUAAAGUCUUUUUUUGUGUGGUAGUGGAGCCCGAAGGCUGCCUUGCGAUACACCUGGGUGAAUUUGAGUAUCUUGCUGCAUUCCACUUGAUCUCCUCUUAUUUGUACUGUUGGGUUUUUCUUAUGCUCAAAGCAAAGCAUGGUGCGUUGAAAAUGCAGCAAUGUUCUUACAACAAAUAGAGCAACAGAAAAGGACACCCUUUGCCUAAAGUAUCUUUACUGCUGCAGAGGUAGAGCGGGAUGAUGAAUUGAAUAAUGCCUUUCAAAUGGCAGAUAUACAGUAUCUGAAUAUGAAAAAAGCAGGCGUGCAUGGGAGCAUGUCACAGCAAUAUGUAAUGCUGCUGGUUGCUCAAGGUGAUGAAACAGUUUGCUGCCGUCCUUGCCACCAGUAGACUAUGUCGAUUCUGAGCUGGAUUCAUGUUUGAACUUAGAUUCAUUAGGAGCUGAACUUCGCAUGAUAGGAUGGUUGAAGGUAAAAUACAGGGAUGUGGCACUAAAUUGAUAGACUAGUUAGAUUAACCAGUGGACAUCUUUUUAAUUGACUACGGCUGCAAUCCUAACCCCACCUACCUGGGAGUAAUCCCAAUUCAAUUCAGUGAGACUUAUAAGAUUGUCGUUAUGAUUGUGCUGUAAAAAAGGAAUCCUUGCUGAAUUAGGCAACACAUUUUAGGCUGGGGAAGAGAAAGUUUAUAAAUGAUAAAGGGUAAGAUUUCCUCCCAGUUAAAGGAGAAGACCAACCCAUGUUACAAAGUUAUCAUUAUGAGUUUGCUACUUACAGUAACUGUUAUGGAGUCUGUGUUUGGAGAGGACAGGGUUAAUGGAACCAGAAGGGUGGCUUAAAUAUCUUACUGGUCAAACUUGCCAGCCACAUCCUUUCCUUAGAGAAACUGUGGCUAGUUGCCUACAGUAACUAGGAUACCUGUUUUUUACUGAAUAUGUUCUGAAUGGAAGUCAGGGACAUAUUUCCCCCUACAGCUGGUGAAAUCAAGGUCUCUCUGUUCGGGUGGAGAACCUUUUUCCUAUAAAGGACCAUACAGGAACAAAGGGGUAGAGAUGGAAUUACUGGAAAUCACAAGUAGGGAGAGUGCUGCAGCAUCUGACUUCACUUAGGCAUCUGGUUGGCCACUGUAAGAACAAGAUUAGGUUCUAGAUGGGCCUUUGGCCUGAUCCCAUAGGGCUCUUCCUGAGUACCUAUGAUUGUGGCUUCUUGUUGUUGUUGUUUAGUCGUUCAGUCGUGUCCGACUCUUCAUGACCCCAUGGACCAGAGCACACCAGGCACUCCUGUCUUCCACUGCCUCCUGCAGUUUGGUCAAACUCAUGCUGGUAGCUUCGAGAACACUGUCCAACCAUCUCGUCCUCUGUCGUCCCCUUCUCCUUGUGCCCUCCAUCUUUCCCAACAUCAGGGUCUUUUCCGAGGAGUCUUCUCUUCUCAUGAGGUGGCCAAAGUAUUGGAGCCUCAGCUUCACGAUCUGUCCUUCUAAUGAGCACUCAGGGCUGAUUUCCUUAAGAAUGGAGAGGUUUGAUCUUCUUGCAGUCCAUGGGACUCUCAAGAGUCUCCUCCUUCUAGUCUGGGGCUAAAUUUGCAAAUGGGUUGUUGAGAUUUCACAAACAAGUCAUUGCCAACGGUUUUUAUUGUGUUUUCACUUCUUAGAAAUGAUAAACCCAGAUUAAAUUGGAGGAGGGUUGCAGGCUGAUGCCAAUGACAUCAUGUGGAUGCUGCGGAGAGUGGGGGUGGGGAAGCAAGCAUGAGGAUCCUACAAUAAACACCUGUUUGGAAGCAACCUCAGACGGAGAAGGGAGAGCAAUCUUUGAGUUCUGAAAGGGGUCUUCGGGGACUGCCUUUUGUAGGGAUCUGAUGUAGGGCAGUGAAACUCUAUCUGAAGGAAUGUUUUAAAAAUCCAUCCACAAAGGUGGUGAAAUGGAGCUGGUUGUUUCUUUUUUUUUGGGGGGGGGAGAAUGAAACAGGCAGUUGGUAAAAAGAUAGUGAGCUUUCCAACUGUUCAAGCAUCCUAGCUGAUCUGGGUGCUACCUCUGUGGUUCCUUUUUGUGAACAGGGUCUGUGUAAAACAAAGUUGGGAAACCUGUGGUCCUUCAGAUGUUGUUGGACAGCCAGUGUGAUCAAGGAUGAUGGAAGUUGUUUUUGUUGUUGUUGGCAUCUUUCUGUCUUGGGAGACAAUGGAGGAGCACAUCUUUGGGGGUGAAGUCAAGCUGUUGGAAGGUAACAGCACCUGCUGUGGCUGUAGACAUGAUGCACUAUGGCGUUGCUUCUCUCUGUGUUCCUUACAGAGGCCAUUCUUCCUCUGGUGACUGCUAUGCAUGACCUGACUGUCUGUCUCUAGGCACUGUGGUCAUCUGCAAGGGAUUCCCACACAGUGGGGUUGAUGUUGUCAGCCUUGAUGUCAUGUUUGCAUACAUCUUUGUAACACAGAGUUGGUCUGCCAUUGGGCCUGGUGCCUGAAGCCAGCUCCCCAUAGAGCACAUCCUUGGAGAUACUACCAUCUUCCAUUCUAUGGAGAUGACCAAGCCAGUGUAGAUGUUGCUGAGACACGAAUGCGAACUUGGGAGUUGUAGUCCAGUAACAUUUGGACCGCCACAGGUCUCUCACCCCUGGUGUAACCAACCAUGUGGAAUUUCUAACAAUGUAUUUUGCAUAUCACACAAGCAACUGCUGACCAUGACUGAUGUAGAAGCAACUACAGAAGAGACAGCAACCAAUAGGCUAUGUGUAAAAAAUAUUUUAGGUCUGCUGAAGUCACCAGGAAAAAGAAAUAGCUCUUGAAUCCAAGUACUUCGUACUUAGAUGGUGGCAUGACUUCUAAUAACAUGGAAAUACACAUAAAUGUUUCUGGCUCUGUAGAAAUUUCUGCAAUGGCAAAGAACUAGUUAAUCCCUUUGAUCAAAGAAAUUGUUUCAUGCUGUUCCCAUCAAAAAUACUUAAUAUGGUUUAAGAGGUGUUCCAGUUAAUUAUUAACCUCCAGGAGAUAGUUGAAAAAGGUCACAAUUCUAAAUUUGGGAUCUGUCAAGAUGUCCCGAACACUGGUAGCAUAUGAAAUAAGUGACAUAAUCAUUUGAAAAACUAAUUAAUUUGCAGAGAUCCAAUAUAUGCAGCACAGGUUGUUCUUAAGAUGUUCUGUACCAUGGUAUAAAUAUUCUGGACAUGAUACAAGCAGUCAUUUGGAGUGCACUGCUAGUCAAUGUGGUGCCCUCUACGUGUUGCUGGACUUAUAAUUCCCAUCAACCCAUCAGUGUGGUCCAGCACCAUACUGGAGAGCACCAUACAAUAAUGACACAUAUCUCUACAUCAGCACCAAGGGGCAGAAGCAAUAGACAAAAUAAAAAAAAUCAUAUAUACUUAUUUACAUUAAAAGUAACACUCUAUCAGCUAAAGUCUGUGAUACAGGAGUCUAAAAUCAGUAUCUGUCAGGGGCUGGACUGCGGAGGAAUGGUGGGGACCACCUCCCCCCCUUCUCCUGAACCUUCCCGAGAACAGGAGGACAGUAUAGAUUUAGAAUAGUGGUUUGCGGAAGGGUGCAGAGGGCAGAAGCAGGAAAAUAUUGGAAGAGGAACAGCAGGAAGAAGCAGCAGCACUGGGGGAGAAACAGCUGACAGACUCAGUGUCCUUGGAAAGCAUUCUUAACCCCCUUCUCCCAGGACCAGGUGGGCAUUGAGGGUAUUAGAACAGAGAGCUCAGAGGCAGAAAGCUCAGAUUAACUGAUCCAGGAGUGACGUCGAAUAGGGGAGACGUAGGGGGUGGGUGGGACUUUACUUGGAGCAAUGCCUUUAUUAGGGAAGGCUGCUUUCCUUCGUCGUGCUCUGUGAAUUAUUGAAUUAAUUGCUUGGUAAGAAUGUUUAUCAUUUCUCUGAUUCUGGACUGCCACUGUGGGAGGGGUCUGAUUCCCCCAAACCUGACAGUAAUCAUUCACCGUGCACUGUAGUCUGCCUCUGACUAUGUGCCCUGGUCACCUCUCUGGUGGUGCUUGCGAUGGUCUUGGCGGGGUGGGUGCAGGAACUGCGGGUGAGUACCAGUACCUUCCCCCCACCCCAUUUUCAUUCUUAAAACUAGAUGAAUAUUAAAGAAUGAUAAGAUACAUUACGAUCCAGUUCAAUAGACUAUCCUGGGGCUGAGACCCAUUUGUCAGUUAAGCCUUGUCAUGCCAUAAAAAUGAACAUGGUUUAAUCUCAGGUGCGUUUGUGCGUCCCCUGCCCAAAUAAAGCUUUGACCCAUUUUAUGAAGGCACUAACAAAAUAUUUGUUGAUAAACAUUGCCUAAUGUAAUUUUGUAAUGGGAUCGUGUUUCCUUCUGAGGAUAAUCAAAAUAAGCUGAAGGAUUCUCACUGUGGCACACGAGGACUGAUGUUGUAAAACUGCUCACAUAUGCAUAACGAAAAUAUUUGUAUUAAUCAACGACGGCAAACUUUGGCUUACAGUUUUAUUCAUGGUGGUGUGAUCUUGGUUCCUACUGUAAUUUUCUAUACACAAAUAUAAGUUGUGAGUAAAUAAGAAUAAUUUGUACUUGUACAGUGACUUUUUUCCUGCCCUGUAUUUAUAAAGUACACAGGCAGUGUUAAUCAUUUUUUCAUCUAAUACUCGGCAUUUGAGCUGACAUUUCUGCAGCCAUUGCAGUGGUACCUCGGGUUAAGUACUUAAUUCGUUCCGGAGGUCCGUUCUUAACCUGAAACUGUUCUUAACCUGAAGCACCACUUUAGCUAAUGGGGCCUCCUUCUGCCGCCGGAGCAUGAUUUCUGUUCUCAUCCUGAAGCAAAGUUCUUAACCUGAAGCACUAUUUCUGGGUUAGCGGAGUGUGUAACCUGAAGCGUAUGUAACCUGAGGUACCACUGUACUGGCAUAAACAUCAUGUUUUGUGACAAUGUGCUGGAACAGUGGUUGGUUGGCUGGUUCAUCCUGCCCUACAUAUGAACCCCAGACUGGCAUUUCCUAUUCUAAACUCUUAUUUGCUGCGACAAAUUGGGCUAGAUGUGCCAAACACUGGGGACUUCCCUGCCCUUACCUUUCCUCUGCACUUUCCUGGCACCGUCCAUGAUUUGAGGCUCUGUGUCCUAUCACCCUUUUUUUUGCUUCAGAGUUUUCUCCAUGAAAACCCGGAGGUGAAGGACAUUUAGGAGGUAGCGCCUAUCCACUCAGCUACAGUCCAUUUUUGCCUUAUUUCUGUAUGGAUUCCUACCACUUGGCAAGCAUAUUGCUAAAAAGCAUUUAUUGAUUAAGGAAGAUUCAUUGGCUGACUUUUUGCACAGAAGCUUGCUCGUCCUUCCUUCCUUCCUUCCUUCCUUCCUUCCUUCCUUCCUUCCUUCUUGAUUUUGAGACUCUUAAAGAUAUGAGGGCCUAGGCAGAUGUGAGGGCCUAGGCUUGCCAAUUCGUUAACCCAUCCCUGAAACAAUAUGUUCCUUCCUCCCAAUCCUUUCUAGGGAGGGCAGUUUAUGACACAUAGGCAAACCCUGAUUAGCUAAAGGUCCUGCAGACCUUAACUCAGCAAAUAACAUGACAACUAUUCUAAGCCUUUUAAUGUGAUUUUAAUGCUGACAUUUUAUCUGUGGACUUCUGGAUUGUUUGUAGAAGUGACCCUGCAGCAUUGAGCUUGCAGCAUCCAUCCCUAAUGAUGAGUGACUUCUUCCAUACCCACUGUUCACAUGAGGAAGUCUACCUGCAUAAAGCUCUAUGAGGGCAGGCUUCCUCAAGACCCAAAACACAUGGGUAGUGGAGAUGGGUCCAGGAGAAACUGCAUGUCAUUGGGGAUGGGAAUAUAUAUAGAUGGAGGCCUGCAGACCCUCCCUACAUUCUCCAUCCAUUUAUGCAAGUGUUUGAGAUACCAUGAGCUGGUAUUACACUUGACUGCAUGCUUGAUGUGUGAUGGUUUGCUUAAGGCAGUUGCAGUAAUCAAGUGAAGCUCAUUUAUCCAUUACUCUAUACCCAUCAUCAAUGUAAGAUAGCAGAGAAGUGUCAGUAUGGUUGUGAGUUCUGCCCUGUCUGGUGCUCCUCCUACUAGAUCAUAUGCUCCUUUUCCAGCCAGUUUCAUAUAUGUGUUGUUGUUUUUUAAAGAAAAGUAUGUCUGUGUGUGGGGGAAUAAAGGGAAUUCAGAGAGAAAGGGCAGGCAAUGAAAGGGUUAAGUACACUCUCCCACUUGCCACUUGUAUAAUGGCUGUUUGGUGGAGUUCCAGGUACCUUGGUUUGAUCUGUUGUUAAAUGUAUUUUGGCCUCUGUCUCCACCAUCAUUCUCCCAUUUUCCUUUCUUUUUUAAGGGUGAGCUUAAAAUGACAAUGACAACCAUCACCAUCACAUUUUGUCCUUUGUCCAUAAAAUAUAACAAAUGUGAAAGUUUUCCAGAACGCUCUGUCAGCAGGGGACUGUUAUAUUUACCUGGCUGAAAAAGAAAUACUUGUGGAUUAAUUAUAGUCACACCUGUGUUUAUAUUUUCUGUAACUGAAGCUGCAGUUACUUGAACAUUUGCUGCCUGACUGUGUUUUCCACUGUGUUGAAAAUUUGCUAAUAAAACUCUUUUGGCCCUAGGGCUGAAAGGUGUACUCUGAAUCUUGAUGUGUUAGUAUAGUAUCACAAAAGUCUCCUUUGUAUAGCACUUCUGUAGAAAGAUGUGUCAUGCUGUCUUUGUAUUCACCUGGCUACAAGCUUGCAAAUUGACAAAGAAUAUGCUUUAUUUGACUCCAACCAUUAUAACUCCAUGAAACUUCCAAAACAUUAUCUUUACCUAGCAAGAGUCAAUAGCGAUCUCCACUCGUGGGAAAAAGUGCAAGCAAUUUGGCUACAGUAGGGUAUCUUGGAUAGUUCUUUGUCCUGAUAUUUGUGUUAUUUCCAAAACUUAGGCCAUCCCAAUUUUCCUUCAUUAAAGCCCUUGUCCACUGCGGUGUGAGAGUUAAGUGCAGAUGCCACCAUCUAGCUUAAAGCAGCAGACAUGAAUCUUAGCAAAUAAUAAAUGGCUCUGUUACGGACUUGACUUUCUCAAGCUGAUUGUUUUAGAUCUGUGCUUUCCCCAAGAGAAUUAAUUGAAUCCUUUGGCAAAAAACAACAAAGAGCCCUGUUUAUUAUGGCAUGCGCUUUUGUGGGCGAGAGUCUAUUUCAUCAGAUAUGUCAUACUCAAGACCAUGAAAGUGGAUGCCAUAAUAUAUUUGAUUAGGCUGGAUCCAGAUUUCAAUUCAUGGAAGGAACUGAGAACCAGCAGAGGCUCUGGGAAACGUGUGUAUGUAGGUAAUUUUUGCCAGUUUUUCCUGCCGUCUCCAGUGCCAUCUCUGACACUGUUCCAAAUAGUCCCCAUGACCCAUUGGAGCAGCUUGAGGGUGUACAGAGCACUACAGGGGAAAGGGGAAACCAGUAAAACUCACCUCUUCCCUUCAUCUAGUGGAGCAUCCUAUGGGUGAACUUUCACCCAUGAGUAGUCUCCUUCCAAUCCACUGUCAUUAAGGCGCCAUAAGAGUCUUUGCUGGUUUUUCUGCAUAGGAACAGAGGAAGCUGCCUUGUAGUGAGUCAGGCCAAUGGCCUACCUAGAUCAGUGUUGUCUACACAGACUGGGAGUGACUCUCUAGGGUCCUUUCUCUGCCCAACCUGGAUAUGCUGAGAACUGAACCCAGGACCUUCUGAAUCCAAUCCAGAUGCCCUACCAGCCCUUCCAGCAUAAACAAGCUAAGAGCCCAUCAUUCAGAGAAGAAUGCUUAUGAUUAAAAGUUUUGGCAGAAAGUGCUGGGAGUCCAUCUGUCGGAGGACAAAAGCUACAUUUUAGUUGCAAGAUAAGAAAAUCAGGAGAAAACGAAAAAAAUCCAAAGUCAUUUAGUCUCAGUAUGUGUGUUACAAGCAUUGUUGUCAUGAAGGGACGGCAAAUGAAAAACAUCUGUGAAAUCUCUGUAUUCCUUAGAGGAUAUCAUAAGAACUGGAAAGUUAUAACUGAGAGGGUGUUCAUACAUCAAUCUGUAAGAGGAUCUGGAGAUGACUAGCAAGAGUAUUAGACUCAAAAAUCAACCAGAGAUGAAGUCUCCUGGGCAUUAUGCUAGAGCAGUGGGAGACAAUGCGGUGUCUUCAGCUGUUUUUGGUCUAAAAUGCAAUAAAUUACACAAAUUUGAUCCAUCAAAGUUGGCACAUGUGAGAAUUUCAAAAUGUAGUGAUGCAGAUUUUAGCUGAUAAGCAAUGAGCAGAUCACACAACUGCUUUUUAUUAUAUCUGUAAUACGCAUGUACUUGCCAACAUUUUAGUUCGGGGGUUAUCAAAAAAAAUUCCCUCCCAUGGGCCACUUGCAAAUGUGUUGAUGGCAUUGGCAGAACACUUAGAAUUUGGGACGAAAGCAAAGCGGUUAUGAGAGGAUACCUAAUACAACAGAAUGCAAUUAAGAAGAGAACUCAGAAUGAAAAAAAGGAUAAAAUCCUGUGAAAGAUAAAGGAAGGAGAGAAGAAACUGAGAGCAAAACCAAAGUCACAGGAGAUUCUGAAAGAGAUAAAGUUAUAUCAAAUACAAUAUGCGAAGCUGAUGAAUCAGGAAAUAGAAUGGAAGAUUAAACAGAUGAGGCAAAAGACAUUUGAAUCGGCAAAUAAGUGUGGAAAAUUGUUGGCCUGGCAAAUGAAAAAAAGACAAAAACUUAAUACUAUUACGAAUUUGGAAGUGGAAGGAAAGAAUAUACAGAACCCAGUGGAGAUCAGGAAGUGUUUCCAGAGGUAUUUUAAACAACUUUAUACACAGGAGAAGCAGAAAGAAAUGGACAUUGAUCGAUUUUUGAAAAUAAAUGGAUUACACAAAAUUUCUCAGGAAAAACAGCUAAUGUUGAAUUACAAAAUAACGAAUCAGGAGGUGGAAGGGGCCAUCCAGAAUAUGCAAUUAGGUAAAUCUCCAGGACCAGAUGGUUUGACUUCAAGAUAUUACAGAUCCUUGAAAGAAUGGUUAAUACAACCAUUGAAGGAAGUCUGUAAUGAAAUAUUGGAAGGGAGAAAGGCACCAGAGUCAUGGAAAGAAGCUUACAUAACACUUAUACCGAAAACAGAGACUGAAAAGACAGAGCUCAAGAACUACCGCCCCAUAUCGCUGCUUAAUGUGGGUUACAAAAUUUUUGCAGAUAUUUUGGCUAAAAGAUUAAAAAAGGUGUUGGUGGAAGAAAUCCAUAAAGACCAAGCUGGCUUUCUCCCGGGCAGACAUUUGUCUGAUAACAUGAGGAAUAUAAUUAAUAUUCUAGAAAAACUACAAGUGAAUAUCAACACUAAGGCAAUAUUUCUUGGAGUUUUAUGAAGAAGAAUCUACAGGGAUGGGGGUAGGUCAAGGGUUUGAAAAUGGUAUAGGUGCAAUUUAUUCAGAACAAAAGGCAAAAUCAAUUGUGAAUAAUGUAGUGACAGAAGAGUUUAAGAUUGAGAAAGGGACACGGCAAGGCUGCCCAAUUUCUCCACUGCUUUUUAUAUCGGUCCUUGAGGUCUUGUUAAACAUGAUAAGAAAGGACCAAGAGGUUAAAGGUAUACAAGUGGGAGCUAAACAGUACAAACUGAAAGCAUUUGCUGAUGAUUUAGUAUUGACUUUACAGGAGCCAGAAUCCAGUACUAAAAGGGUAUUGGAACUGAUUCAAGAAUUCGGACAGGUAGCAGGUUUUAAGCUGAAUAAAAUGAAAACUAAGGUUUUAGAGAAAAAUUUAACUGUGAAUGAGAGAGAGAAGUUUCAGGAGGAGACAGGACUAACACUGGUUAAGAAAGUGAAAUAUUUAGGGGUUAACAUGACUGCCAAAAAUGUAAAUUUAUUUAAGGAUAAUUAUGAAAAAUGUUGGAUUGAAGUGAAAAAGGACUUAGAAAUAUGGACAAAUUUGAAGUUAUCAUUGUUAGGUCGAAUUGCUGUGAUAAAAAUGAAUGUGCUGCCAAGGAUGUUGUUUCUGUUUCAAACAUUGCAAAUUCUGGACAAGAUGGACUGUUUCAAGAAGUGGCAGAAAGAUAUUUCCAGAUUUGUUUGGCAGGGCAAGAAGCCUCGAAUAAAAUUUAAGAUAUUAACUGAUGCUAAAGAAAGAGGUGGAUUUGCCCUGCCAGACCUUAAACUUUAUUAUGAAUCAGCUGCUUUUUGUUGGCUGAGAGAAUGGCUGCUUCUUGAAAACACUGACGUGUUGGACCUAGAAGGCUUCAAUAAUGCAUUUGGUUGGCAUGCAUAUUUGUGGUACGAUAAGGUAAAAGUACAUAAAGCGUUUAAAAAUCAUAUUGUUAGAAAAGCAUUGUUUAAUGUUUGGAUAAGAUAUAAAGAUUUGCUAGAAAAGAAAACCCCAAGAUGGUUGUCACCAAUGGAAGCGAAGGCACAGAAAAACUCAAUAUGGAGGCCAAAUGGCCGAAAUAUUGGGAAAUUCUGGAACAAGAUGGAGACAGACUAAAAUUGCAGAGUUUUGAAAAAUUGAAAAAUAAAGUGCGAGAUUGGCUCCAUUAUUACCAAAUAAUGGAGGCAUACAAUUUGGACAAAAAAGUUGGUUUCCAGGUGGAAAAAUCAAAAUUGGAAACAGAACUGUUAGAUCCAAAAAUCAAGAAUUUGUCAAGAAUGUAUAACUUGCUGUUGAAAUGGAACACUCAGGAUGAAACGGUGAAAUCAGCUAUGAUUAAAUGGGCACAAGAUGUUGGACAUAAUAUAAUGAUGGCUGACUGGGAACAGUUAUGGACCACAGGUGUGAAAUUCACGGCAUGUAAUGCCUUAAGAGAAAAUUUAAUGAAAAUGAUUUAUAGGUGGUACAUGACACCAGUCAAGCUUGCAAAAAUUUACCAUUUGCCCGACAAUAAAUGUUGGAAAUGUAAUGAGACUGAAGGUACAUUCUUUCACCUUUGGUGGACAUGCCCAAGGAUUAAGACAUACUGGGAGAUGAUUUAUAAUGAAAUGAAAAAGGUAUUUAAAUAUACCUUCCUGAAGAAACCAGAGGCCUUUCUCCUGGGCAUGGUCGGCCAAUUGGUGCCAAAGAAGGAUAGAACUCUUUUUAUGUAUGCAACAACAGCAGCAAGAAUACUCAUCGCGAAGUAUUGGAAGACACAAGAUUUACCCACCCGGGAAGAAUGGCAGAUGAAGUUGAUGGACUAUAUGGAACUGGCGGAAAUGACUGGCAGAAUCCGAGACCAGGGAGAAGAAUUGGUGGAAGAAGACUGGAAAAAGUUUAAAGAUUGUCUACAGAAAGAUUGUAAAAUUAAUGAAAGUUAGAAAAAUGUUGGAACGAAAUUAUAUGGCUUUAGUAGAAAUGUUAUAAGGAAAUAAGUAUAAAUAGAUUAAUAGAGUAUUAAAGGAAAAAUAAGGCUAGAAUGUAUUAAGAUAAUUAUAGGAUAGAAAACAGAGGAAGAUGGAAAGGAAUAGCUGAAACAAUUAACAGAAGUGGAAUACAAAAAGGGAGGUGUGAGGAGGUCGUGGAAAUAAGUGAAUGAAAGAUAAGAUAUUGAAAUUGUUUGAUUUACUUUAAACUGUUUUUGUUUUGUUUUGUUAGUUUAAUGUGUUUAAUGUGUCAAUGUUAUGUAGUGUUUUUGUAUUGUAUUGUAUUGUAUUGUAUUGUAUUGCUUUUGUAGUGUUUAAAUCAUUGGAAAAGCAAUAAAUAUUAUUUUUUUUUAAAAAAAGAACACUUAGUAAGUUUUCUGCUUGUAGUAGCAAUCACAACAUUUUUGUGCUAUAUGCUGUAUGACUUUAAAUUGUCUUUUUGUUCCUUCUUUUAUUCCUUACAUUUCAUUUCAUUGUAUUGCUGUCUGCAUUCCAAUGGAAUUCAAAUUGUAAUACAAUAAAAUAUAAUCUGAGCAAUAAAAGAAGCAAUAAGAUACAGUUCUGAAGAAAUAUUAAUAUGUAAUCUGGACAUGCUGAAGCUUAUGGACCACUGGUGACCACAGUUUGGGAACCACUGUUCUCGAUGGUUCCAUGCAUUGGAAGGAGUGGGCUGUAGCCUACAAAAGCUUAUUCCAUACAAACCAUGUUCUAAUAUUUCAAGAUGUACAAGUCUACAAAACAAUCCUGAGAUGCAGGUGGCGCUGUGGUCUAAACCACUGAGCCUCUUGGGCUUGCCAAUCAGAAGGUUGACAGUUUGAAUCCACACAACGGGGUGCUCUAUCCCAGCUCCCGCCUACCUAGCAGUUUGAAAGCACGCCAGUGCAAGUAGAUAAAGAGGUACCACUGUGGCGGGAAGGUAAAUGGCGUUUCCGUGCACUCUGGUUUCCGUCACGGUGUCCCGUUGCACCAGAAGUGGUUUAGUCAUGCUGGCCACAUGACCUGGAAAGCUGUCUGUGAACAAACGCCAGCUCCAUUGGCCUGAAAGUGAGAUGAGUGCAGCAACCCCAUAGUUGCCUUUGACUGGACUUAACCAUCCAGGGGUCCUUUACCUAUACCCUUUACCUUUACUUCCCACUGAAUUCUUUGGGAUUUAUUCCCAUGUUCUUUAAAUUCUGCACCGUGGGAAGCACUUUUCUGUAAGUUCUGUGCAUCAGUCCCAUGAUGCAAGAUUUAAAAGGCCCAGCCCACAUGCAUGAGCCUGAUGGCAUGGGUCUUUCCAUUAGAUUCAGCACUCUAGUGAAAGAAGCAUGCAGCUUCUAUGGAAAAGACCCAUCUGAUCAACCUUGCCAAUGUGGUCUUAGGGCUUGAACAGUGACACUAAAGCUGAGAGAUGAAUCCAUCUAAAAGGACCUUCCAUGGCAUGAAUGUAGCAUUUACAAGGGCAACCAACAUGGUGCUUCCAGGUGUUGCGACUGCAAUUCAUAGCAUCCCUUACCAUUGCCCAUGCUGGCUGGGACUGAUGGAAACUGUAAUCUGUAACACCUGGAGGGACCAUGCUGGCUACCACUGAUUUAAAGAUUUCUUAAUAGUGCAAGCCAAUGCAUGUCUACACAGAAGUAAGCAUCGCUAAAUUCGGUAGAGGACUGCAUUCAAGCACAGCUUCCUGCGAGAAAUGCAGUUUGCAAAACUGGACUGCUCUCGCCUGGCAGGGAGAACUUGGCAAAUGCUGGACUGUCUGCUGUCAGACAAUUACUAGCAUAAUCCGAAAGAGAAUUGCUCUAUGCUCUUUACGGCCUGCCUAGAUAUUGUCUUGUGUUCAGUAGUUUUCAGCUCUCUGGUUUUACUGCUUAUAGUCUCCUUCAGCUUCAACAUUCCAUUUUGACAAUAGGCAACCAAUGGAUGGCUUACUAAUAAAAAGUUGUUUCCAUAUUCCACAUUUUAUUAUGGCAAUGCAGAGUUUUUACAGUAAAACUCCUCAGUCUUGACUGAUAAGAAUGCAGCCUUGCAUUUUUAAUAGCCUUAUUACACAGAUAAGAAAAACUAAUCCAGCAGAGGGAGUCAGAAUGCUAUUCCAUUUUGUCCUUCUAUAUGGAGAAACAAUAGGUUGCUCGGCUGAACCAAAGGCAAGGAUUUUCAUGAACAUUUUAAUCAGCAUUUCAAUUUGUUUUCAAGUAUAACUGCAAAGGGAGGACAAAAGUGUUGCCUUAUGCAGAAUAGGUUUCAGAGCCCCAUGAUUAGAUAGGAUCACUCAUGUGACCAGUAUAGGAAGCACUUCCUCACUCUAAAUGGGCUUUGUUCCAUUGAAUGAUUGUAAGCACAUAGCCAAAGCUGAUUGGUUACACAGUGAGAUGAUAUUCAUUGUCAUUCAUUACAUGAUCCCUGAUUGUUUGGGAUAAGUCUAGGAGGGAGAAAGUAUCCCUACCCUGGGGGGAAAAUGACAUAGCAGAGGCAUAUAGUAGAAAUGACACUGAAUACGUGUUUUGUUUUGUUUUUAAAGUGAACAUUUGUACUUUUGAGAAAUUUGGGAAGAGAAGCCCAUUUCCUCCAGAAAACUUGGAUACAUGAAUCAAAGUUGUCAGACACUUGGCACAGACCGAAUGGCUAUUCUUAAUUGCGCUCCCAUUUUGUAUAUUAUUAGAUUCCCCCCCCCCCAUUCAACCAUCAACUUAAGUCUGUGCAAUCCAUCUUAAAAACCAGCAGUGGGUUUACUUAGCACAAGCUAAACUACAGGAAGGCUUCAGUUUAUGAGUGGUCUCUAAAUACAAUUUUUAAUACUUAAUUUUAAGUUUGACAUUAUUGUGUUGUUGCAUUAUAAUGCAUUUUCAUAGAAAGGUAUUUCACAUGCAGAUUUUGCAUGUAAAUUCUGUAGGCUUAUUACAAGAGAUAUAUUUUACUUAGUUUUUAGUUGCACACUUGUCUCAGUAUCACUAUAUGCAAAUACAAGAGUUUACUGUUUCUAUUUUCAUGAUCCUUUCUGUUAGAAUACAGUGGUACUUCGGGUUAAGAACUUAAUUCAUUCUGGAGGUCCGUUCUUAACCUGAAACUGUUCUUAACCUGAGGGACCACUUUAGCUAAUGGGGCCUCCCGCUGCCACCGCACAAUUUCUGUUCUCAUCCUGAAGCAAAGUUCUUAACCCGAGGUACUAUUUCUGGGUUAGCGGAGUCUGUAACCUGAAGUGUCUGUAACCUGAAGCGUCUGUAACCCGAGGUACCAGUGUAAUACAUAGGCUUGGUAAUGUUGCUGGGUUGUUAGAGUAGGCAUAGUUUAGGGCCUCAGCAUAUUUUAAUCCGGCCCUGUUUAAGAUUGUAGACAUCAUGUUGUGCUUACUCUCUACCCUCUUUGCCCACCAUGUUUUAUUUAACAUUCCACCUGAAGACCUUCUGCAGAACUGGAAAGCUUCCGCUUGACUUUACGACCUUCUGAUAUUUCCUUUUAAAAAUAUUACCCUGCUAUGCUGCCUGCUUUCAUCUCUCUAGCCAAAUCUCUCCAUAAACAGCGGGAUUUGGGUGAGUAGCAGACGUUCCAUGCCUGCCAUUGUUUUGAACAUGCUCAAUAGCUUUGUGGCAUAUGCUGGAACUAAAGGAUGCUUCACACAUGUAUGUGUUAAUGAACCAUCACAGAUCAAAUGCCAAUUCAUGUAUCACUUCACAUCUCCUCAAAUGCUAUGUUGUUCAGCAUAUUUGUCUGUGAGCUAUCAAGUGUUCGUUAAUAAAUUAAGUCAUGAAUAUGCAUGUUUGAAGUGACCCAGAGACAGAAGCUUUCAUAUUUAGCGGGCUCAGGUUUUGGAGACCAUGCAUUUCCCCCCACCUUUCUUUGUGCUCAAAUUACUCUGAUUUGUCAUAGGCCGUAAUGCCAGGGGGAUCUUAGAUUUUAAUUAUAUAUUAUAUGUGCAUUCAAGAGUGAUGUUUUCUAGUGAAAAUAAGAUUUGGGAGGGGAUGAUUUGGAGCAGAGAAAUGCCCUCCAGAGAUUCUCCACUCCACCUCCCUCCAAAGCUGAUUUUCUCCAGGAAAUUCAGCUGUUGGUGUUUUGUCUGUCUGUCUGUCUGUCUCUCUCUCUCUCUCUCUCUCUCUCUCUCCCUCUCUCUCUCUCCCUCUCUCUCAUGUAACUUGUAGUUCUACCAUUGGGUAAAGGGCAGGAUCUAAAAGUGUAAAAUGCAGCAGUGAAAUUCACCUAUCAUCCUAGGUCCAAAUCAAGCAUUCUAAUAGUUGUAAUAUAUAUAAAUAAGUGGUGAUAUUUCAGUAUUGCUAGCUUUGAUUACAUUUCUUGGCAAUUUUGAAAACCAGCUUUCAUCAAAACAGAACAAAACAGAAUGCUGAACCUUCUGUGAGGUUGUCAGAACUGUGUGUCAUUAUCAGCAGGAAAUAUACAAAUUCUGUGUAGAAAAUUACAAUUAUGUGUCAGAAAUAUACUGGAACCCCCCCCCCCUUACAAAAUAAGCCAGUAUAGACUGUUUCAAGCUUGCAAAAGUUUUGCAUUUGCAGAGAAACUCUACAUCUGUCCAGGGUCUACAGAUAUUGAUAUUUAUGUGAAUUUUGACUAUUGUUUUCACCGAGCAUAAACUGAUUUAUCUAAAGGGGAAGCAAAACAACAUUAAAAAACAUUGAAUAGUUAUAAAGGAUUUUUUUAUAAAAGGAAUAAGACAGUGAAUAAGACAGUGGUACCUCGGGUUAAGAACUUAAUUUGUUCUGGAGGUCUGUUCUUAACCUGAAACUGUUCUUAACCUGAGGUACCACUUUAGCUAAUGGGGCCUCCUGCUGCUGCUGUGCCGCUGCCACACGAUUUCUGUUCUCAUCCUGAAGCAAAGUUCUUAACCCGAGGUACUGUCUCUGGGUUAGUGGAGUCUGUAACCUGAAGUGUCUGUAACCUGAAGCAUCUGUAACCCGAGGUACCACUGUAAAGAGAAUAAUUGAGUAUCAGCUUCAUUGUGAAGCUUUUUGCAUAACAUUGCUCUCCACUUUCUGCAAAGAACUCUAAGAUAGCUCUGUAGCCUUGCAGAAUAUAAGCGGGGGCGAGAUCUCAAAGUCUGUCCCCUGGCAGAUUGUGAACUCAGGCCUUUUAACUAGGAAAGGAAAGAGAAAGUCAAGCUUUGCAGAUAAGCUCUGUGUGUGGGCAGGGAAAGAGAUGAUGCAAGACAGAACAAUGAAUUUUGAAUGCAGCAAGGCAGCAGCUAUUGAAAUCUAGUAAAUAAGGUGAAGGUAGAAAUUGCAUUCUCCCUCCUCUUCCUUGCCUGCACCACAAAGAGAACCCUUGUUGGGGUGGAAUCUGGAACUUGUCUUCCUAUGUCUUCCAGGGAUUUUCCUCCAAUAUUUCUACCACCAAGGGUUGACGGAAAACACACAAAAUAGUUGCCCACUUCCAGCAUGGCUGAACAUAGGAUGAGGGGUAAGGAUAGGCGAAUCUGAUAGUUUAUCUCAGUUUGUCAUUUUCCCCAUCUUAAAUUCAGUUCUCCACAUUUCCACAUUGGUUUGCCUUUUAUUUUUAUUUUUUAAGACCUUUUGAAAAUUCAUCACCAUUUAGUGUGAAUUUUUCCCAAUACAUACAUGUUUUUGUAUGACAUUGUACCUAACAUGCACAUUUUUGCCAAGCAAUUUUCCUUAAUGAAUUUUUAAAUGUUAUUUUCACCAAUUAUACCCUAACAUAGGCAUUGCUUUACACAUUACUUGGUUGGAGAAUUACAUUGCAAAAUUCAGAGAAGUGUGACUUGCAAAGGAUGGCUCUGUUUCGGUUUCCAUAUGUUUUUAACACCGGUCCUGAAAGACCUACAUAGGCUCCCAGUAUAUUUCCGAGCACAAUUCAAAGUGUUGGUGCUGACCUUUAAAGCUCUAAAAGGCCUCAGCCCAGUAUAUCUGAAGGAGAGUCUUCACCCCAUCGUUCAGCCCAGACACUGAGAUCCAGCUCCGAGGGCUUUCUGGCAGUUCCCUCACUGCGAGAAGUAAGGUUACAGGAAACCAGGCAGAGGGCCUUCUCAGUGGUGGCACCCACCCUGUGGAACUCCCUCCCAUCAGAUGUCAAGGAAAUAAUCAACUAUCUGACUUUUAGAAGACAUCUGAAGGCAGCCCUGUUUAGGGAACUUUUUAAUGUUUGAUCUUAUUUUUAAUAUUCUGUUGGGAGCUGUCCAGAGUGGCUGUGGAAACCCAGCCAGAUGGGCAGGGUAUAAAUAAAUAAAUAAAUAAAUAAUAAAGCAAAGUAUGAAAAAGAUAGAUUCACCUUUAAAUGCAAAUGCAAUCAAAUGUCUUCCCUAUUUCUAAUUAGGAGUGGUUUUUUUAUUUUUUUGCUUUUCAGAUUAGGAAGCAAAGACCAACUUGUGAGUUGGUUUUCUAGUCUUCUAAAUCUGGAAAAUGGGAGGGUUUUUUGUUUUAAAAAUCAAUACUAACGUCAAACAAUUUAUAGCACCCCUUUUUGCAAUUAUGGCACUCAAAGUGUGUUCACAGUACACAUAGAUCCAACACAAUUCAAAUCAGUACGUUACAAAAAUGAGGAAAUCAUCAAAACCAGCAAGUCAUGGAACACUUUCAAUAAUCAAUACCAUAUUCAGUGCCUAACAAUUCAUUAUACCAGAACAAGCAGCAACACUUUAAUGACAGCAUUAAAUAGAAAGUCACAAUUCAUUUUCUGAUUUAGUCAUGGCCAACAUUGUAUAAUAAUGGUACUAUAUAUUAGAUCAAUUAUUUGCUUUCUUGAAUUUUUUUCUCUCUUUAAAAAAUAUUGCUGUGGCUUGACAGGAGAGAAGAAUUGCAUAUAUGCUCAAGGAGCAAUGGAUUUUGGAGAGGGUAGCCUUAUUUUUCAUUGCUUCCUUAUUUACAGGAGGAACUGGGAAACAGCCUGGCAGAGAAGGUGUGAUGUGGUACACUCUUGCUAACUCCUUGCUGAUUAGAGGAGCAAUUGUGCCCCCAAAGAGGGCUUUAAAUCGGGCAUUUAAGCAAACAGGGAUGCGAUUCUAUAUCCACUCACUUGGCAUUAAGCCCCAUUCACCUAAAUGGGACUUACCUCUGAAUAGGUAUGUAUAGAACAGGGGUGGCCAACUCUCAAGAGACUGCAAUCUACUUUCAGAAUGAAAAUCUGGCAGUGAUCAACCCCCCGUUUUUGGGAGGUUCAGCUCAAAGUUGUUGAGCUUUUUUAGGGAGGAGAGAAGCCCCAUUUUUGGGGGGUUAAGAGAAAAGCUGGGGGUAUUCUGCUUUUGAGGGGGUUAAAGGCAAGGGUCAAAGGGAUAACUAUAGUCACUCACGAAAAAAUUGCUAUGGGUCAAAACUCUGCCUUCCCUUCCAGAGAUCAUACAUCAAUGGAGGGUGGGGCGAGGGGCCGGGGCAGGAGUCAGUUUUAGCGACGCUAAGGAAAGGGAGCCAGAGGUCGGCUGUGAUCUACCAAAACCUCACGGGGAUCUACCAGUAGAUUGUAAUCGACCUGUUGGACAUCCCUGGCAUAGAAAAACAACAACAGGUGGCUUCCAACAAAUUGAAACACAAUAUAGCAUCAUACAUUAAAUACUUCCCUGAAGGGCUGCCUUCUGAUAGUGCUGAAAGUGACUUGUAUCUAAAUGUUUCAUUGCAAUCAGGGAUUUUUUUUCCCCAGCUGGAACUGAGUUCCAGCACCUCUCAGUUGGGCACCAUUGCCAUUGUAAGAGAACGACGGAGGCGUUCGUGGCGAUGUUGCUGGAUAUCACAAGUGGCGAUUGCACACACGUUCUCCUUGCAGGCUUCCCAUAGGUAUCUGGUUGGUCACAGUGAGACUGUGGACUACAUGAUUCAGCAGGGCUUUCCUUAUGUUCUUAAUACAGUGGUACCUCAGGUUACAGACGCUUCAGGUUACAGACUCCGCUAACCCAGAAAUAGUACCUCGGGUUAAGAACUUUGCUUCAGGAUGAGAACAGAAAUCGUGCUCCGGUGGUGUGGCAGCAGCAGGAGGCCCCAUUAGCUAAAGUGGUACCUCAGCUUAAGAACAAUUUCAGGUUAAGAAUGGACCUCUGGAAUGAAUUAAGUUCUUAACCCGAGGUACCACUGUAUAUGUUACACUGCUAUGUCUGUACUCAUGGAGAUCACAUUCACAUUAAGAAGCUACAGUGGUACCUUGAUUUAUGAACUUAAUCCGUUCUGGAAGUCCAUUCUUAAACCAAAACUGUUCUUAAACCGAGGUGCACUUUCCCUAAUGAGGCCUCCCGCCGCUGGUGCCCUUCCACCGUUUGGAUUCCGUUCUUAGACCAAGGUAAAGUUCUCAAACCAAAACACUAUUUCCUGUUUUGCAGAGUUUGUAAACCAAAUCAUUCUUAAACCGGACUGUUCUUAAACCGAGGUACCACUGUACUGGCAAAUGCCAUAAAAGGAAGUGAGGAAGCCUAGGAUCCAAAAUAGUACAAAGCAAUAUUUAUUAAAGGACCUCAAACACAUUUUGAACCUCAGCUCCUUCUCAGGAGACUGACUUUAAAAGUUUAUUGAUGUGCUCUAGUUUAUCCACAUUAAACAGAGCACUCAUUAUCUCAGUCUCUAUCUGUGCUGGAUCUGAAAUAAUUUUUACAUAUUAAGUAAUUUUUAACUUUGUAUAUAUAUAUAUAGAGAGAGAGAGAGAGAGAGAGAGAGAGAGUUGUUUUUAAUUGCUUUCAUAUAUGGAAUUGUUUUUCCAUGAAAUCGCUUUGAGCUACUUUAUGGGAAGUGGUUCACAACUGGAACUGAAUAAAUAAAUAAACGUAAGAACAAAAACACAGUAUUCUUUAGGCAGAAAGCAUACGAUUUUCUAUGUCCAUCUUAUCUGUUCCCAGAGAAAAAAAGAGAUGGUUAAUGUGUAAGUUAAGCUACUUUGCACACACUUCUAUUGAUUUCACUGGGAAUAAGAUCGGCCCUUAUAAUUAUUCUCCAUUAUUUCUCUGGGCUUGUGUAGUAUCCUACGCUUACAAGCCUUCAGGGCAUGCUGAAAGGCUUACAUUUUAUUUCUAGCUUAUGUGUAUAUAGGCAUUGUUAGAGCUGGCACUGGGACCCUAGGACCCAUUUGUCAUUUAUCUCUUUGUAUUGAGAUUUGCUUGCAGUUAUUGAAGGUUCUCCUUGGUUAGGUUUUUCUCAGUGUAUUUUUUAAUAUGAGUCCUGACAGUUGCUUUUUUUUUUUUGUAAAUGUAGUGAAAUUGUAAACAGACAUUAUUUAAUGAAGUGUAUCUCGGUGGAUAUUUGUAACUAGUUCAGUUACUACAUGUAAGCCCUGGUGAACUCAAAUGAAGUAGUCUAACAGCAUGAUCUUAUGUACAUUUACUUAGAAAUAACUCGCAUUGUAUUCAGCAGAGCUUAUUUCUGAGUAAAUAUACAUAGAUAGUUGCUGUAAGAAGUUUGACUAAAAAAGGCUUGGGUAGGACAAGUCACAGUUUAGGACUGGAAGCAAAAUGAUGGUAUUUUCCUUCAGCUUGUGUAAUAUCAGAAGUGUUGUUCUGUUUAAACUUGCAUUAUUGUAUAACAUAAACAUUGACAGCAGGACUCCAUGACGGCAUUUUAGACUUGAUUUAUUUAUUUGUUAAAUUUAUAUACCACCCUAUACCCACAGGUCUCAGGGUGGUUCACAAGUUAGAAUUUCUGCUCCUCCAUCUCUUUGCCAAACCCAUUCUCAUAAAUAUAGCUACAAUAAAUUAAUCUUUGGUAUUCUUAGGAUGGAUCCUCAUUGACAGAUAUGGAAACGGAAGGUCAGGAUCUAUCACUUCUAUAGCUCUCUACUGACAUCUGUAAUUAAGGACAGAAAUAUAUGUGUCCCUAUGCAGCGGACUGUGGGACGCGGGUGGCGCUGUGGGUUAAACCACAGAGCCUAGGACUUGCCGAUCAGAAGGUCGGCGGUACGAAUCCCCGCGACGGGGUGAGCUUCCAUUGCUCCCGUUGCUUGGUCCCUGCUCCUGCCAACCUAGCAGUUCGAAAGCACGUCAAAGUUCAAGUAGAUAAAUAGGUACCGCUCCGGCGGGAAGGUAAACGGCGUUUCCGUGUGCUGCUCUGGUUUGCCAGAAGCGGCUUGGUUAUGCUGGCCACAUGACCUGGAAGCUGUACACCGGCUCCCUCAGCCAAUAAAGUGAGAUGAGCGCCACAAUCCCAGAGUCGGCCACAACUGGACCUAAUGGUCAGGAGUCCCUUUACCUUUACCUUAUACAGAGGACUAGAGCAGGCAGAGACAGCAAGCCUUAAGCUAGAUUUCCUUGAGGGAUCGAGACUCUUGCCACCGAAGUCCUCAUGCUCUCCACUGUCUGGUCACAAAUGGACAGUGAAUUCCCACCUGGUGGGAAUGAGCAAGAAGGUGGUGAAAUGCUUUGCUCUGUCCCAGGCCAGUGGGCUGCCCCUUUAGAGGUCUUGUCUCUCAGAUAGGGGCUGGAGCCUGGGGCAGGUAGUCAGGCCAAGACUCUAAGCCUCUUUAUCUGCUCUCAGAACUCUCCCUGGGCCACACCAACCAGUGGCCCUGCUUCACACCCCAGCUAUUUCUGCUGGGCUGGAAUGUGCCCUUGAUAUUUGAUAAUGCCUCAUGGUUGUUUGGAUGGAAAAUGUGUGUGUGUGUGUGUAAACUAACCUACUGAACAUGGCUUAAAUUUACAUUUGCCUACAUUUGGUUUGGGCCCUGGCCACCAUUGGCAUAUGGCCUUGGAAGGCUUCCCAGGGGGGGAAUGACCUUUGGAAUAUGCUUCCUCACCCUUGAGAUGAGGAUUUGGUGAAGCUCCAGAAUGUCAGCAUGGAGCUGUCCAAGGUUCUGUUGCCUCAUUUUGUCCCUCUCUACCAGGCCAGUCAGCCAAUUGGCUGGUUGUUGAUUGAUGGAUUAAUUCACAGCUGCCAUUCUUUGUCACACUCUCUGGCUGGGUCUGGGCCCCCUCAAAACCACCACUGUGCGCUUCCACUAGGAAUUAAGACAGAAUUAACAGUGGACUCGAUGGAUCAAGGUUUGACUUGGUGUAAAGCAGGCUAACAAAAGGCGAAAAUUAAACGGACAUUUUUACAGAUGUAAUUGACAGUGAACAGGAAUUCAGGGGUGUACGCAUGAGGGUGGGGGGAAUCAGUUGCUGGACACACCCUCCAAAAAAAGGGAACAAGCUAACGGCAGCUUGUUUAUCAGGGGUGUGUGCAUAAAUCAGUGGUAUGAGGUACAGUAGCUGAAACUUGAAUUCAUAUGGUAGUGCUUCACAGCAGCUCUUUAAAAUAUAUUUUUUUAAAAAAUAGUGAGUGAAAGCAUGCAUUCAUUCAUGUCAUUGUUCUAAACAAAGUAUUUGAAGGAACAUAAAACACCCAACAUUAAAAAAAAAAAGAAGAUAGUUACUAAACAGUAGUAUGAAAAACUGUUGGACCAAAUGGCAGCAUUUUCUCUGUGGUUAUGUAAUCUUGAAGAAACUUGUGAACAUUUGCUGUAAAACAGACUCUGCCUGAAAGGGUUUCAUUUCACACCUCUUGCAAUUAAAUGCAGAUGGUGCUAACCUUUGCAGAAGGCUAACAAAAAGGCAUGUUCUGAUACAAUAAAAAUCAGCCAAACAUUUUUCCAGCUAAUGUAAAUGAAGUGAUUGUCUAAGCUGCAAAUUACUUUUGCAAUACUGUAACACUUUUGAUUUGGAAUCUUUAGUAUGGAGGAAAAAAAUCAGAAAAAAAAACUAUCCAAAUAAAAAGACUAAAGUCUUCUUGGUUCCACAUAGUUCUUUCAUAUUUCAGUCAGCAUAAUAGAUGUGCCUGAAGGGGAAGCCAAAACUCUUGAGAAUAAACUGAACUGAACAUAUGUUUUGGUGCAAGGCCUAAAAACAAGCUGGUAACCAUGGUACCAGGGCUGGACGACCAUCUUUGAUGUAUUUCUGCUGCACUGAAUCCAGACUAUCCCCAGCCCCAAUCCUAGUUUAGGGAUUGUUUUGGUGCAAUAUUGAAAGCAAUAGAAUAUGUAUCCACCUAUAUUCAGAUUAUCUUUAAAUACUACACUCUUUCUGUGAUAUAUUCCAAUCAAUCCCAUUUUACAAUCAGUCUACUAAGAUAAAGAGACAGGCAGAUGUUGUUUUUAAAUGAAGGGAAUGGCAUUUGUACCUUUUUUACAUCAGGAAGCUUAGCAAGACAUAUAACUGAGUUAAAGGAGGAAUUUAAAAUCAUGGCCACAGUUGUUACUGUCCUCUGGGUACACUAUUGUAUGUAGAGAUGGUGAAAAUCCAAUUCAUUUCCAAAGACUGAGCUUAGUAUUUCCCUGUAAUGUCUUUAUGUCUAAGGUAAUCAAACAAGUAAUGAGGGCGACGUCCACCACAUUACACCUAUGAGUGCAGAGCAUUUUCCUGAGCUAUCCAUGCUUCAGUUGAAAUCUUAAUAAAGUAAACACCUGUCUAGCAUUGGAAUGCUCCUACACUUAACUUCAAAUCCUGAAAUUUCACUUGCAUUUGUAAUCGUUUUCUGUGGUAGACAAUCCACCCUGAAUUAAAAUCGUUCCAAACCCCUUCUCUUGAUUUCUGCUUUCAUUGCAGUCAGGUUUCUUCCACAGGAAAAAAAAGCUUCAAAGAAAACUUAAGGAUGAAUUAAAGAUCGAAGGGUUUCCCCACACUUCUCCAAACUGGUACUGUCUGAGCGGCUGGCAAACCAAUAUAAUAUGUUGAUAAUUUAAAAAAUACACUGCACAGAGUCUCCCCCACUCAUCAAGUCCAUACAGUCCUUUGAGCAGACACUCAGUUUGUGUGCUGAAGAAAUAAGGCGAGCCCCAUUUCUCCCCCCCCCCCACCAGCUUCUACCACAAACAAAAUUUUGUCUGAAAUGGGCACUCCACGCAAACUUUUGAUUUGACUGGCUUCAAUCUAGGCUCAAAAUCACAUCAGUAGACGUGAGAGGAAAAGCAAGCAAAAGGUCCUUUUGGUCUAUGUGAGCAACUUGUCUGGCCCAACAAAGUAUCUGCAGGCACCUACCCCCCCCCCCGCCCCCCGCUUUACUUGACCCUUCUGAGCCUGCUAACAUGAACCAACCUAAGCUCUAUUUUCAUCUUCCUGCUAUGUCGGCAUUACAAAUGUGUACAUUAUUUCUCAUUCUGGUGAGAGUGACCCCUUCUCCUCUCUAAGGAGCAUGAAUUUAUCAUUAUUCUGCUCCGAAAGAAAGAUUGUCUCGCACUCCCAUGAUCUCCAUUCCAGGGCUGCUGCAAAGGUCCGCUCAACCUGGUUAGCAUUUCCCCCGCUUUGCUUUGGUUGCGGUGAAUGCAAAUAUCAAUCAAAUGCUGAACCCUAAAUCUCAUCCUGCUGCUCUUUUUAUCCUAGGCUUAAACAGCAACAUUCCUUGUUUUGUCAGAGGCCAACUGUGUUACCCUCUAUGACAGGAGAUGCUUCUGAAAUCUUCUCUGUUCCUUGAACUCUCUGACUUCUGCAUGCUACGGUGCUUCAGCUAAGGCUGUUCUGUUGCAGGCAGAUUUCUUUUGUGCUUUUCUUCCCACCUCGACGUUUACAUGACCUGCGUAAGAUAGACUUCCAUAGUUAACUUCCACACGCUUUGUGGAAGUUCUUUUGUCAGCUUGUUUAGUAUGGCACAACCAAUGAAAUCCCCCCUAAUGGGUUGUGUGGGUGAGUGGGAGGGAUUGUAACUUGCAAAGAGCUCAAGGGGUGCAGUGAGUUUCUCUGGCCACCCAGUGUCACGUGUAUCAUGGCUGGAGGGUAGUGGCUUAUGUAUCCUGUUGUGGGCUGAGCACCUCUUCAUCCUUACCAGCACCAGUUGGGCCUGCCAACAGCCUGUUUGAGCUUCUGUGGAGGGAAGGGGGAGUAUUUACUUACCACCCACUCUAUAAUAAGAAAACCCAACUCCCACUCCAAUGGUUCUCCCAAACUUGUGUUACUGCCACCAUUCAGUCUGACUUAUUCCCCCUGAACCCUUAAUUUACCAAUAACCUGGUAACUGUGGGGUGCCGGAAUGGUAGAAGCAGUUGGAAUGGUACAAAGUUAGAGAAAGAUAUUAUAUUCAACCAAGAAUUUACAUUUCUAGACUGGUGACUGGGAGCGGCCGCCGAGACCACAUAACACCGGUCUUGAAAGACCUACAUAGGCUCCCAGUACGUUUCUGAUCCCGAGCUGUCGAUGUGUGUGUGAAUUUAUUUAUUUAUAUAUAUUUUUUGCAACGGGUACCACUUGGGCUUGCUACACCUCUGCCUUUAAUCUUUGUUGGAAGCCGCCCAGAGUAGUUUAUUUAUUUAUUUAUUUGAAAGUCAUUAGGUGCAGAAGCUAAUCUGGGUAAUUUAUAUCAGUACCGUAUAUACAGUUGAACUGUUAGUGUCACUUUGCAUGCUGAACAGCUUAUAUUCAAGCUCCAAAUAUGUUAUUGCUAACCUGACAGUGGGUACUGCUUUCCAUGUUGUUGGUUGUUGGAAUGCCAUUGUGGACCUCCUAAUACAGCACUGGGAACAACUCUCUUCUAGGGAAACAACAUUUCCUUCUAAGAAACUUUCCUCAUCAAGGGAGUGAUUCACAGUCACUUAUCCAGACCAAAUUACCCAUAAAUGAAUAUGGAGCGGUCAGAGUCUACGAUGUAGCCACCAUUUAUGGUGUCAUCCAUCAGAUAUUCACAUCUACUAAGGCGAUGCUUUGUUUUACUUUAGUCUGCCUUUUAUGGGUAAUUGGUUAAGGAGACAUUGUCAUGAUUUGUUAGGCUUAGGGCUUAUCAGCCUGUGAUGAACAUGCCAUUAGCUUGAUUCCUAACCACAUGCACCUCAGUAUGAGAAAGCAAAUAUUCCAUACUGUGAUGGACUAAUUAUAAAGUGUGCAAGGUGUCAUAUCUUUGGGGUGCAUUUUACAAUAUAGAACCAAACUGAAGGCCCUAGAAACCAUCUCCAGGUGGGUCACAGUUUCAGUCCCUGGCAGCUCCAGGUAGGGAUGCAAAAAGACCCAUUUCUGAAAUCCUGGAAACUUGAUGCCAGACACUGUAGGCAGUAUUGAGUUAGAUGGACUACUGGUCUGAUCAAUAUGAAGCAGCUUCCUGUGUGGUAGCUGUACCAUUUAGUGAGCCAUGCUGAUGAGUCCCCACCAUCUUUGCCUCUAUGCCACUGCCAACAUUCCUGGUGAUAGAUUGCAAAACACAGUGAGCCAGUCCACAUGAAAAGAGGAUACAUAUAAUGGUGCACCAUAUGGAACAGUUGCCAUACUUUCUCAUGGCCUCCACAAGGCAGCCACAUUGUGAGAAGCAUGCCUAUGGGAUGGAGUUGUGGCAGCAGAGUUGAGUGGAUGAGACCAGGAAUGAAUGAAUCAGUUUAUUCCCACUCCACGCCACUUUUGCAUGUGUUCACUUACAAUAUGUUCACUCAUUCUAUUCCAUUUCUUUAGUAAAUUGUAAUUUUAUUUUUUAAAAAAACAAGCAAAAAUCCACAUAUAAGCACAUGCCUAAAUACAUAUCUUAAAACACAUUUUCUUUCAAAAUGCAUGUUUAAAAACACUUUCAAUAUGUUUCUGAGCUCAGAACUGUGUUGUAACAUUGGGUAUCCCUAAGCUCUGAGCUACAUGUGUGUUCAUGUGCAUUGCUUUAAUAUCUAUUUUUAGUUAUUAUUGUACGAUUGUAAAUUGCCUUGAGACUUAUGGAAAAGGUGAUUCAUACAUCUAACAGGGACUGUGGCCACUCUUUCUCUGCCCGCUCAUGCUGUCUCUUUGGUCCUCUUCAGCCGACGGCUUCUUGCUGUUCAUCUGUCCAUCUGCUCUUGCCCACUCAGAUGUCUCCCUGACUAGCAGCUUUUCGAUUGCUUCGCCACUUUCUGGUUCCUAGCCCAACAUCAUCAGAGGUGAGACUUUUCCAGGCAACAUUGCAGCGUACACUGUGCUGUGCUGCAGCCUUAGCUGAAAUUCAAACCUUCAGAGUGGAGAAGAGGAGAGCUCUUACUCUGCUCCACUCCCUUGCAAUGUUCCCUUACGUCUGGCGAGAGCCAGGGAUAGUCUCCUCUCGGAUGUCCAGUGCACCAUUGUCUCCUCCCCAGCUGCCAUGCUUGUGGCACAAUGUAGCUGAUGGCAAGAAGACUUUCCUUGAGACUUAUGUGAAAGCCAAAUCAUAAACUGAUAGACUACAUACACAAAUACAUAAAAUACCUAAGGUCAGUGUUCCUAUUCUAUACCAAACACAUCUCCACUCCAAUAGUUCCCUUCCAACCUUUUUUGUCAUACAUAAAGGAAAGACAUACCACAUUCUCCCAUGAGAGCCUUUUGACUUGCAGGAGUGCAGUCGUCAUAGUUUCAUCUCCGCUCCUACUGUUACUUGGUGCUGGGGUCUAAACCACUGAGCCUCUUGUGCUUGCCAAUCAGAAGGUCGGCAGUUCGAAUCCCCACGAUGGGGUGAGCUUCUGCUGCUCUGUCCCAGCUUCUGCCAACCUAGCAGUUUGAAAGCACGCCAGUGCAACUAGAUAAAUAGGUACUGCUGUGAUGGGAAGGUAAACGGCGUUUCCGUGUGCUCUGGUUACCAUCACAGUGUCCCAUUGUGCCAGAAGCAGUUUAGUCAUGCUGGCCACAUGACCCGGAAAGCUGUCUGUGGACAAAUGCUGGCUCCCUCAGGCUAAAAGCAAGAUGAGUGCCACAACCCCAUAGUUGCCUUUGACAGGACUUAACUGCCCAGGGGUCCUUUACCUUUUUACCUUUACCUUACUCUCAGAACAACCCUGGUCCUUAGGUCACUUGAAUCCCUCUAGAUGCACUUGUGCCUUGCACUUCAGUUUUUGUGCUGCCUCCCACCUACUCUUUCCUGGUUCCCCUCUGGAUAUGAGAGUACAACAACUGGAAGAACAAAGCACUUCUACAUCUGACUGACUGUAGAUGCUCUGAUGUCAGAAAUUGCUUUCAUUAAUGAUGGAGUGCAUUGUCUUCCUGCUCUUUUCUUCUUCUCUUACUGGCAUCCUGUAAAAUAUUAAAACUCUCAGCAUACCUAUCCUUCACUUUCUUUCCCCUAAAUUCCUUCAUAUCCCUACACAUCCAAAGCAGAUUUAAAAUAAUAAAAGACCAACACAACAAAAUCUGUGAGGAAAUAUUCCCCACAGCCUCAUAGUUUGGGAAAGCCCAUUUUUUUUGAAUCCAGCUCCAGAUUUCUUCCAUAAUGUGACUAACCUUGACAUAGAUCUGACAGAAUGAUAUGGGGGAAAUUUUCCUCAAUCUCCCCAGCCCCUCAAUUCUGGGCACAGCAAUAGCACUUCCUUCUCAGAGCACAUAUAUGCAUAUAUAUAAAAUAAAGCCUGUUCUGCAGCAAACACAAUAAUAUGCUUUUAUUGUGGCUUCAUUGCUGUGAAUGGCCUGGGGGACAUCACAACAUUCCAAUAAGCUCAAGUUCAGGCAAAGCAGAGCUCUAUUCACAUAGGUUUGCAUUUUUACAGAGUUACAUUGAGGGCACACAGUGAAUGCAGAUAAUCAGAUGAUUUGGAAAAUGGGGUUGGAAUCAAACGUUCAAAUAAUGAGGGUAAGUGAUGUUUCCAAAGAGAUGGUGAUAAAUAAAAUAUCCAGACUGAGAAUGUAUGUGAUGAGCCACGGCUAAAUACAUUGCAUAAGAGCUAAAUAAAAAGCAAGUAGUUUGCUUAGGUGGUGAUAGCACCUAAUGCAAUGUCUCUUUGUGCUUCUGAGUGGGAUAUUGGUCCCCAUAAUUUUGGUAUUUCCAAUCUGCAACUUCAUCUUCGGUAGCUUGUGGCUUCCAUGGCUUCCUCUCCACUGAUAUAUAGUUCUUGUAAAUGUUAGAAAUAUCACCACUCUUAAGAUCCAGCAAAUUAUGGGAAAUUCAACAGCUACAGUAUCGAGUGACAUUUGCAGCCAUACUUGCGUGACACUACCUCUCAACUUUACAACAUAGUCCAUUUCACAGUCCAUCUCACAGGUAAACAACAGUGCUCAAGGAAUAAAUGAAUACCGAUGGGACAAGAGAAUGACAAGUUAUGUGAUCCGAUUGGUGGAAUGAGCUGGGAUGUCAUGUUAUUACUUCAGAACUUAAGCCACUUGCAGCUCAAUCUACCUUUACAAAACUUUCUGUUCAGCACACUUUUGUUUCAAUGGGACGUUUGCUGGCAGUCCGAAUCUCCAUCCCCCUGAACUAGCCGUCAGAAACAACAACCCGAAACUUAAGGGUAGAGCUUUGUGGCGAACAUCAUGUGUAGUGUGACCCUUACUUUUAAGUCAGCUCAUAAUCAGGUUUUGGAAAGAUGCCCAGCUACAUAUGAUAUCAGAAGUAGUGGUACCCAUAUGAUGGUUGGCGAAGAGUAAAUGGGAACUUUAUUGUUACCUUUUACCUUCACAUUUUUUUUGCUUUAAAGAACUGAAGAUACCAAAGGCACUAGAAUGUUGUGAUUAAGAGGAAAGCCUCAACGGAUUUGGAGAAAAGCAGACUGGAGUUAGAUCUUCUGUUUUAUAGCUAAGCCUGAGGUUUAUCAAAUAUUAAUACAGAAGAGCCGUAGAAAUGUGGUUUUUGUUUUUAAAAGAAAGCUAAGCGCCGCACACAAUAUGCUUGGGAUUAAUUGCAGACUCAUUAGACAUGAGGCUCUAAAUAUCAUUAACAACUGAGAUAACAACAACAUUUCUGCAGAUUAAGGAACAAGUACUAGACAAAAAAUAUAAAUAGAGGAUUUGGAAGUGAAUUGUGUUUGGGGGAUUUUUGUUUUGCUUUUUCUUACCCAGACCAUACCUGAAGUUUCCAAGAGUAUCAACAUCCUAAACAAGUCACAUAUUAUCAUCUUGAACCAUAUGCUUACCUGGAUGUUUUUUUCCUACACAUUUUUACUCCCCAGGAGUCUGCAAACAACUAGAAUGAAAAAUAAACACACACAGAACGGGAAGUCAAAUACAAAUGGCAGAUAAGUGACCACACAGUCUUGACAAUAACUUUCCAAACCUCCUUGCCUUUUGGGCUUUAUUGAUUCUGAGAAUAAGUUCCAUUUGCCCGCCAAAGGUUCAAGAGGGGGGCAAUAGCUUUACUAGGCCCAGCAUGUGGAAAUGAGCUCCUAAUAUAAACAAAUGGAAUCUAGGUUCAUUAUUUGUUUUACGAAAAUGGCAGUGGUGUUAUAUCCGGAAUUGAUUUUAUUUAAAACACUGCCUGAAGCAAUUGCUCAAUGAGCUGUUUUCUCCCCGAAGGUCUCUCUGUACCAUUUCUCCCCACCAACAACUAUUCUAGUAAAGAAUAUAAAUCCUCUCCUUCCCUGUUGGUCUCCCAAGGACUAACAUCCCUAUAAAUCUGUAUAGUGUAAAAAUACCAAUAGUACGUCAUUUAGAGUUUGAACUUUUCUUUGUGUAAAAACAACAACAAAAAGAAACCCCACAAUCCUGUGGUGGAGGGGGAAAAAAGAUUAUCAUUGUACUUGUUGUUUGCCAGAGACAUUAAAGAAAAUUGCAAGAGCAGAAUAAACGGAGCACUCGACGGGGUAAGCUUUUUUCUUGAAAACAAAUUUCCACAUUAUCCCUGCAUGCUGGAAGACCUUGCUUGAUGGAGGCUAGGAGGACUGCUCGGAGUAAUCUCUGAAAACAAGCAAGCCAUUUAUUUUAGCAGUUCCCACAGUGGAUCUGGGCAGGUAGACCAGGCCCCUCUUUUACUCUACAUAAAACUCUUGCAGAUGCUUCAAGAUGGGACUUUAAAGCCUGAGAGGGCUUGGAAACAAAGAUUUGUUAGAGAACCCCCACUUACGGAAACGGGCACCGCAAAGCUAUUACAUACAAAUUGCCGCAAAGCACUCACCGGCUCUCUGCAAGAAGGCAGCAGAUCUGUCACACUGAUUCUGAGAACAUUUGUCUCACGUUCUUUAGUGCAAUUAAGCAAACCACGAAGCCUGAAAGAUACAGCAAGGGGUGGGGAGCUCUCCUUUCAGUGCCAUAAGUUUACUUUUAGAGAGGCAGUGGUGGUUGAUCAGACCCUCUUGGUUGGUUGUAAGUAAGGAAGUACAUACCCUCCAAUGUGUCCAGGCCAAAAACUGGGACAAACCUACGUUCCUGGUUGAGUCACGUGACCCACAUGACUUUUUUCGGGGUGAGCUGAUGGCGCCCAAAAUGGCCGCCUUGCUGUUGUUCAAAAAAUGAGGAUGUCCCAGUUUUCCCGGGAUAGUUGAGGGGUAUGAAAUAAUGAGGUGGGGGCUGGCUGAAGGCAGACCAAAGUUGGUGUGGCAGCACCUCACUUGCCCUAAUGGAUCAACUUCCAUCGAUACAGCACAAGGUUCUCCCAAAGUCUGGUGUUGUUUCUCCACCUGCUGUUGGGGAUCUUGCUGAAGCAGGGAGUUGGUGGUUUUGGAAACAGCACCCACCCACUAGCAAACGAGCUUCCUAGUGAUGCCAGUGUUGUCGUUUUUGCUGCUGUGGCCUUUGCUGUUCCUUGCUCUUCUGAUGCCAGUCAAGCUCUCUCCUUGACAUGGGCCUCUUUUAUACAGCCAGAGAUUAUGAUGAUAGGAGCCACUGCCUCCCCCAGCUAUUAUCUUGCGACUCCUUCCAGUCACAUACCGUAUUGGCUUGAAUAUAAGCCUCACUUUCCCCCCAAAUUCUGACCAUGAAAAGUUAAAGUGCAGCUUAUAGUCACGACCUUACGGUAUGCAGCCAGGAGCGCGGGGCAAACAGUGCUAGGAUUGUGGGAAAGUAGCGCCUGCUCCACAUGUAGUUCCCACCCUCUCCCCCAAGGCUGGGAAAGGAGAGAGCUAGGAGGGGGAAAGGCCGCCGGCAAUGCAGUGUGGCUCCCGCCCCCCAAUGUGCAGCCAGGAGCACAAGGAAUGGAGCAGCUUAUAUUCAGGUAUUUUUUCUCCCCACCCCCAUUUUAAAGGUGCAGCUUAUAUUUGGGUGCAGCUUAUAUUCGGGCCAAUACGGUAUGUCCCAAAACCCUACUAUUGGUUGUGCUGUGAAACAGGAAAGGGGAUAGUUUUGGAUGGAUUUCCCUGGCAUUUACAAGCCCCAGAAGGCUCCAAGAGAGAGACUGUGGGUCAGACCCUAAUUUCCUGCUCCUGGCUGCACUAGGGGAGCCAAUGCACUAUAAAGUCAAGCCAAAAUGCAGACUCCGUGGACAAGGAUCUGCAAAAUCAUUAGGUCAUGCAAUCUAGAAGAGCCAAUCCUAUUCUCUGGCCUGUACAUAGUUCCCAAAUGGUUAAUGUUGUCGUACGUCCUGAUUGGGACUUUUGUCUUCUGUCUGGCUCCCUGCUCCUCUUGCUGACACUUGCUGACACCUCCAUCUGUUUCCUGUAUCAUCCAUGCCACUUAUUGCAUCAGCUUUCUCCAACCCUGGUACCACUGAGAUGUUUCACACUAUACCUCCCAUCUUCCUGAACCUUUGCCCUGCUGGCUGGGGCUAAUGGGAGUUGUAAUCCAAUGCACCUUGAAGGUACCAUGUUUGGGGACACCUGCCUUAUAUAGAGGUGUGCUUUGAGCUAGACAAGUUUUCCCCAUAAAUUCAUAUGGGGUCAUUUAGUUUGCAUAUUCACAGCCUAAUGCGAACGGGGUUUUUGGACUGGACUUUUGCUUGACAUGAGAAAUGUGUUACAUGAUGAAAGAGUGGUCUGUCAUUCAAUUACGCAUUUUAGAGAAAUCAGUAGACUGUCAUAAUGUUUCUGAAUUCCUGAAGGGCUCAGCUUCUUCGUUUGGCUAGUCACCAAUUAGUGCUUAUAUGUAAUGUUUUGAAAAUGUUUUCCUAAUACAUUUGCUGAAUACAUUAAUUCAGAGGGUUUGUUUUCAAGGACUUUUUCAUUAUGUUUGCAUAAGCUGUACUCGGGGUUGUACCUCUGAUGGGGACACUCAACUUCUAGCACCAAACUUUGCCUCCUUUAUUAUCUGUAAAAUUCACGCAACCUUAAACCUGUCAAUAUGUAGCCAAACACAUUUUUUUUUUCAACUUAGUGGAACAGGAUACCUUGCAGCCUGUUUUUCUAUUGAGUGUCCUGACAAUAUAAAUUACCCUUGGCUUUACUAAUGUCGGUGCAUUGGCUCAUGCUAACAAAUAACUCUAAAGACAACAAAUAACUUUAUUAGAAUUAAUUACACCUCUACCUUGUUGACUUCUUCUCCUACUAAUCCAGAUGAUUGCAAACAGGGAUUCAACAUUCCCCCCCUUGCAUAGAUUACUAAAAAUCUUUGAUAAUUCUGUUCAUCCAAGCUGUAGUUAUCCUACAUUAGAUAAAUAUAUAUUUUUAAACCAGGUUAGUGGAAAUGAAAUAGCUUAAUUAAUCAAGAUACCAAACAGUCAACAUAUAUUUAAGGAGUUCUCAAUAUCUUGUAAAUGUACAAAAGCACUGCAAUGGAACCCAUAAUUAUAUUUAAACUUAACAUUUCUACACUGAUGAGGCUCAACAGAAGCAGAUGAAUGUAUUAAUUUUUCACCCUUGUAAUAUGUAGCAAUGUGUAAAAAUCAAUUUCUGUGGAGCUGAGUAAUCUGCACUCCUAAUCUAUGAAACAUAGUAGGGAAGUAUGGAAUUGGACAUAAGAAUCUGAUGGCAAGGUUUGCAGUGUAGAACUUAAAAUGUUUUCAAAUUUGAAAUGUUUAUGAAAUUUCAUUUCUGCCCUUUUUAAAAGCUGCUAAUGUUUAGUGACAGAAAGUGGUCUAAAUCACUGAGCCUCUUGGACUUGCCGAUCAGAAGGUCGGUGGUUUGAAUCCCCGCAACGGGGUGAACUCCUGUUGCUCGGUCCCAGCUCCUGCUAACCUAGCAGUUCGAAAGCACACCCAAAAAAGGUGCAACUAGAUAAAUAGGUACCUGGCGGGAAGGUAAAUGGCGUUUCCGUGCACUGCUCUGGUUUUGGUGUUCUGUGCAUCAGAAGCGGCAUAGUCAUUCUGGCCACAUGAUCUGGAAAAACUGUCUGCGGAAACGCCGGCUCUUUCGGCCUGUAAAGCGAGAUGAGUGCCACAACUCCAUAGUUGCCUUUUGCUGGACUUAACCAUCCAGGGGUCCUUUACCUUUACCUUACCUCAUGCCAGGCAUGCAUACAUACCCAUAAGAUCCUCUUUUUCUUAAGCCCAGUCCCAUUCUUUUUCUUGCUUUGUGCUUCCUCCUACUACAUAGCCCUGGAGGAGAGGGAGGGAGAGAGAGAGAAAGGAGGACAAACCCUCUGGAGAGUCUGUGCAAUAAUUUGCAGAGCCUGAGGUUAAUUCACAGAGUGGAGGAGGGCAGACUCCCCCAUAGAGUCUAUGCAAUAAUUUGCAGCUGGCUCGUGACACAGCAAACCUGGAAACUCCAAGUCAAACCUGGAGAUCUGGCAAUCUAAGCAUUGGGUGCUGCUGUCAGGUUUUUUAAAACCCCAAAUAUCUGGCUUAAGGAAACAAAUGUUUGACUAAAUUUUGUCAUUUGGUCAAUUAAAAGAAAGUUUUGCAAGCUUUCCCUGUUAAUUGCUGCUUUAUACAAACAGCAAGCUCUUCUGACACAAACAUCUCCACGAUGGUUGAUCUAUCAAGUGCUUUCUUUUCAAUUAUUUCCCUGGCAAGAUAAAUAUGUGUUUGUAUGCAAAACCUGAAGUUGUAUUUAAUUAUCUCCAUAGAUGCAAUACAUCAAUAAGAUUUUAAUUAAGAGCUUCGUUGGAUUAUCUCUGAAGCAAUCACUUUUGGAAUGGGUGUGCCUUGCAAAGGCUACGUAGCAGAGGCCCCGGCUUGCUGUACUUUCUCAAUUGUAAUAGAAAAAAAGCAUUUUCUCCUUAACAUUCCUCUGGACCUUGAUGUUCCAAAGAGUUGUUGGGAAUCUCAUCAAUACUCUUCUGAUGCCCCUUUGAGUCCUCACAGAUGUUUUAUCUGGGCAAGGCCCAUCUACAAAUGACUGGCAGUGGGGCAGAGGAGGACAACACAAGUUCUGUGCUAUUCCUUUCCUUUCAUACCACCUUGAGCAGUUAGUUGGGUGUCUUCAACAAACUUGGCCCCCUGACUGCUCAUGACUAACUGCAGGUUAUUUAUGAAUAAGUCAACAAGUCCCAAUACUUGUGUGCUGGCUGUUCAAGUGCUGUAGAUGGGCAGCUUCAAGGCCCCUGCUCUCCCUUCUUAUGGUUCUUCAUGGUUCUUCUUAUGAUUCUUUAUCCCCCUUGUAGUUCUUCAUCCUUCUUGCGGUUCUUUAUCAUUAAACUUGAACCAGACAACUCUUCAAAUAGAGAACACCUUUAAACAGAGGCCUGCUCUCUGAAAACCAUUCAAAUAGCCCCCAUGUUUGUCUUUGCUAACUUCUGAGAGUUGUAAGCAAAGCACAAAGCACUUGCAGUUGAAAUUACAACGUGCAAGGGAAUGUGUUCAGAACGCACUCGUAAUGGUGUCCUAUAUGCCAGGAACUGAGAUUCUGGCUGAUUUGUUAUCCAAGGUCGUUCCCAGGGAAUGACACAGUGCCUAUGAACAGAAACUGUGGUUAUACUAACAUACUGCCCAGUGAUACAUAGAAAGGGGGAAGAUGUUGGAUUUCUUCUCACUGUGCAGAUGUUGUGCAGGAUUGGUUCAUCACAUGUCUGUGUUAUGCAUUCCAGCACCAAUUGUUGGAAUCAUGGGAGCGGAUGUAGUCUGUUUCUGUUUGUUUUUGCUUUCACUUCUGACUUCUCUCUGAGGAAGACGAGAGAGAGGAGACAUGUUUUCUUUUGUUCUGCCUUAUGCUUAAGAAAGUAGUUUUAGUGUUCACAACCCCAGCCUAGCUCUGACUGCGUUUAUCUCUGCUGGACUCUGAAUAUGUGCUCAGUGUCUCCAAGACAUGAGUCAUUAUAAACGUCGGGGAAGGUGGUUUGAAACUCCCUAGAGCUGCACGCUGCACGCUGAUGGGAGAGACAGGCUGGAAUCGUUCCUGCCGUAUGCCUGGGGGUCGUCCUAGCCCCCGGCCGACCCGACACAGACCUCUGUAAAGCAGGCCACCUAGAACAUGACAACAUCUCAGUAUGCAUUGAAGUCUAUAUAUAAGGUUUCCUUUCUUGCCAGGGUAAGUAAUGAUGGAAGCUUAAAGCUGAGCACACAUAAUACUUCUUUGAGGUGUACUUCCAGUGGCCUAGUCCACUGAUCUGUAUUUUACUCUGUUGCUUUCCUAGGAAUACAUUUCCCAGUUCAUUCACUUCAAUAUCAAUAAUCUUAUGGAGUGGGCCAUUAGAAGCUCUAAUUAAAAUUUCUCAUGAUUAGAAAAAAACAUGGCACAAAAGGGUGAUGUUUAUAUAGGGAACAUAUGCUAAUCACCAGGACCGAAACAUCUCCUAGGCAGCUACACGUUUGAACUCUGCAUGGUAUUAAUUUAAAAUUUGAGUUCCAAGGAACAAACACUUGAAUACGGAGCAGGCUCUUAGUGAGAGGAAAAUCUCUGAAAUAACAGGAGUACAGUCAUGGUGCCAUGAUUACUUAAUGCACAAAGGGAGGAACAGUGUCUUUGCAAUGAGGAAAUUCCCACAGUUACCAUUAAUGAAGUGAGAAAUAGGUUGGGCUUUUUUCCAGCCGGAACUCACUGGAACUCAGUUCCGGCACCUCAUAGGUGGGUGCCAUUGCCAUUAUAAGAGAACAAGGGAGGUGUUCAUGGUGAGUUCCAGCACCUCUUUUUCUAGAAAAAUAGCACUGGAAUUAACCAUUUGAUUUUUCAAGGGAGUCUGUUAGGAAAAGAAAGCCCCCCCUUUUCUUCUACAUUUUUCUAACCACCUAAUAUUUCAGGAGCCGUGAAAAACUGUUUUCUAACACUACAAGAAGCAAUUAUAGUUCUGAAUCAGAUUGUUCAAACCAGUACUUUUAAAAUAUGAACCUGAAAGGCAAAAACAUGACGAAGAGCCUCCUCAGAUGGUGAGGUGGAUUGGCAUGGGGAAAGGUCAGGUGAAGGCUAAAGGAAAGUACCCAGGUAGAUGGUCUAUGCUAUUUGCAUGGCUUAACUGAGGCCAUGAGCCUGCAUAAGCAAAUGCAACAUUUAUGCUCCAGUGAUGGAUAGGCCCUGGGUGCUGUUUUUCCUCUUAAAAUAAAACGUUACUCAGAGCCUGUUUACACGUUCGGAAAAAUCAUGUGAUGAUUAAUGAUGCAAUAGUAAUGUAAGCUGCCACAGGACGCUGCGAGUGAACGGGAAGGCAGAAUAGAUAAAUUUAAAGAAAUAAAUAGCCCUCCUCUGUUGGUAUGCUUUAGGAAGUGAUAAAGAUGGGCACAGGACUGAGAGCCAGAGUAGGUGUAGUAUGGAGGACAGAGGAAAGCACACUGUGAGCAUAAAAUGGAGACAAUCCUAUGUGUGGACAGCUUUGAGAGCUUUAGAGGAAGGAUAGAAAAUAUGUAAGAUGAGAUUAUUAUUUUCCCCAUGGGGAGGGGACAGAAGCUAUCCCUGGUUGUAGAAAACUAGAAUCUUGCAGCGAAAGGUUUGGGCCAAGCCAUCCUACCUGGUAUGUUCAUUUUCUAAGUGAAUGGUGUUCAUUUUUAAUGUGGGGAGGGGACCCAUUCAAAAUGUGAUGCCCCAACUUCAGAAGGCCAUGCCACAAAAUUGUUUUCGGAGGAUGUAGACAAGUUCUCACAAACUACACAAUUUCUGUCAUUUGCUUUGACCGUCAUUGUUUCAUCCUCUUUGUGCGUCUGUGCUGCAAAGCCACAACUCGGGACUCAGGAACAAUGACAGAUGAUAGGCAAUUUAUACACUUCACACGAUUCUAUAUUUUAUUUUAUUUUUCUAAGACUAGAUUUACAGCAAAUGAACAACUGUUGAGAAAUAAUUGUGGAAAGCGUACAUACAGCUGCCAUCUAUGUUAAAGAAAAUUCCAUAAGAUUACAAAGCAUCAACUUUUUCAUUAUAUAUAUAAUGAUGCCAAAAGAGCUAUUAACGUCUGUAUGGCUAAUGGUGUGUACACAAAUGGUUUUAUUAUCAAGCCUUCUUUAGCUCAAUGGGCUAUAUCUUUUCUGAAGAAGCCGCUGAACUCAAUUGUACGAGAGAGGAGAAUAUGUGGGCCAACUGGUGUAAAAUAGGAACAGAUGCAAAUCUUUGUGCAUCUCUACAAAUAAAUGUGGCAUUUGUUUCAAGUCAUAUGGAAACAACUAUGUAGGGCAGUGUCACUAUUUUAAGGGUAAUUUUAGCCAUGGUUGUUGUCGUUUAGUCGUGUCCGACUCUUCGUGACCCCAUGGACCAGAGCACGCCAGGCACUCCUGUCUUCCACUGCCUCCCGCAGUUUGGUCAAACUCAUGCCGGUAGCUUCAAGGACACUGUCCAACCAUCUCGUCCUCUGUUGUCCCCUUCUCCUUGUGCCCUCAAUCUUUCCCAGCAUCAGGGUUUUUUCCAGGGAGUCUUCUCUUCUCAUAAGGUGGCCAAAGUAUUGGAGCCUCAGCUUCAGGAUCUGUCCUUCCAGUGAGCACUCAGGGCUGAUUUCCUUAAGAAUGGAUAGGUUUGAUCUUCUUGCAGUCCAUGGGACUCUCAAGAGUCUCCUCCAGCACCAUAAUUCAAAAGCAUCAAUUCUUCGGCGAUCAGCCUUCUUUAUGGUCCAGCUCUCACUUCCAUACAUCACUACUGGGAAAACCAUAGCUUUAACUAUACGGACCUUUGUUGGCAAGGUGAUGUCUCUGCUUUAUAAGAUGCUGUUUAGGUUUGUCAAUGCCUUUUUCCCAAGAAGCAGGCGUCUUUUAAUUUCGUGGCUGCUGUCACCCUCUGCAGUGAUCAUGGAGCCCAAGAAAGUAAAAUCUCUCACUGCCUCCAUUUCUUCCCCUUCUAUUUGCCAGGAGGUGAUGGGCCCAUAGAUUGGCCCAAUGUGGGGUAAGCUAAAAAUAAGGUUGGUGGUGUAAUGUGGAUUGCUUCAUUGCAGAAAAUGCACAAACCUGGUUAUCUGCCUGUUCAUGGUAACUAGCUUAUCAGCUCUUUCUUCUCUAAACUCAUAGGAACACUGUUGCUCUCUACCACAAAUCUGCCAGUCAAAUUCUUUGGUCAAAAAAAUUGUGCACAUAAACCUUCUCCACCUGGAUUCAUCCUGUGUAGAGCAGACCCUGGACAUUGGACAUUGGAAAGCACGUCCUCUGGGGUUUCACUUUUACUUCAUCUACUUUUUUUUUUUGCACCGGCAUCCCCACAUUGCCCUGAUACAGCUUAAGUUUAUGCACUAUUUUAUGGGUGGGAAUACAUCUGUGUUCAAACCAUACUUAACAAUAUUUCAAAACCUAAAGCAAACAACAAUUUUACCAUCAGUAAAAAUAUACCAUGGCAGGGGAAUCUGAAUGUAACAAGAUUCUACCAGCCAGUAGUAAACUUGAUCCCACCUAAUAGCCUGGGCAAAGUAUCAUAGCUGGAAUGAUAAUAGUGUUGGCUCAUGAUGUAUUUCAGAGGGGAAGUUUAUAAGGAUGAGGUCACCACAGAUGUCACUUUUCCAUGCACACCAUGUACCGCAUAGCUCAUUCGGCGACAGGUGAACGUGCAAAGCCUCCUCUGUUGUGCAUAAUGCACAGGCAGGUUGACAUGGGAGGAUGUGUUCAUUUAGAUAUUUGGGGCCCAAGUCAUCCAGAGCAGGCAUAGGCAAACUCCGACCCUCCAGAUGUUUGGGACUACAAUUCCCAUCACCCCUAGCUAACAGGACCAGUGGUCAGGGAUGAUGGGAAUUGUAGUCCCAAACAUCUGGAGGGCCUGAGUUUGCCUAUGCCUGAUCCAGAGCUUUGUAUGUUAUCAAAAGCACCACUAAUCCAGCUCAGAAGAUAAUUGGCCACCUGCCCUAUUCUUUCAAAAUGGAAGUCACAUUUUGAAAUUCUCAUCUUGGCUACUGCAUUUUGCAUCAGUUGCAACCUUCAGACCAUUUUCAAUGAUAGCCCCAUGUAAAGCAUAUCCGAAUAGUCCAUUAAUCCAAUGGAGUCCAAUAAAGUUGGAUUGUGGGAGAUCCAGGACAGACAAAAGAGAAGUAUGUCUUCACAUAGCAUGUUGUUAAGCUAUGACGCUUGCUACCGUAAGAUAGUGAUAGCUGCUAAUUUUCAGCAUCUCUAAAGGACGAUUAGACAAAUAUAUGGAGGAUUAGGCUAUCAAUGACUAGUAGGCAUGAUGGCUAUAUAUUACCUCUGAAUAUCAGUUGCUUCGGAGCCUAAGUAGGAAAAUGCUGUGGGCUUAUUUCCUAAAUGUUGGCUUCCCAUAAACCAGCCUUUCUCAACCUGUGGGUCCCCAGAUGCUGUUGAACUACAACUCCCAUCACCCCAAGCUAGCAAGGCCAGAGCUCAGGGAUGAUGGGAGUUGUAGUCCAACAAUAUCUGGGGAUCCACAGGUUGAGAACCGCUGCUAUAGACAGAUAUUUGGCCACUGGGGGAACAUGGCACUAGACUAGAUCAACUUUUGGUCUCAUCCAUCGGGACACUUCUUACAUUUUUUAAAUAAAUAAAUAAAUAAAUAAAAAAGGAAAUAUGUAUUCUGCAGAAUUGUUUGUCUACAAAAAAAGAGCUAGGCACUGAUCUCUCACUGUUGUGGCUUAGUAAUUCUUCUGAUUUGCUAGUGGGAAUCAGCUACAUUAUGUAAAUUGGCAUCUGUACCGAGUAAGAAAAGCAGCAGGUGGGAAUAAGCUACCCAUCCAUCAUUUUGGUACCAUGCCUAAUAGCAUUGUCUAGCCAUUAAAGCUGUUGGACAAGCAAACAAUAUGAUAGCGGCACUUUCAAAGCAGAAUUUCAAAGUGCAUGAGCAAUAUCUGGUAGUGGAAAAAUCAGAUUCAGAAAUAUAUAGCAGAAUCAAGAAAAGUCUUAGGAAAGACCCGGGAAAACUGUCUAUGCAACUAGUAUUUUAAAAUGACCUUGCAAUAAUUUAAGAAUAUUUAUAUAAAGCCCUUAAUAAAUGUGGACUGAGACGAAAGUGUCGGGGAACGCUAUUCAUAAUGGAGAUGCAUUUUUAUUUCCUUUCUGUAUAGCACAGAAUGAAAUGCAGUUUAUUUUCAGGUCUCUCCUUUUUUUAAGCACCAGGAACAUUCAGUAAAUGCUGGUAGUUAUGAAGAGCACACAUUGCCAGACUAUUAUCAGAGGACUCAGUGAACUACUGUUACAAAGGCUAGUGCAUUGAUGGGUUCAAAUUGGCUGCUCCUAUUGAUUCGAAGAAGGAGACGAGGCUUACAAAUGAUAUGUAUUAGUGUCAAUUGUAUUGAUAACACGAAUAGCAGAACAACUAGGUCACUGAUCUUCUGCAUUUCAGUAGUUCCUAAUGUGAAGUUUUUUAGCGUCUUCAGCUGAGGAUUCCUUGAGAAGAAUUUUAACCCUCCAUUGUAUGACAUUUCUGUGGCUAUCAAACCAGCAGUGAAAAUAACCAGAUUCACUACCUUUUGAAUCUGGAAAGUGCUGAUCUUAAAUGGAUUUAUUCUUGCUAAAGGCAGUAUGAUUAUGUUGUCAGUGUAGGGGGAAAUGGCCUUGCAGGCCAAUUUGGACCCUAGGGGGGGGGCUAGAUUAGCCCAUGGGCUGGGGGUUCUUUACACCUGUUCUAAAUCAAAGAAAGUAGCCUGGUUGUGGAUCACAUAGUCCUAAUCUAACGGUCUUUGGUUGAACUAAUUGAAGUACAACUGCAAAACUGGUAUGCUUCCUCUACCACGGAGAGCCCUAAGCUGAAGGGAUGAAGGGUUAGGACCAGUUCAUAUGUUUUCUCAUUCAACAGUAAGAUGUGCUCACUAUUGGAACAGACUGCCUGGGGUGGUGGUGGGUGGGACUGGGCGAUAUCUGGUUUUCAGUAUUGUGAUGUAUCACCAGCUAAGCAUCACAAUAUACUGAUAUAUCAUGAUGCCUGAAAUAAAGAUGGAGCUAUGUAGAGGCAUUGACUGGCUUCACGGGUUUUCCCAAAUUGUGAUUUUUGCAUAGCACAGACACACAGACGCUCUCUCUCUCUCUCUCUCUCACACACACACACACACACACACACCAUGAUUCAAAAUAUAUUGCCAGGUCAAAAAUUAUGAAACACGAUAUGGACUUCAGCCCGGUUUAUAUGUUGUAGUUGCAUAUUCCUGCAUUGAAGAGGAUGAGGACAAAUCUAGAAUUAGUUGGAUCUGCUUAUCAUUGUCUCCAGCUACUGCUGGUCCCCCCAACGUCUGCCCUACUAGUCCCACUGAGAACCAGUCACCAUUUGUCAUGGUGAUGUGUCUCCAUGGGUGAUAUGAAGGGCAGUGAUAAUUGGAAGAGAUGACAUUCCCAUAUGAAUAUUUUAAACAAUUUUUUUUACAUAUUUACAUUAUCAUAAUGAUAAUGAUAUAUCACAACAGUUUGCAACAAUGCAAUACAGUGGUACCCCGGGUUAAGUACCUAAUUCGUUCCGGAGGUCCGUUCUUAACCUGAAACUGUUCUUAACCUGAAGCACCACUUUAGCUAAUGGAGCCUCCUGCUGCUGCUGCGCCGCUGCUGCACGAUUUCUGUUCUCAUUCUGAAGCAAAGUUCUUAACCCGAGGUACUAUUUCUGGGUUAAUGGAGUCUGUAACCUGAAGCGUAUGUAACUCGUGGUACCACUGUAACAUAAAACCCACAAAUAGGCCCACAAAAAGUUAAAAAAAUAAGUUAAAAACAAACUUCAAAAGACCAUUGUGGAGGAUGUACUCAUAACUGCCAUCCUAGGCCUGGCAGAGCGGAAAGGUUUUCAGCAGGCAUUAAAAAGUUGGCACAGAAGGUGUCUUCUCCAGUGUGAGGCGGCAAGGUGUCUCUGGCUGAAAAGAACCACAGACUUCAGUUUUAGUUUAAGACUGAGAAAGACAUAAGAAGCUGAGUCCGGGCCCUGAGAGUGUCUGAAAGUGCUUGGAGAUCUGAUGUGUGAAUGGCAGACUUUGCUCAACCUGUGUAUUUGUAAAUAUUACAAAAGCCAUUAUGUUCUGAGUCAUCUCUUUCUACUGGGAACCAAACCCAGGGAAUCACUGCACCCCAGAACUUCUCAUUGCUAGGAGAAAUGGGGGUGAGCCUAACAAUAUUUGUGCACACAGUCUUCAUUUGGAAAUAAAAUAUUUUAUUGGAACAAAUAGGGAACUUGCCCCACAGUUUUAAAGGUAGGCAGAAAAAAAUAUCCAGAAGGCUGUAAUGAAACACAAAUGUCUCUGCUUUAAAAUUCAGCAAUAUAGCUUCCUCAAGAUGUAAUCUCCUUCUGGUAGGCAAUCCCUGCACAUUUAUGGCUCUUAGCUUGGCUACUUUUUAUUCACUGUGUGUUGCCAGAAUGAAGAAUCAUUUGGAGAUGGUCUGCUGAUUGUAGAAGUCAAGGUAAUAGCGGGGAAACACAUCAAGUCGAUGCAUCUGCAACUACUGAUCUCUUUCUAUAUUAGGAGCUGCAUUGUUUACAGCAUUUCGUAGCACCUGAAGUGUUCUUCUCAUUUUAUCUGUCACUGGAGAAGAUACAUCCUUGUCUCUUCCACUGGAUUUUCAUCCUUAUGAUGCAAGUGAAGCAGGCAGCACAUCAGCCCGUCUAACCUAAUCCCAAGAAAAAAGUGAAUUACUUGGAGGUGAAGACCACCAAGUAACAUGGGGUUGUUGUUGUUGUUGGUGGUGGUUUUCUUGCUUUGUCAAGGCUUACAUUUAGUCCCUUGACUUAAUGCCCUGUCAUAGGUUGUAAAAUAUUAUUUCAAAAUAUUUAGAAGUGGGUGGAAGUGAUGUCAUGUUAAACCUUUAUAAGUGGUGAGGUUUUGGUGGAGAUGAUGUAGACAUGACUUCUCCCAUCCUGUUCCUUUCCUAGUCUCCUAGCACAUCCUCAUCUCAUUUGCUGCAGCAUUCAGAACGCAGCAUACUCAUUAUUUUUAAAGCCAGGAGGGAGAAUAGCAUCUCACUUGGGCCACAGGCCAUCCCACCAACAUAUGGCAAUGUUGUUAUUUAGUUGUUUAGUCGUGUCCGACUCUUCAUGACCCCAUGGACCAGAGCACGCCAGGCACUCCUGUCUUCCACUGCCUCCUGCAGUUGGGUCAAACUCAUGCUGGUAGCUUCGCAAACACUAUCCAACCACCUCGCCCUCUGUCGUCCCCUUCUCCUUGUGCCCUCCAUCUUUCCCAACAUCAGGGUGUUUUCCAGGGAAUCUUCUCUUCUCAUGAGGUGGCCAAAGUAUUGGAGUCUCAGCUUCAGGAUCUGUCCUUCCAGUGAGCACUCAGGGCUGAUUUCCUUAAGCAGGAAAUUAUUUUUGCAGGAGGGUGGUUAAGCUAGAACUCCAUUUUACUGUAUAACUCAGGGACAGGGAACCUGUGGUUUCCAGCAACCAGCCCAGAACUUGUUAGGUUCCGACUCCUAUCACCCUCAACCAGUCUCCGUGCAGGCACUUUUACAGUCAUGGCUUCCCCCUAAGAAUCCUAGGAAUGGUAGUUUCUUAACGGUGCUGAGAGUUAGGAUACCCCCACAGAGCUGCACUUCCCAGCAUCCGAAACAAACUACAGUUCCCAGGAUGCUUUGGGGCAACCAGUGGCUGUGAAAGUGGUAGAAGAGUGCUUUAAAUAUAUGGUGUGGAAACUAGAACUGGCAAAGGCCCUUUCAGGGCAGUAGUGGUGGAAGAGCUGUCAAAGCUGCUGCUUGUCGCAGUGGUAGAGGCUGGUGUGUAGGUGCUGCCUGGUUUCAUGAGAUCCUAGACAUCUUAAUUACAACCAAUCAGAGGGUGGCUCUGCCUGUCAUUGGCUCUGGCUCCACCCACUUUUGGUCUCUAUGUCUUCCGUCUUUCCAGUCCCAAUGCACACCAGCCAACACUGUUGUAAAGGCAAAGUAAUACCCAUGUGUAUGUAUAUUCAAAAUGCCUGUUAACGUGAACCAGUCUUUGUUGUGAUCUUCCAUAUUAUACUGAAACAAAUAGGAUUUAGUUCCAAGAAAAAAUGGUUUAGGAUCAGGUUGGCUGUGUUUUAAUAUGCAUCCUCUUUCAGUGUAUUAAAGAGUCUGAAGUGCUUAAAGAGUAAUAGUCAUCAUGUGUUCUUGCCUUUUAAACAAAGAUGUUACAGUGACUAGGCUCUUUGUCUCCAUUCCGUAGAGGAUUAUGGUACUGAAAAGGCAUUAUAUAAAGACAAGCUUUCCUCUGAAUUCUUGAGAAACAACGUUUAUAUGUUAGAAGUGUUAUGGUUAUUAUUGCAAGAGAUAAUAAACAUUUGGCAUUUAAUGCAUAAAAUUAUGAUGAAAACAAACAGCAGUCCUAUAUCUAUUUAUUUCCCGGUGAUGAAGUGUGAUCUAAAUUAGGAUCACCAUUAAAAAUACAUAAUAAGUUGCAACCAUUAGAAAGGGGAACAACAGAUGGCUUAUUACUUAAAAUCCUAUUUCACAAAUGAAACUGUUUGUAUUAAAAGGCACUAAUUGCAACCCCUUAACAUUAUUUUGCUGUAAAAAAAAAAAAUGUGUUAAAGUUGCAAUCUUGUUAACUGUAUCUGCAGAGAUGAAUAAGAUUAAAAAGUGAAAGGUAUGCAGAAAGCUUCAAAAUGUUGCCUUUUCUUGCUGCAAAAUGAAAGAUAAUGAAAAAUUCUAAAGUAAUGAGUUGUAAUUCUACAUAAAACCAGCCCACUGAUUUACUGAAUAGGACAUUUGUCUUGGGUGCUAGCUGGAUGCUUGGCAUCUGCUGGGUGUCCAAGCUAUUCUUGCCUAAAUUGGUAAAAGCAGUUGCAUCAAAGUAAGUAGGGGACAGGAGGGGCAGGGUUGUUAUGCAAGAGGGUGAUUUGGGGCCAAGAGGAAGUGUGUGUUGUGGGAUGGAUGGAACUCAACACCUUUGACUGUCUUUAGGGUUCUUUGAUAGCUAAUGCUGAUCCUACAUCUAAGUAUUAAUUCAGCGUACGGCAGGACUUGCCGAUCAGAAGGUCGGCGGUUCGAAUCCCAAUGACGGGGUGAGCUCCUGUUGCUCGGUCCCUGCUCCUGCCAACCUAGCAGAGUUUGGGUUUGAUACCCCGCUUUAUCACUACCUGUAGGAGUCUCAAAGCGGCUAACAUUCUCCUUUCCCUUCCUCCACCACAACAAACACUCUGUGAGGUGAGUGGGGCUGAGAGACUUCAGGAAGUGUUACUGGCCCAAGGUCACCAGCAGCUGCGUGUGGAGGAGCGGAGACACGAACCCAGUUCACCAGAUUACGAGUCUACCACUCUUAACCACUACACCACACUGGCUCAGUUCAAAAGCAUGUCAAAGUUCAAGUAGAUAAAUAGGUACCGCUCCGGCGGGAAGGUAAACGGCGUUUCUGUGCGCUGCUCUGGUUCGCCAGAAGCGGCUUAGUCAUGCUGGCCAUAUGACCCGGAAGCUGUACGCUGGCUCCCUCGGCCAAUAAAGCGAGAUGAGCGCUGCAACCCCAGAGUCGGUCACGACUGGACCUAAUGGUCAGGGGUCCCUUUACCUUUAAUAGAAGUAAUGACUGCAAAUAAAUCAAUAUUUGAGUGCAUAAAUUUGUCUCUAUUUCAUUUGUUUUAAAAAACAAACAAUAGCACGACAUAGCACCUCCCCUCCAAGAUAUUUGUACGACAACUCCAAAGAUAUUUGUAUGAAGAAAACAUUUUGAAAUUACCGUUUCCCAACCAUAGUUCACUAGCCGGCUGGCAAAAACAAGGAAGCAUAUCUUGGUUAGCCCCAUCAAGCACCAUUGGUGAUGUAUCAUUGGCCAACUGGGCCUACUAUGGCAGUGGGAGACUGCGCAACUGGUUGAAAUCUAGAAGCAGCUGGAAAGACAAACUUGCAUUCAGAAAAAAAACCCCUGGUUUUAAAACACACACAGAUAAGAAGAGCCAGUGGCUCAUUGUCAGGAGUUCAGCCUACACUCGAGUAGGACCCUGGCAGAGACACAUGCCCGACUGGCAUGUUCCAUCCCUCCUGGUCGAUCGUUCGGGAGCUUCAAAAGCUGUCUUCUGCUCGAACAUCACAGCGACCGAUGCCAACCGACACCGGCACACUUAGGGAUCCGCAGAGUCUUCACAACUUGCGUGACAGACCUCAGCAACUCAGCAUUUUGGCUAAUCUACUUUAUUUAAAUAUAAACACACACUGAGCACUGCAACAUGGCUCCCUCUCUCUCUCUAGCAUCAAAGAGAAAAAGAAAAAAGGACAAUAGUCCCACUUCACGGAACACAGUAACACAAACAUCCUGUCUCCAUCACUUCCCACUCUGUGGAGUCAAAACAUACACCAUCAUGUGAUAGACAAAAAUCCCAUGACUGCAAUCACGGAGCAGGAAUUCUAGUCCAGCAUCCUGUGCUCACAGUGGCCACCAGAUGCCCAUGGAAACCCUCAAGCAAGACUUAAGCCCAGGAGCACUCUCUCCUCCUGAGGUUUCCAGCAACUAGUAUCCAGAAGUUUUAAUCCUUAAUUGCAAGACUGCUAAUAAAUUCUGUGGGGUCCAGUUGCAGCACAUGUAUUUGUAGGAUCUAGUGUUUCUAAAGACGUAUUUCAGAACUUGACUGAAAUCCCAGAAGACCAAACAGGGCCAAAGUACCAGUAGGCCUUCCUGAAGCUUCCUGACCCUCAGCUGAUACUGCCAGGCAUGCAAUGGGACCGAGAGGUCUCUGCAUCUCAGUUGACUGUGCUACUCCCAGGUGAUUUAAGAUUUCUGUCUCCUAAAUCAAUACUGAGGCUGAUCCAUCUAUCCCUAUUAAGUACAGCAUUUGCUUACGUUCAUCCCUUGUUACUCUUUACCUCUGUCAUCCUUUGCCUUUCCUCUCUCUGUCAGACUUGAGUUUGUGGCUGGGAUCUGUCUAAAUUUUGAUGAUUCCCUAAAGCUCCUUGUACACAGAUAGCACUAAACAAGUAUUGGCUUGUAUCCAACAGUGAGCCAGCAGGAAACACUUCUGUUUAUACAAGGUGGAACUUUUUGGGUUUUGCUAGCUUCCUUAUCUACUGCAGCACUUGGCAUCAUUUUCUAUACUGUUCCAGAGUACCCUCAGAAGCAGAUUUUGGGGGAUACGGUAGACUAUACUGCAUAGGAAAAUUCAUCAUGAGCAAACAAAACUGUUUUCCACUAGUGCAAAGCCACUGUUGAAUGCAAUCCAUUAUUAUUAUUAUUAUAUUAUUGUAUCAUAAAAAAUAGACAAGAUGCAUUUAUUUACACCUAGUCAUCCAACCACCACAGGACAAAAGUUUCACAUUAUGGAAGUAUUACAAGGUAACAUCAGUAGAUGUUAACUCAGAUCUAAGAAAAUUACAACAUAAACCAAGUGCUAAAUUGCUCCAGCAGGUGACAACACAGGGGAAAACACAACCUUAAGUCUUUUAACAUAAAAUAAAAAUGGAUAUCUAUAUCUAAGAGAGUUUCUCUCAGAAAACAGGACAUUCAUGCUGCCUUUUAAUGCAAUGCUAACACUUUUACUUGUCUGAAAAAAGUGGGUAGAUUGCAUUUGUGCAUUUGCAUUGAAUGCUUUGCUAGAAGUAAACCUAAAGAGAAACACCGUAAUGUGGUGCAGGCCUCUGGAGUAAAAUAGAAACUUACCGUUUUCACAUUCUAUACAUUUUCCAAUUGCUGUUAUUAUAUAUACACCUUAAUGUGGAAGUAAUGUUGUUUUAUUAGGAGCGCCUUCCAACAACUGAAUACAAAUUUCAAUAGGCUGAGAUCUUUUGUUGACGAAGCCAAGUGUUUGAUAUGUAAAAUCUUGUUCCUGGGAUGUUCUAUUGGCAUAUGGAAUUUGGUAUGAUCUACACUGAGCCACUCUUGUAUCGUUUUAAUAAAAACAGUACUCAUUUUUCUCUGGUAAUUUCCAUAUGCUUCUCAGAUACUAUAUGGGCUCCAUCUGGUAAGUAAUUGAACACCUGAAAGUUCUUGUUACUUGGUAAUUAAAGAUUUUUUUGGUACUUGAAUCAAUGAGGUGUCUGGCACUGAAGGACUGUGGAUUCAACUCCUAUUGAGCUGAAGUUUCAAGUAAAUGUCCUGUUAUUGAUAUAGCGUUCAGUUGUUCUGAUAUGGGUGGCUGAUUUCUUGCCACUUAAUUAUUUUUCUACGUGUUCUAAAAGAUUAUUUGUUAGCUGACAGUUAAAACUGGCAAACAAUGACUGCUUAUGACAUGAAGUGAGGUGUUGUUUAGUGAGCCAAUUGAGUUUCCAAAAUGCUUAUGGAAUCUCAAUUAUACAAACAAGAAGAUGAUUUCAUUUUUGCACGAAUUUGAGCUACAUUAAAUAAAAUACAAGGAUGGAGAUAGCCUUGGUGAGCCUGUUAACACUCUAAUAGUGAAAUAAUUGCAACCAGAAAAUAACACCAUCCGCAUCUAUGCAGGGUCUUGAUCUCAUGCCUCCUUGACUAAUCAUAUUAAGAGCUUGAUGGCAAUAACAGUCAAAACUUUAUUUAUAUAGUUACUUGUUUUUAUUGGCAUUGUGAGAGAUUGGAGGGUCCAGGUUUGGUUGGUUGUGCUUAGUUGGUUGCAGUAUGUUUUGUGGGGGGUUGUUGUGUCAGGACAGCCAUAAUGAUUCAUAUGUUGUUGUGGGGAUAGGUCAUUGUCCUGUUGUGCUGUAUAUGUGAUAAGGGGAAACACACUGGGGUGAAGAUGUCCUUCGUUGCUUGUCCCCAUGCUAGUUUAAGUUCGUUGGUUAAUUUUUCUAGAAAUGGCACAACAUGAUUGUUCCAAAGGGUAUCCUUGUGCUUUUCCAAAGAAAACAUGGCUGCCCCACUGGCCAGCAACUCUCUAACAGAGUCCCUUGCUCCUCAUGAUGCCUCUUGUUGGAAUUACAUUAACACUUCUUGGUGUUGUUGCAUCUAAGAAUGUAACACCUAUAGCUCCCAAGGAAAGAAAACAUUGUGAUUAAAUUCCAUUGUGCUUCUGCGACGGAAGAGUCUCACUUUCUCAUUUUUCGUGUUAUACACAGGAAGGGCCUAUCUCAUCGGUUGAGCAUCUGCUUUGCAUGCAGAAGAUACCAUAUUCAGUCCCCUGAAUCUCCAGGUUGGGCUGGAAGAGAGCCCCGUCUGAAACCUAGAGAGCCACUGCCAGUCAGUGUAGACCAUACUGGGGUAGAUGGACCAAUGGUCUGACUCUAGUUGUAGAAGGAAGCCCAUAGUGAGACACCAUAAUCUCCAAGUGACCUUAUUUUUGAAGGACAGCCUUGAUGUGGGGUGACGGUGAAGUGGGUACCUGGCUCUGGUAAAUAAUUGACAUGAACUUGCUUUGUUUAUAUGAGCUAUUAGAGUUCACACUCCUCCCCAGUGCAUCUCUAAGCCAAAUUACUGGUUAAGGAGUGUCCGAGGAGUGCAGGCAUCUUGUCUCCAGUGCACAUGCCUGGAGAUGCAUCCAUGCGAACCUCAAGGCACUAUGCUGUGCCCCGGUGAUGAUGAGACUCAUUCUGAACUGUUGCACAAAUUGGAGAGAUUUCACACAUCCACAUAAUGUGUAGUCUGAGCUCUGGGUAACACAUACAAAAGCAGUUCAUAUUUUUCUAGGGUAGCAGAACUUUAACAGAAAUAGCAGCUCCCUUCUUUGUGUUUCAGUCAGUGCCGUGUAUUUAUUCAUGAAAAUGUGUAAAGAAGACAGGCAAGCUUAAGAAUGGUGCUAUGUAGAAGAGCAGAGAGUCAGAAGAAUAUCCCCUUUUCCUUCUGUUGGGAGUUAAGGGGCACUGUUAUUUUACUGUGGGCCCAGGGGACCUAAGAACAUGUUGCCAUGCAACAGAAAUAACUUGGUGAGAGGGAGGACAGGCUGACACGGCUCCCAGCAUGCCAGAGGGCACACACAUUUUAUGUUUAAAUGCCCAAAUAGAAUUAGUAGCAUUUAUAUAAUAUGUCCUACCUAUCCCAGGGGAGUACUGCCUUGUCCUCUGCAUAGAUCACCGUUAUAUAGUAGCAGCAGCAGCAGUAAUGUUGUGAGUUUGGGGUGUUGUUAACCUGGGUGCCAGACCCCUCUAAUCCCUGGAUCCAGUAAGUGUUAAAAUCUAAUCGAGGCUUUUAAUUUUUGGAACAGCCAGGCUAGCCUCCUGAUGAGGUGUAAGGAGCACAAAGGAAGGGUUCUGUCGGAGACUGCAAAUGGCUGGGGCUCCUCCCUCAACUCACAUAUAGCGAGACAGAGAAAAAUCAGAGUUCAGACUUGGAGAAGAAGCAGUGAUGUGACUUAGAAGCAAAGCAGCAAGCUGGAGAGAGAGUCAGGGGAACACCUGAGAGCAACAUUUGAUUUCUGUUUGAAUCAAAGGCUGUGGCUAUGGGAGAAACAACACCCUUUUGGGGUGUUGAUCCUGUGAACCCCUCCAUUGUGGGCUCAGGUUGUAUAUAUGUGUAAGCAAACCAUAUAUCAUAAUGAUACCUCAGUCUCCAUUGUGUCUUAUUCCCAAAAGGAAACAUGAACCCUGAGUUAAACUUCUGAAACCUCCCUGGAAUUUCACAUCACUGAGAUUGGGGUGGUGUGCCACGGUAAUAAUAAUGUUUUAGUUUUAGAUUUUUCUUGGUUGGUUUUAAUGUAUCUUGCUUAUUUAUUGCUGUUUAGUUGCUUUGAGUUGCUUUUGUGAAAAAAGGAACUAUUAAGUUUAAUUAAUUAAUUAGUUGAUAAUAUUUUCUGAAUCAUCUUUUAAAUCAUAGAAUCAUAGAGUUGGAAGAGACCACAAGGGCCAUCGAGUCCAACCCCCUGCCAAGCAGGAAACACCAUCAGAGCACUCCUGACAUAUGGUUGUCAAGCCUCUGCUUAAAGACCUCCAAAGAAGGAGACUCCACCACACUCCUUGGCAGCAAAUUCCACUGUCGAACAGCUCUUACUGAAUCUCUGGGCAAUUUACAAACAUACCUCAAAGUAACUAAAAUUAGUUUUUAAAACAGUACAAAAAAGAACAACAGUGCAAAAAUAAACUUCUAUAGUAGAGACCUUUUUAUCAUGCUGGAAGAGCCUGUCAAAACAGGAAUGUAUUCAAUUGUUUCCAGAAAGUGCAAGUAAUGAGCACCUGUCAUAUCUCAACAGGGAUGCUGUUCCAUAAAACAAGAGGCAGCCAUGUUGAACACCCUUUUUCAAGUUUCUGUGGAGCAGCAUCCUGCUAUUUUAGAGGUAUUAGUGGGGGGAGGAGACACGAGUUGCUUUGGAGUACCGAUUUCCUGGUUGAGGUGAGAUUUGAAUAUGGAACUUCCUUUCUUUUUAAAAAGAUUUCUAUUUAAACAAGAAAAAUGAAAAAGAAAUGAAAAAGACUGUAUUGGUAUUACACAGUGCAAUAAAGAAUAUCAGACAAAACCUCUUACAACAGAGGGGCUAGAAAGCAAUAAAUAAACAUCCGAAUGCAAAAAAAGAUCAGUCCAGAGAUGUAGAAACAAUAUGAACGUACUUACAGGAAAAAGGUGGGGGCAUAUAAUAAUCAAAUUUAUUUAUAUUAAUCUCACCAUGUAAACAAUAAAAUAUAUGACUAACCCUCACAUAUUCAAGGGAGAGAGACAUAGAAAAUAGGAGUUGUUCUAUCAACCAAAACCUUUGGAAAGCCCUCAGUGGCAAUUGACCACGCUCCUCAUGGUUGAGAAACAUAAUCAAAUUGUACCAAAUGGAAAAAGAUCUCUCUUUUAAUUUGACCCAUUGAGACCCUUAGCUUAUACGUUGGCUUUUUCUAGAAGUGCCAUUUCCCAAAAUAUAGAACACUAGUAUGUAAAAAUAAGCACUAGCAAGGUAUCUGAAAAACCAAGCUAUCGUAGUUUAACUACUAUAAGUAAAUGGACGGUCAAUUCUUUAUUAUUAAGAUUUUCUUCUGUUCCUUCAUAUAACCUCAUAGUGCAAGCUGUGGGGUCAGUGUUGUAUGAAGAAUGACCUGCAAUGGUAUCAAUUUCCUGAAAUAUAAUGGAGAAGAACUGCUUAACCUUAUCACACUUCCACUAAAGGUGGAAGUAAGUUCCAACAAACUUCCAUGUUGGCAGCAGGAAGCAUUUGCUAAUUAGCCAUUGUUUGUUCCAUCUGAACCUGACCAUACUGCAGUAAGUUUAAGCUGUGGUUUAUUGAAAGAAACCACCAAGAUCCUGGUUUGUGUCAAUAAACCACAGCUUAAACUAGCUGCAGUUGCUAGUUCAGAAAUUAUAAAAAAUGAUAGCUAAUUUAAACCAGGAAGCUAAUGUUUCCUGUCUCCUCAUGGCCAUGCAAGAGGAGGAGAGAGGAACAAGUUCAUUUCCAAUAACAUAAACAUGGACUAUGUCUGGACAUUUACUCUGUAUUCACUGCACUCUCACCACUGGUUUGGGAAGCAGUAUAGAUAUGACAUUGGGAUGCAGGUGGCACUGUGGUCUAAACCAAAGAGCCUAGGACUUGUCGAUCAGAAGGUCGGCGGUUCGAAUCCCCGCGACGGGGUGAGCUCCCGUUGCUCGGUCCCUGCUCCUGCCAACCUAGCAGUUCGAAAGCACGUCAAAGUGCAAGUAGAUAAAUAGGUACCACUCUGGCGGGAAGGUAAACAGCGUUUCUGUCUGCUGCUCUGGUUUGCCAGAAGCAGCUUAGUCAUGCUGGCCACAUGACCUGGAAGCUGUACGCCGGCUCCCUCAGCCAGUAAAGCGAGAUGAGCGCCGCAACCCCAGAGUCAGCCUCGACUGGACCUAAUGGUCAGGGGUCCCUUUACCUUUACCUUUCUAGGUAUGACAUUAGCUAUCUUGUAUCUAUCCUGUUAUUUCUUAUAAAAUGCUGCAGUUUGAUGGGUUUGCCCCUAAAUCCACUUUUUAUCCACCUCAUGGAAAAGAAUGACCCGUAACACCAGCCAUGGUGUUAACAUCUGAACUUAGCCCAUGCUGGUUUGCAAAGUCCUCCUUCAUCACUGGACUGUUCAGAAUCAGCUUUUAGGCUAAGAUAUAUAUCGUGGCAGCAGAUCCGAUAUCAUGGAUAGAUUUGUUUGCAACAGUGAAACACAUAUAUAUUCCUAAACAAUAGCCGGGGUUGUGGAUCUGGCUUUAUAAUAUGUGUUCUCUCAGCAACUUCCAUUGCUAUCAGUCACCGAAAGUUACUGACUCCAAUUAAACUCAGUGCGCAUAUCACUUCAAAGAGAGAAUGAAAGCCAGAAAUCUUUUCUCUGUAGUUUUCUUUCAUGCUGAUGCUACAGAAUCAAGAUUGGCGAUUCUUUGCAAGAAUCCCCAUACCAAAAUAGUAGCACCUUGAAAAGUGUAUCUGUUUAUGAAAUCCAAUUUGCUAUGGCAUCUUAAAAUGGCAUCUGCAUGGCAAAUUCUUAUCCCCUUCUGCAGUAAUGUUUAGGCACCGUCCUUGUGUGGUCCAGACAGCUCUUUAAUAGUGGAUUGCUUCAACUAGACCACUAACAGUCCUUUGAACACAGGCUGUUCUCGAUUAAGGAGGACACAUGGUCACCUUAGGCCACUACUGCUUAGGAUCUUCACCUGCGCAGCCCAUCUCUAGAUUACUCUAGAGUUACAUCUCUAGAAUUACGGAAGCAACAAAUGGCAGCCUGAGCCCAUCUCCUCUGUGAUUGUUAAGCAGCGCAAGCCAAUCGCUGCCAGAGGCUUCCUGCUUGCUACCGCCAAACCCCUUAGCGUGCUGCAAUAAAGAUAUUAAAAUAGCAGAUGCAAAACAGUUUUAAAGGCACCAAAGCAAUUAAAAAUAGAUCGGCAUCCAAAGUUAAAAUUGCACAGCCAUCCAGCACUGAUGCCCCAGGAGAGCUGACUGCUGGCUCACACCCUCCCUCACGGGGAAUGUAUUGGAAAGGUUUUUGCAUCUUCUGUAGCACCAUUCUCGCUAGAUCAUUGUAACUCUGAGUGGCAAAAGAGAGAAAAUGAAUAGGCACAGAGCAAAUGAAAGCUGGAAAACAGAGCAUCUAUAUUAACAUGGAAAUGCAUGAUUACUUCUUGAUUACUACUAUUCUGCCUACUUUUAAAUUACCCAAUCAAUUAGGAUGCUUGGGGGGAGGGGACGAACUAUGAAGAAUGUACUUUCGCUAAUGCUGUUAAAAGUAAAUGGGAUUUUUUUUAACAGUAUCAGAUAUAGUUAUAUUUUAAUUACUUACAAAAAUAGAUAAGUAGCCAUUUUAUAUCUGCAUUCUUGAUUUAAUCUUACAAUGGUUGCAUUUUUUUUAUUUUUUUUACAAUACUCAUAGGAAAAUGUUCCUAGUUGCAUGAGACAUAAUACAUAGAAGGUAAGCAAACAUUGUCUACACUUUAAUUACAGAGCUAAAAUAAUUGGAAUCUUUAAGGACAUCAGAAGGAUACUAAUUCUUAAUUCUUUUGGGAAAGGCACUAAUAUUCUGAGACCAGUGUCCUGCUCUUGAAGAAUCCGUGUGGUGUAAUGGUUAGAGUGUUGGACUAGUAUCUGUGAGACCAGGGUUUGCAGCUGCACUCUGCCAUGAAGCUCACUAGGUCACCUUAGGUCGGUUAUCUUUGUCUAGCUUGCCUCACAGGGUUGCUGUGAGAUUAAAGUUGGGAGAGAACCAUGUACUCCAAGUAUCUAAAGUAGGAUGUUGUUGUUGUUGGCAUCCAUCAGUCUUGAGAGACUAUGGAGUGCACCCAGGGGUGAAGUCAAACUGCUGCAUUAGCAGCACUGAUGUGAUCUCCCCAGGGCGCAAGCCUGGGCAGUGUGCAUAUCAGCCUUGCUGAUAUGGUCCAAAGGAAAGCAGAGCAAUACGCAUAGCUGUCAACUUUCAGAUUUGAAAAAAAGGGAUCAGCAGCCUCGAAAAUAAGGGACCAGCAGCCUCACCUGUCCCAGGGACAGUCUACGGGAUAUCUAACAAUCCGGGAUAGCAGCGGGAAGCAGCGGGAAACGGCAUUGGAAUAAGGGAAUUUCCUGCAAAAAAAGGGAAGGUUAACAGCUAUGGCAAUACGUUUGGCACCAACUUGGCUGCAGGAGUUGCCAGAAAGAGGCAUACAAGGUGCAAUCUCACCGACUUAGGGACUCGGCUCUGGGUUUGUGUAGGGUUUACUCCUUAGCCUUUUUUUCGCCUGAAGAUAUCUUGCAAAGCAGCUGAUGUUUAGGGUCAGAGUUUUCCUUCUCCUGGAUGGUAGGAUACAACUGUACAAAAAUGUCCUACCACACCUUUACCACACCCAAAUAACACUUCCCAGCUUCACAAAUAAUGAGCUCGAUCAGGAUUUCCCAUACCUGGGUGUCCAGCUGUUUAUGGACUACAUUUCCCAUCAUCCCUGGCUAGCUAGCUAGGAAUGAUGGGAAUAGUCAUCCAAAAACAGCUGGAGCCCCAAGUUUGGGAAACCCUGAGCUAGAUGAAUCAAGGGCAGCUUCCUAUGUUCCAAUGGGAUGUUAAAGGGAUCAGGCUGCAAUCUAUUAAGCAUUACGAUGCAGAAGGGCUGUAGCUCAGUGGCAGCGCAACUACUUUUCAGGCAAAAAGUCCCAGGUUCACUCUUCAUCAUCUCCAGGUAGUGCUGUAAAUGUCCCCUGCCCAAAACCAUGGAAAGCCACUGCCAGUGUGCAUACAUGAUACUGAGCUUGGUGUGUAGUAUUCCUUGGGCUUAGGGAAGGUACGCACUGUGUGAACAAACCUUGCAGUGUGUCUACCUUAAUAGAGGUAGACCACCUUAAUAGAGAGCCAGUGUGGUGUAGUGGUUAAGAGUGGUAGACUCGUAAUCUGGUGAACCGGGUUCGCUUCCCCGCUCCUCCACAUGCAGCUGCUGGGUGACCUUGGGCUAGUCACACUUCUCUGAAGUCUGUUAGCCUAACUCACCUCACAGAGUGUUUGUUGUGGAGGAGGAAGGGAAAGGAGAAUGUUAGCCGCUUUGAGACUCCUUCGGGUAGUGAUAAAGUGGGAUAUCAAAUCCAAACUCUUCUUCUUCUUCUCUUCUAAUACCAGGAAGCAGCAGGAGUCAGGAAAACAUCGACAGCUGUAUUUAUUUGUGAGCAGCAGCUCAGCAGCUCAGCAAAGCAAACAGGACUUGCUACAUAGGUUCUAGCCUGUUCCCACUGUACUAUGGAGGGAGCCACAGCCAGGAAGAAGAGGGGAGUAUUUGUUACAGAUCAGGCGUGUCUCUUAAGAGACAGGCCAGACUCACUACAAGGUGAACACUCACUACAAUGAUCUGACUUAAUUUAAGACAGCUUCAUAUAUUUUCGUUCAUGUUCCUGGCACUCCCAAAUUAAGGGAAGGUUUAUAAAUAUCCUGCCUCCAUGCAUUGUUGCUCCGAUAUGAGUCAGGGAUGCGCUCUGUGCAUUUUUUAAAAAACCCCAACCAUUGCUUCAAGCAACACAUUAAAAGUUAUGUGUAGUCGUUAGGCUCUAAAUAAUUUCCAUCUUUUAAAAUAUGCUGGUUCUGCAAUCACUGUGCUCAGUCUACAAAAGUCAGCGACUACCAACCUUCAUGUAUAAAAAAACCCAUCUCCCUGCUGCUCUAUCAAAACACACCCAUGCACACACAAAACAGGAUAGAAACCGGAGUUUUCUUCAGUCUGAUAUGGGCUAGAGUAGUUGAUGCAAUCACCCAGGUAUUGUGUUGCAGGGCAUGAAAGGUUUCCCUUCAAUAAAACUCCAGAAAUCCUGGGGAAAAGGAUGUAAAUUAAAGCAAGAACUCAAAUGUCAUGUAGUGUGUGGCUCGGAGAAGCAUAAUGAUGUUUGAGUUAUCAGAAAAUUCCUCACGUUAAAUAUUCAACACAAUGUCUACAUGCAAGACUUCGAGCAGUGGGGAGAGGAAAAAUAGUGCGAAGAAGGUAAAUAUCUUGCUAGAUUUGAGAAACUGACACAGCCGUGACUCCUCUGCCGAAUGUAAUUCAAAGAAUAUUAAUCCUCUCCAGCUCUUCCAUCUUUUAUGAAGCUUACAACAGCAGGCAGGAAAAAAGGGACGGGAAUAAAGUUAAAAAAUUGAUAAGCAUUAAAAAUGUAGACUGCAAAUGAACACAGAUAAUAGUAGCAGCAGAUGCUCAGUUCCUGGUCAACAGCCAGUCUAUCCUGAUCUCUCUCCGUCUCUCUUUCAGAGUGUCUCCAUCUAUAGCUUGCAAUUUGCUUUCCUAUUUGGUCUAAUGUGAGUAGUGCAGGAAAGAUAAUUUCACUCUCAUUUUCCUCUCCCAAAUAUUGAACUAGAUAUAGUUUAGGGAUGCAGUCUGGAUUUUGUUUACACACGGUUAGUUAUUACGAAAACUCCUUCCAUUCGCAUGGAUGUCAAGGAGGCAAAGCAGAGAUGUCUCCGCUAUAGUGCAACAACUGAUUCUUGUGGACCCUGGACUAACGCUAUCGUCAAUAUUUCCUGACCCAGUGAAGAAUGAGUUAUAUAAAGAGCUAAUCAUUUUCUUACUUGCAGCUGCACAUACGGGAGUUGCUCAGCACUGGAGAUGCCAC